rnacentral:lncRNA from 1 species
AAGACACAUUCACUUGUUCUCACCCAAGCCCAUCAACCUCUUCAAACUAGGAAAAAACGCCGAAUCGUCCGAGAAAGACGGCUUCUUUUCUCGCCGCAGGUGCUCCUCGAACCAUCUCCACGACGGACCUCGCGGACAGGGGAUGGAAAUCGGCGCUCCAAUUCGACACGAACUCCGCCGCCAUAUCCCUCCGCUCGCCGUCCUCCAUCCUCUCCCACCUCCUCCUCAGCUCGUCCUCCCCCAGGGAGAAGUAGCCGCAGAGCUCGGCGAACAGGAGGGCCCUGCCCUUCCUCAGGGCCUCGUCCUUCUGCUUCUUCUGGGCAUGCACCCUCGCGACCUCCUCCGCCAAGGCGGACGCGAUCUCGGCGUCGCCGGUGGGCCUCUUGGCCCUGCACGACACGGAGGCGGGGAGCGGCUUGCGGGGGUCGAAACGGAGGGGGAGGAGGCGGGAUUUCGGGGGCCGGGGCAGGGCGUGCAGGGGAAGGACGUGGAUUCUCAGCGCCAUUGGAGGGUCGGACUGCUUCGGAGAGGACGAGGAUUCGAAUGGAGGACGACGGUCGGGAAGGAGCAUUUGGGGAGGGGAAAAUCGUCUGAGUGCGGCUCCAAGGGGUUCUUAAAAAAUAAUUUGUAGAUUUCUAAUGAAAUUAACUUCACAUUCGCGUAUAGUUUUCAUAUUCCGACCAAAAAAAAAAAAUAUGGCUUUCGUAUGAUAUGCAAGAUUGUUUCUGUUUUGUGUGAAAGUCGACAACUGAUCAUCAUGUGAAUGAAUUCUGAUCACAUUAAAAAUCUUAAUUUUUCUUCAUUGAGAAAUGAGAAUGCUUAGGCUAUGAAAUUACUAGUUUUGAAACAUUUAGUACCUUUUAGAAAAUGUGUGCAAACACUUGUUGCUAUUAAUUAUUUAGAAAUGAUUAGUGAAUUUUAAUGAAAGGAAAAACGUUCCCCCAUUAAUAUGUGUAAUGGUAUAUACAACCAUUAAUGUACUAACAACAACAAAAAAAAAAAGUCUUUUUCGUCGUGGCUAUUAUCAUGAGACAUACAAUAAGUAUAGAUCUAUAUCUGUUUAAUUUUCCAAAAUAGAAAAGUAAAUUUUAACAAUUUAGUCACACUUUACUUAUUAGCUAGUUUUGAUUCAUCGCAACUUAUAUAAAACAAAGUAUCAGUUGAAUUUGCAAAAAUUGAAAUAAUUUUGAGGGACGGUGUUUUAAUUUGGGAAAGAUUUCAAAAUGUUCCGAUUUAUAUACUAGUAAAAAUAUUGAUUGUGUAAAAUAUAUGGAAAAGGAAAAAAUUAAAGUAGAAGGCCCGUAAUCAUAAUGUGCCCUCUCGCAAAUGAAGAAAUCCAAAUAGAUCAAAGCCAUCAUAACCGUUGAUAAUACAAAUGACAUACAAAUCUAAUUGCCACAAUUGCAAAGGGCCUCCAACCAGGGUCCAAAAUUCCAAAUAGAUCCACCCCCAGUGAUGGACGUGUACUAACAUACAAGAUGGUAUCAUAUCAAGCUACCCAAGAACCUUUCUAGAAUCUCGACUAGCUCGUUCAUGCACCACUUUGAGUCGGCCUAGUUCCUGGAGAACACGAUUAGGGCAAUCCUCGCAUGCCAAAUGGCUUUGAAAAGCUUGGAUUCCAUGUCUUCCCCAAUAUCUUCUCUCGCGUUAUCUUUGAAGCAUAGACACAUAUAAAACUUGGGAGAAUGACACAAAAAGUGCCUUAACUUGUGUUCGGCAUUUACUUUGAUAUCACAACUUUUUGUUGGCUCACUUAAAUAUCAAAAUCGGAGAAAAAUGAUUACUUAAGUCUUUCUAGGAAAAAAUUUUGACUAGAGAAAUCACGUAACUUUUAUAAUUGAAAAUUUUAUCUAAUGUGGCAUUUUUUUGGCAUUGAAAUAAUAAUUUUUUUCCGACAAAAAAAAAAGUGAUAAUUUUUUCAUUAAGGUUGACACUAAAGUAAUCAAUUUAUAACAAUGAUAGACACUGAAGUGAUCAUUUUUUUACAAUGACUAGCAUUGGAAUGAUUACUUCUUAACUUACUAUAUGAAGUUGUUUAAAGGUUUUUUUGGCACUAAAAUGAUCACUUUAUGUUAACAACAACAAUCAACACUAAAAUGAUCACUUUUUUAUAAUGACCGACAACAUUGAAAUAAUCAUUUUCUAACUUGUUACACGAUAUCAUUUAGAGAUUAUAUAUUGACUGACAUGAUGACAAGUCACGUAGGAUUGAUAAAUUAAUAAGAUAUAGCCACGUCAGAUUUUUAGCGACUCAUAUCAAAGUUGACACUUCUAUGAUCAUUUUUUUUUAAGUGACACUUAAGCGAUUCGGCGAAAAAUUGUGGCACCAAAAUGAGGGUAGUACAUAAGUGAAUGCAUUUAUAGUGUUCUUCUCCCUAUAAAAAUUAAAAACUUCAUUUCUCUCUCUUCGUCCACCAUGACAGGCAUCGCCGUACCGUUGCCUCCGCUCAAGCUGCCACCACCUCCAUCCCCGGGCCUUUCGCGACGUCAUGGCCAUCACACCCAGCGGCAAGUUUACACCCUCUACCUUCAUUGCCGCGGAUCUGCUCCUAGCAGAUUUGGAACCAUGGCGGAAGACGGAGCCGACCAAAUCUGAAUAAUGACGUUGCUGGUCCAUGAUCGGUGAGGGGGUUCGUCCACAGACACGAGCCUUGCUCUCCUUGGCUGCUACGACCGGAAUGGGCCACUGCUACGCUAUGAGCUCAAAACAAAAACAGUGGAAAACGAAGUUGAAGACAAGCAGACAUACAAAGGACUGUGACGCCGAAGACAAACUGAGUAAGACGAAGCUGAAGACCAGAUCAUGAGCCAUGGUGAUGGCGAGAAGGCGAAGCAACCAGAUCUGGCUGGUGGCCGAAGACGAAUGGACCUCACCAUCAAGGCUCAGGGCCAUGGACAAACUCCAAAUCUGGAAGUCCCAGUCUUUGUGCUCGUCUCAUGACGGAGGGACAUGGUCAUCAUGGCUCCAGGCCUAGUUCGGAGGAAGACGAACAUGAUAGAGGGAGUGGCUCAGUUUGGACACCUAGCAGUGUUGGCCUGGAUGCGGCGCCGGGCGAUGGCAGUGGUCAAGCUCAGAGGUGGUGUGGACGGAGGGGAAGAGAGAGACACUAGGUGGUCCGAAUAGAUUUCUAUUUUUUUUCAUUUUAUUUCAUUGUCAAGCGGACCAAAAUGCUCGCUUCCCUGAAGUAUUGGAUAGAGGCCUGAUUCAAAGCAUGGAAGAGGCGUGACAUGAAGUUUUUCCUCAGGUCCUUGCCUCGGAAACUCACGUAGACAUGAUAUUUCCACUGAGGAGGACGGCGAGGAGGAGCUGGUCGUGGUGGUAGAGGAGCAGAAGGGUAAGGAUACAUGAUUUCAGACAUUGAUUCGAUGCUCCUACGAUGAUUUGUUAUGCAGUUAGGGGCUAUAAAUAAGGUAAGUUUGAUCAAGACAUUGGAGAGAGACUUAUUUAAGAAGCAUCCUACGCAGAUUCCAACGGUGCUACUAUUACAAAAUCUGUGUACUUGAUCAUUUAAUCAUCCAGUGUUGUCUACGUGCUAUUUUGUGUGUCAAUUUUGUAAGAUUUUUUUUUUUUUCACCAGCAACAGCAUUGUCUUUGAAUUAUUUUUUUCAUUCGGUAAUGAGCUUAAAAUCCUUAUCCAGGCUCAGGCAUGAUAAUUUUAAAUUUUCUUGAUAUAAUGGCUAGGCGUGGACAGUUGGAUCGGACCUAAGUGGAUGGGUCUGGGAUGAAAAAGAAAUAUGCUUUGCUCAUCCUCGCUCAAAUUGUGUUCGGACCUAAAUAAACUGGUCGGAUUGUCAAAUUCAUGUUCAGAUUUAUUGCAAUAAUUUAUUCGAGGAAAAGGGAAUUAUUGAUUAUUGUGAUCCAUUUCUUUCACUUGAAGAGUAAGUUAAAGACCGAUGAUCUAUUUGGCAUUCAGAAAAAGGAAUUAGACCAUGUUUUCCUCUCAUGGGUUCCUCCAAGCAAGUAUGUGUCAUGUAUGAAUUGCAAGGUAGUGGUGCGCGGAUGAUGAUGAUGAUAACGAUCAGAGAAGUCAGCGGGGGCCAUGGCGGAGUGAUCGCGGAGGUGGAUGAGCUUAGCUAGAAAGGGGAAGAGAGAAAUGAUAUUAAGUUUUUUCGGUUGUGACCGGAGUUAUCCAUACAAAUCUGAUUUCAUUUGUUACCAUCAAUUCUAUAAAUUGGAUUGACUGAUCCCUCAAUCAUGAGUUAAAAGAUUUAAAUAUUAAACUAAGCAUUCAUAUAAUAAUUUAAGUUUUUUAAAUAAUUACCAGUGUCACACAAAAUUUUACUUAGCCCCUUUUUUGUCUCCCUUAUUAUCUGUUUAUACCCUUAAUCUUAGGCCAAACUCCGGGGUACGCUUAUUAUUUUUACAUCAUGUUGGCAGUAAAAUGUAGCCCAACUAUUUUUAAUUUUAUCUUUAGUGAAAUAAGAAUGAAAAAUGAGUUUCCUAUUUGGUUUGAGAAUAUACUACAAUUACAUGUUUCGCAGUGGAAGACAAACACAAUAGGAAAUGCAUUUAGUGAGACAUCGAAUUUGCUCUCAAAGUAGAACACAAAAAAAAAUCAUUUUUUUUAGCACUGAACACUAAGAAGAAGACAGAUUUUCUUCAAAAGUUUCUAUCCCGAGGAAAAAACAUGGCGAAUCUAGUCUAAGGUGAAAGCAGGCUUGUCGUAGAAAGCAUAGGCCAAGCUGAGGAGCAUGUCAAGUUUUAUUGGCCAGGGUAAAAAAACACUUGGAACAAGAAACCUCUUUGCUGGAAGAAAAGAACUCAAACCCAGAAAAUGAGAGAAAAGAAAAAGUGAAAGUGUCCUCUACAAUCUCAUCUUUUUACUAUCAAACUAAAGUGAAGGGGAAAAAAUGAAACUUCAAGAACAUAUUCUAGUCAUUUAUGCUUUUCUUACAUUACAAGGUAUAGUUUCUAAAGUGAUUAUGGGAAAUAAUUCGAGAUGCGCAGAGCAAGCAAAUAAAAAGGAACAGGGGAAUCACAUUUUUUCUUUUGCUUCAUGGGAGACAUUAGGUUGGACACUGUUAAAUUCAACCAACCAUUGCAAUGCGAAGCAAUGCUCAUGAUAAUUUUAUAGGAAUGCCACUGACACAAUAAUCAUUAAUCAUAUCUAUUGACACCUAAAUUUUGGUUAAAUAUUAAGAUUUAAAUUGUAUAGAAAAUUAGGGAUGAGUGUCGCCAACUUUGUGAAAGCAGUUUCAUGACGUUUGUGCGACUAAACAUAUAGAGCAAUUUUGACACACCAAUGAAGAGGAAUUCUUCCAUCGUGAUCUGGUGCAUCAUAAUCAGCAUGAUACCUCCUGUAAUAAUGUGAUUUAAGAAGGCCGUCUGGCCAUAUUGGGCAGCAACUGCCUGUAGCAGAGAGCCUAGCAAAUGAUGGUCAUAAAAAAAUUUACGCUAGAUGCGCAACCCUUCUCAAUGAACAAAAAUGGAGAACAUAUAGGCAAACAGAAUAAAUCACGACUUCAGAAGACGACGUUCCACGAUCUUUUGCAGACAUAGUUUUGUAUUUUUGACACGUGAAUUUUUGUUGAUAUGCGAAAUACACAUAUUUUGCGAAAUACCAAAAAAAAAAAAAAAGGAAAAAGGAAAGGCUUAUUAGAUAUCUGGACUGCGGCCCAGAUCCACGACCAGCAGUGAAGCCCAUUCGUGCUGUCCAGUUCAUUCAAACUAAGCCCAUCAGACGUCAGCCCACUAAACCAGAUCGUUCAAGCCCAGUUCGCACAGCCCAGAUUCGCAUGCGGCCCAAAACCAUUUACUUCAGUCCAUCAAUGAACCCAACAAUUUAAGCCCAGCAGCCCAAAAGCCCAUAAGAAUAAUUAAGUCCGUGAAACAGAGGGCCCAUCUGGAUGAGGUCACGCGAAGGAUUCGCUAGCGACCGCCAACCGCCGCCGUUGGCCGCUUCCCGACUCCGGGCUGUGGUGCUCUGUUACGCUCUGUCUUUCGGACGCCAUUGCUGAAGUCGUUGGAGGCGCGGUUCUUCUCCUCCAUCGCCUGCUCUGAACCUGGAGUUUUCUCUGAAGCAGACCUGCACAUCUCCUUCUUCUCGACUCGACCUUUGCAGAAUUGAAGCUGAUCUUUGGCUCUUCCUCGGUCAAGGAUUUCGACGAUCGAAUCUUCAUUUCGACGGUUUCAGCAAACCUAAUACUAUCGGUUCGUCUGAUCGAGGAAGAAGUUGAGCGAAUUUCCUAGAGCUCCGAUCAUUGAAAGAAUUGAAUUAGAAAUGAGAACAGCUUCAAGUAGAGUCUGGCCAAACUCGAAUUCCAAAUUCCCGCUCUGCAUCACUUGAUCGCUGCUACUGAUUUGACUCAAUUAAUUGCGCUGAUUUUUUCCUCAGUAUUUUCAGAGGCUAUCGUCCUUAAUUUCCGGAGAAACAUCGCCGUCGCCGGUUUCCAGCGCUUCCAUUGCCACUCCAAGUUUGCCCUGCAACCUCUGUUUUUCGGGCGCCAGUGGCCACGGUUGACUCCUUCACAGAUUCGAGCCCUCGAAAUGGAUUCCGCGACUGUUUUGUUCAAUGCUGAUCGGUCAUCGUUGUAGGUAAUCACCGUUUGCUAGAUAGAACCAUAUCCUCUGCUUUAGAUGUAUGAGAAUGAAAGCAGCGGCCAGGAAGCUAGUUCUCGCGAGCUUGAAACUGGCUGCAAUCCUCACUAUUUUGCCGAGGGUUUGUUCUCUCGGAUCAAGUGCACAUUAUCCGUUCUCUGAAAUGCCAGAACCAUGCUAGUAUGAACAUAGUCUUAGGGUGUGUUUGUUUCACGGAAAAUGUAAUGUUUUUGGAAAAUGUUUUCCGGGAAACCAUUUUCCAGGAAAGUGAUUAGUUUUCCUUUGUUUGGUGAUACAUGACUAAAAGUAUUUUCUGGUGUUUGGAUCGCAUUUGAAAAAUGAUCUAACAAUUGAUAAUAGUGUGCCUCUUAUUUCCAAAUUAAUUUGUUGAGUCCAUGUUACUUUAUAAACGGAUUUUUCUCAAUCAAUUUAGUAAAUCUAGAAUUUGAACCUAUAAAAUGAAAAGGAAACUUGAAUUCAUACACGUAUUUUUUUUCCUAAAAAUGGACAUGAUUUCCUGUUACAAGAGCAAGUCAAAACGAUAUCAUUAAUCGCUUCAAUGCAUUUGGCUCUCUUUAGAUGGAUGCACCUCCCAUGCGUAAUAUUAAUUAAUUUGACAAAAAUUAAUGAAAGAUAAAUUCAUUAUAAAUGUACUAGUUUAGAGGUUCUUUGUGAAAAAAAAUUAAUUUAAAAUUUUAAUUUAUAAUAAUUAUAUUGAUUUGAGAUCUUUUAUAUAACAUUAUAUUAAUUUGUAUUUUUUCAUGAUAUUAAGUAGGAAGUAAAUGAAGCGAAAAUAAAGAAAAACAGAGAAAGGAGGAAAACGUCACCAUUUGUCCAUAUAAUCGGCAAUAGCAAGCUAAAAUCUAUUUCUUUCCUUUUCUCAUUAUAGAUUUGAAUGUUUCAAAAGGUUGUGCUUCUCUUUAAUUAAGAGGCAAGAAAUUUGGGAAAAUAAAUAAAAGAAAUACAUCUAAAAAGAAAAAAAAAAAUCUUAGAAGAAACAGUCCUUUUCCAGCAAAAUGAUCCCCCAAAUUUGAACCCCUCGGCUCGCGCACAACCAUCCAAAAUCAAAUCCAUUUUCCGCUCAAAAUUACCAAAAAAAAAAAAACCCAAAUAAAAAAUUAAAAAAAUGGGCUGUCCCCACACCGAACUCCCUCUCUCUCUCUCUCUCUCUCUCUCUCUCUCUAGCCCGACGACACCGAUGGCCGACCCGACCUCCUCGCCGCCCCCUCCUCCGAUCCCUAGCCUCCUCCUCCCGCCAUACUCGCCCCCGCCUCCGCCCCCCGGCCUGGAGCAGCCGCCACAGCCGCCGCCGCCGCAGCAGCAGCCGUGGAUCCUCUUCUCGUUCCCGAAUCGGCCGGCCCUCCGAGUCACCUCCGAGUAUGACAGCGACAGCUCCGUCUUCCUCCAAAAGGUCUCGUGCAAGCUCCUCGACGGCCUCGCCAAGCUCAAGCUCUCCUUCCGCAACGACCGGAAGAGCGAGGUCGCGGAGCCCCGGCUGGCCUUCGUCUCCAAGCACCUCUCCCUCCACUACGACGUCGAAAAAGCGAAAGAACCCAGAAUCGUGUUGAGCGUUGUUGAAGAAGAGCCAGACCUUCAAUGAUGAAGAAGAUCUGGACCUCCAAUGGCGAAGGAGAUGCGUGUCGUUGAAGAAGAGCCGAAGAAGAAAGAGGGAAAGAACGAAGGGAGAGAGCGGCGUACCUCAGAAAAAUUUGGAAAGGAAAAGUGAAAGGACAGAGAAAAAUUGAAAAGGGAAAGUGUUUUCAUCUCCUCACGCGGAGGAAUUCGUUUUCCUAAAAUAACACAUGAGAUUUAUGUUGACCAGAAAGUCAUUUCCGUUGACCAAAUCUGUUUUAGAGAUCCAAACGGCUGAAACUCCGGAAAACACUUUCCGGUAAAAUAUUUUCGGUGAAACAAACACACCCUUAGAUUUGCGCGAAAACAUCUUUUCCGCCUCAUUGAUUCGUAGGUUGGAUAAAUCCAUUGGCUUCAGAGUUAUUCUCUGAGGAUAUCGAUUUGGAUAUGUAUUCGAAGCUUAUGGCUCAUGCGUUUGACUCUAUGAAAUUAGUUAGGAAUAUUGUUGUGCUGAAUUGAAAACACUUGUUGAUUUCUGCUGAUUCCCUUCAUUAGGAAUAGAUUGAAGCGAAGGAUUAUGUAUCCCUUGCACGAGAAAAUUAAUUACGACAAUAAUGGUAGUGCAUGCUCCUAUGCUAGGUGUCAAAAUAUGUUGAUGACCCAUUUUUUUAAACCAUCUUUGAUGAAAUGGGCUAGAAAUGGGUUGCCAUAAUUUCAAUGAAUGGGUUCUAAAUGGGUCUCCAUUUCUACCCAAUCCAACCUACCUGCAAAUCCUCGUCCACUCCUUCGCCCCCAAGCAUUUCUUCGUCCACUACUCCUCUUCUUCUUCCACCUUGUCCUCCUCUACCACAGUGGCCGCCGCCUCCCCCGCUGUCGCCGCCUCCCCUCCAGCCAAGGAAGCUGCUGCAUCCAUGGCCAACACGCAUCCGCCAACUGUACUCGCCACCGCCGACUGCAUCCAUGGCUGAAGCUGCAUCCACUCAAAUUAGGCUUCUUUGUCUUCGCUUCAAACUCAUCAUUUCUUUCUUCUUCUUCGCCAAGAAAGAAUUUCCUGACUUUUGGCUGAUGUGCCUCCACCGACUGUACUAGUGUGAAAUUCAGCAGGGGUAUCUCGGAAUCGAACUUCAUGAACCCAUGCGCGUUGGCCUCCUUCCACACCUUUGCCACAGUCUCUUGACCAUCUUUGAGCCGGCCCUCGUAGACGUGGCCGUACUCACCUUCUCCAACGAAGUUAUCCUUUAACUCUGUACAGGUUCGGAGGCUAGGUGGGACCUUAUUGGGGUUCCGUGAUAUAUUCAAGGUCUGGUGAAGUUUCAAGGUUGAAUACGAAUUGAUUUGUUAGCUUGGUUGUUUGUUAGUGUCUCAAGGUCUAGUGUUUUAGAAAUUGCUGUUAAUUUUGGUUGGUUCGAUAAUGGUGUUAAUGUGCUAUUCGAGAUUGUGUUAUUAGGAUUGGACUACAUUACCACCCCCGUCUGUUUGAUAAAUUGCUCAACUAAGCAGGCAUUCCCACUUAUUUUGACCAAACUUUUGUUCCUCCUUGUGGAAAUAAGCAACAUCAAUUACUAUGAUUUGUCUUUCUGAUAGUGUUCGGGUAUGGGUUUGACAAGCUUCAUACUUGUAACAUCCGGAUGAGCUUUUCGAGCAGGCCUAGUGUACACAAUCCUAUAUUUUGAAAAUAAUCACAAUUAUCAUACGAUAGUAAAUAUAUGUGUUGGGUGCGGAUUGGAUCGGAAUUGAGUUGUUAAACUUGAAUUGAGUAUAAAUUGGUCAAAACGGAUUCAAUUGAUCAAUUUAGGUCGGAUUAUUUUCGGCCUAACCCUAAGUCCAACCCAACUCACCCAUUUGAUAGUCCCAAUGCUGGUUCACUUUGUUCUUUUUCUUUUCUUUUUUUAAGAAUUUCAUUUUGUUCUUUACUUUGUUUGUAUCUGUGGCGACUGGGGAGUGGUCUCUGUCUAGAAUAAAAUUGGAUUUGUUGAAUUUUUAUUUAUUUAUUUACUGGACCUUUAAAUAAUGGAACGAGAGAGAGGGCAGAGUAUACACACCGUCUGUUUGAAAACAAAGAAGAUGGGGGUUAUCUUGAAUUGCUCAGAUGGUGUUCACUGUUCUGUGAAGGAUAGCAGAGUGUACAUGCUAUAGCUCGGGGAUUAUGGGGACUUGGGUCCAGCAGCCGCGGUCCCGAUCGCAGUAGCUCGGAUUUCUAGGCUUCGCCACUAUAAAUCUGAGCACAAGCACUGGAGACCUGGGCCUGGCUCAAUGGACUCGAGUCUAGGUGCCUCGAGCGCGGCAGUUGGGUACCCAAGCCUACGUGACUUGACAUUAAUCGUAAAUUCAACGUAUUACUUUAUAAUAAAUGAGAAUUUGACUUGUGGGUUUAUCAACGAGGAUAGAGAAAACGAAUGACGAAAGCGAAUAAGGAUUGCCCUGGGGGGCUUCAUCAAAGCUCUAAACUUGGUUGAAGUUCUUUGAUGUCGGUCACAGGGAAUAACAUAAACUUAGCUAAGGAAAAAGUUUUCGAUAAAUAUUUUUUCUCAAUUUUCAGAAUAAGUGUUUUCUUGAUUGGAAAUGCUUUUUCAACCGACUUAUUAUUUUAAUCGUUCCAAAUAUCGAAAAGUCCGCAAAAUAAAUUUCCACAAAAAUUCUUUUUCAAGACUAGCUUGUCAUCAAAUGUAAAUAAAUCAAUUAAUCUUUUAAGACAUGUAAUUAUUUGUACGUUAUCCCCAUACAUUAAUUGGGAAAAUUACCAAAAUGGUUAAAAACUAUUUGCAUUUAUACCAAUUUGGUUUAAAAUUUUCUAUUGUGCCAAUUGAAGUCUAAAUUUUUACGUUUUGUCAAUUUAGUCAAUGCAAUCAAUUUUGGCCGGAAAUUGUUAACGUGGACACUAGUUGUCUACAUUAGACUACCAGCGUUGAUGUAGACAAUUUUUUUUUAAAUUUUUUUUUCAAAUUUUUAAUUGAUUUUUUCUUUCUUCUCUUUUUCUUUUUUUUUUCUUUUUUUCUUUUUAUUGUGGCCAGCGAGGGUCGUCAAGGCCUCAUCGGCCAUUGGGCAAGGGUAGUGAAGCCCUCUUCACCCAUAGUAAAAAAAAAAAAAGUAAAGAAGGAAAAGAGAAGAAAAUAAAAAAUAAUAAGUCGAAAAAAAAUUAAAAUAUUGUUAAAAAUUCCCCCUAUCAACAUCAGCUAUAUAUAUAAGAUGCUACACAUCAAAAUCAAUGGUUUCCGAUCAAAAUUGGCGAGAUUGACUCAAUUGGUAAAACUUGAAAAUAUUUAUAAUUCAAUUAGUACAAAAGUUUUAAGAUUGAAUUAGUACGGGUACAUAUAUAUAUAUAUAUAUAUAUAUAUAUAUAUAUAUAUAUUCAUUGACAUUUUUGUAAUUUUCCCGACAUUAAUCAAAUAUACUUUUGGAACACCCUAUUAUGAACAUUCUUGUUGUGUAAAGCCAUAAAAAUAAAGUGCCUCCCACUCCCGUGAGAGACCGUAGCUAAGUUGGUCAGUAAAGAGACGAAGACAUUCACGUGCACAACACGUGCAUUUACUUAAUCCAAACAAAGCGCGAAGUUGUUGAGAAGACGAGUGGCAAAAGCCGAAAAGACGAGCUACACCAGUUAACACUCCAUACAUCGCUCAGAUACGACGAAGAACACGACACAUCAUUCCAACCAUCUUCCCGAGAAGAGAUCUGCAUGAGUAAAUGUUAUACUCCUAUGCUCAGAUACGUCGCUCAAAGCUCUAGCAGCUGUGACAAACCCUAAAAAUGACUCGCAGCAGAAGCUCAUGAUUUCGCUGAACUAUCAUCAGAUUACAAGACUCGACUUUGUUGCUAUUGCUCAGGCAGAUGCGAGAAUCCAAAAAAUCUGUUGAUGAACAGUGUGAGUGAGACAGAGAAAGAAGGGGUUGAACUACGACCCCCGUAUGCCCAGAAAAAGAAAGACUCGCAACCCAGAAAAUCAAAUGUAGUUCAUUCUCUGCCUUCCUUUCGCCUUUUUCUCUCUCGGACACGAACAUGAGGCAACUGCUUACGAGCUUUAUUGGAAAGCGCGAAAAUAGGACUUCAUUACCGAAAUAUCUAAACUGUUUGAAUGUACGACUAUCAGUCCCGAGUGCAGCAAAAAGCAAAAGUUCCAUAAAGCAGACAAGUUGUGAAGCUAGAAUCUGUAGAGUCACCUUCAUAGACGUCACUCUAUAUCUCAGCGCACCUGGCACCCUCAACGCUCUGUUCGUUGAUCAUGCCUUGCUCUUGCUCGUUGAGGUUUUCGCCAUCGCGCAACGUACUGAGCCACCGGACCAGGGAGUAGGAGUAUGCAACCCCAAUGACAGCGCACCGGGAUCGCGAUCUCUGUUGCUAGAGCUGAGAGCCAUGCCAUCCUCCCCGGAACUCUAGACUACGUCGCUGGAAUCGCUGGACUCUAUGCCUAGAUGGAAUCCACGCCUAUCAAAGUAACAGAGAGAGACAGAGAGACAGAGAGGAAUGAAGUGGGGAGUGUGCUUGUCUGUGUGGGAAGUGGUGAGAGUCUCAUGAAUUAGCAGGUCAUGGUUAAGUGCAUGGUACAGUAAAAUGUCGGAUUCGCAAGCGAUGGACAGCUGUUCGAGAGUAGGAAAAUCGGACCGUAGAAGCGAGAGUGAGUAUAAUCUUAUCGUGUAAUUUUGACGCAUCAAUGUCUAAAUAGAAGUAAUGUAUUAUUAUUUCUCAAUAUUAACAUAUAUACUUUCUAUCUGCAUUGUGGCUAAAAGACUUUUGCCAUUUCCAUUAGAUUUAUGCGAUUGAUGGGUAAAAUAAAUCCAAAUGGAUGAAAAAAAUCAAGCAUAGAUUAAUACAUAUAGCAACCUCUUGUUGCCUGCAUUGCUGUCUUUGCACCCACAUAUAUUUCUAUCGCAAUUGCUAGAUAUUUGAAAAUUCUUGUUUAAGAACUGAAAAUCAAUUUAUUUGUGAUACAAUAGUAGCUGAUUUUCUGGAUUUUCAUCUUUCUAUGGUGUUAAUUUUUAAUCUUUGUCAAUUUCGAGCUCAAAUCACGAAAAAAGCGUUGAUGAGCAGUAUUAUAGGCAGGUAAGGAGAAUGUUUUUAAAUUAUAUUACAGUAUUAAUGUAUAGUGUUUUUCGCAUAUUCCUAUUUAUUUAUAUAUUUUCUUUGCCUCGGAGUGAGGAUGGUGAUAUGCUGAUGAAUUUUGGAAGAUGGUAAAUAGCUGCCAAAAUUGUCAGCUCCCUCUUGAAGGAACAGAGACAUAGGAUAUGGCCCACGUGACUCGUCCCUCAAUGUUAGUCUGGUAGUUCCUCCGCCGGCGAGGGCGUCGCAGCCCUUGCUGGAGGGGAAAAAAUAUAAAGAAAAUAAAGAAAAAAUUAUAAAAAAAUUCAAAAAACAUUAAAAUGCCACAUUAGCGCUAGUAGCACUACGCCAUUGUUGGGCGACCAAAAUUGGUCGAAUGGACUGAAUUAGCACAAAAAUAAAAUAUUUAGGGCUGAACUGACUAAAAAAGAAAGUUUAGGACCUCCUAGGUUCAUGAGUUUAUUUGUAAUUCCCUCUUAAACUCAAUGAACCAUUGCAAUGCAAAGCAACUACUAAUGAUUAUUUCACAAAAAUUCCAUUGAAACGAUAAUCAAUAAUGUUAACAUUCUACAACUUAAGCCUAAUUACAUGGUUCCAAACGCUCUCCAAUUGAAUCAAGAUGUGAUCUAGACCGUCCAUAAAAGCUAAUGAUCCUGCCACCAAUAGUAUAUGAUGAAAUACGAAAUUUCUUGCCCUUUUGCUUGCCAAACGGUCCAUAGGCGCAUCUAGUGGUACUUAUUUUCAGAGAUUGGAUAACGGCAGGUGGAGAGCCACCGCUUUCUCUUGUGUAACUUAAUAUGGAAAUCAAAUGCUCCUUGAGGUAAUCUAGCUUGACCUACAUAAUUAGCCAAUUCAAAGUCCUUUCAACUUUCACUUGCCAACAACACUAAUAGUUGAAGAAACUUUGUACUUGCAACAACUACGAGCAAAGUAUACGAAAGGAAGCACAAACCGAGCAGACCAGCAGCCUUCGGCAACAAUGCCACCCACCUCGCUGAACCUCAAUCUCUGUAAAAUUAGUGUGGACAGCGCUUGGAGCAGCUCAGAUCUAGAGGGAUCGGCAGCAGGGGAUUGGAGAAAUAAAGAUGGAGUGCUUCUCGAUGGCUUCGUGAAAAGGAUUCACGCCUCAUCUAUGUUUGUGGCUGAAACCCUAACUAUUAGGGAGGCAAUGAACUAGCUAAAGGGAAAAUCGGACUCACAAAUGGCACGAGCUGAAGGACUUUCAGCUGAUCUGCACAUGUACUUGUCUCCUGAACAGUGCACGGUCUUGACUUCGGACAAUUUAACUGCGGUAAAUUACAUUUUGGGCCUGCCCGAAGGGCCAUGGCCGCAUGAUCUAUAAUCCACGACUGCACCGCUUUGUUGGGCUAGUUGAAGGGAGUUACCAUCUGCUUUAAACAGAGACAAUUUAAUCAAGUAGCUGAUUAAGUCGCUAGGGCAUACCGAACUAGCUCUCUCCCGAGAAAUUGGGUGAUUAAUCCCCCUCAUCCUCUUUAAUUAAUUUUAUGUAUGGACUCAUAAUCUUUUUAUAGCUCAUUAGUUUCGAGCUAGUAAUGAAACAUCGUUAAAUUUUGACCAACAAAAAAACAACACUAAUGAAAUAUGUGAUGAUUCGUAAACCAUCUAACGCAGUGCAUUAGGCAGUCGUACCUUUUCCUCUUUUGGCUGACUUCUACUUUUCUACUUUUACUUAUCGCUGGAAUAUUAGCCCAGACAGCUAAAUCUUCUGACAACGCAAGUAUCUGUCAUAAUCCUAUGACACCUCUUUCAGAGCUCUUAUUAUGUUCAGUGCUAAUUAAAUAACUUUUUUGCACUUUUUUUCAUUGAAUGAAUGACACGUGUAUUUAGAUAAAGUUGCGGUGACCAAAUUCGUCCACAUGUCAGCCUAAACUUAUAAUUCAGUAAUUGUUGUCCUAUUUUAUUUUCUCCUCCAAACAUCUCCUUUAUCCACUUCUUGCACUCUCUGCAACACAAAUCCUCUAUAUUUAUCAUAUAACUUUUCAAUCAUAACAAUAAUAACUUAUAAUACAUUUUGUUAUACUAUUAUAUAUAUUUACCUUCUGAAGGAUCAUUUUAUUACAUUCAUUUAUUUUUUUUUGUAUUACAUAAUCUUUUGUGAUGAUGGAUCUUUUUUUAUUAUUCUUUUAAUAUAAUACAUUUUUCAAACAUGAGUUGAUUAUGAGAUUCAUUUAAAUUUUUUAUUACUUCUCAAAUAUAAUUUAAAUAGUAUUUAAUUAUUUAUCAAAUGUUGGCCCUAUCUUAUCUUUUUAAAUAUGAGUUAAUAUGAGAUAGAUAUGAGAUAGAUUCCCUAAAUUGUUAAAUUCUUUUUAAACCUCUUUAUAAAAAAUUAUUUUUGAACAUAUAAUAUACAUGUAUCUCCAAACGAAAUCCUAUAUAGAUGGAUGGGAAUUUGCCAAUGUGACAAUGAAAAAUAAACAGUUGGGAAAAGUUUAUAUUUGAGCGUGCCACGUGACUCAACCUUGUGUGAGCAUUACUCAUUGUUAUAUAUGUCUAUUAGAUUUGAGAUUUGACCUUUUCUUUUGAAUAUACAUACCCAAAACUCCUACAAUUAUGUGAAUUACUAACACCUUUAAAAUGUAAAUCCAGGAACGCACCUCAUGUCUGUCUCCAUGAUCUCCACCAUGUUUAGAGCAAUGAACCGAGGAACCAUUAUAAUCAUAUUCAACUCUGAUGGACUCAAUCCAAGAUCCAACCACAAUCUCAAAUUCUCUCACACUAGUAUGUACUCCAUCAUCCCAUGGAUAUCCACCUUCACCUCCGAACGGUCCGAGCGACUUGAAAGGGUACAAAUGUGAUAUUGGUUCUGCAUAUACUCCGAUAGAAUCGAGAUUUGAACUGGAUCUUCCAUAAAAGUUGAUGCUUUGGCUUCCAGUCGAUGGAUACCCAAAGUACCUUCCUAUUUCCUUGCCAAAGGGACCAUAUCUUCCUUUAUUGCUAUAAAAUGUGAGCGAGUGAACAAUGAUUUGUUUGUAAUUCUCUCGCUUGUAGCCAGAAAUUGAUGUCAAGUACUCUCGUGGAUAGUCCAAUCGAACCUGCACACAAUUUCUCUCUCAUAAAGUUUGGCUCGGUAGAAUCAAAGUGAUAAAUUUAACAAGACAAUGAAAAUGAAGAUACACAACUUUCAUAUAAAACUACAUUUCAUAAGGGACUUGCGUUAAUCCCAUAUGCGGGACCAAUAACUAAGUUACUCUCGAGGAACUCGAAACAGUCUUGAUCGUCACCAAUCAGUCAAACAUAUGAACAAAACAACUGAUAGUCUACUUGGCGAGAAAAGUGAAGUGGAAAAGGCUAACUUUGGCGACUUUUGGCCUUGCAAUUUCUGAUGUCAGCACCACGUGUACCGGAGCAAACCGGUUCACCAUUCUUGUCAUAACAAAAGAAAAUGUAAUGGAUGAUAUCGUCGUGCAUGAUCUCAGUCUCCCUCACACCACUGAACUUACCAUCAUCCCAAGCAUUCCCACCUAGUCCUCUAAAUGGUCCAAUUGAUUUGAUCGGGUAAAGAUGAGAAAUUGGCUCAAAAUAUACUCCGAUUGCAUCAAGAUGGUCGCCGCUUCUUCCAUAAAAUCCGAUUACUUUGCCACCCGUUGUAGGCGACGAGAAGUAAACUCCCUUUUCAUCGCCAAAUGGUCCAAUCUUCCGUUUGUUACUUUGAAAGGUGAGUGAGCGAAUGACAGUGGGACAAGAACUAGAACUUCUUAUGUACCCUGAUAUCGAAGUUAGAUACUCAUCCGAAUCAUACAGAUCAAUCUGCAUAGACCUGUUAAUAGCUGAUGCGUUAGCCGCUCAUUGUAAUCCUUUUGUGCGUUGAAUGAAAUGUUCUUCUUUUUUUCUGACCAAAAAAAAAAAAAAAAUCUGCAUAGAGUAGUGGGGUGCGACUAUAUCAAACGCAUAAUCAGUAACACAUGCAAAAUUUCUACGAGGAAUGUAUACGAGGACUUACUACAUGGAUCUCGCCUUGACCUGUGCCACCAUGAUUUUCACAUAACCAUAGAUCUUUAUCCUCCUCUUCAUAUUGAAAUGUGAUUGACUCGAUAAUCGGUUCUCUACUUGGUUCGAAUGCAAUUAUGAUUGUUCUCACGUUAGCAUGGUGGUUGCUGUCAUCCCAAGAUGAACCACCUGAACCUAAACAACCCCACUGAUUUGAAGGGAUACAGCUUGUUCGAGAAGAGCUCAAUGUGUGCUCCUAUAGAAUAAAGUAAAGCACCACUUCUCCAGAAAAAUCCAACACGUUUCCUAGCUUCUGAUGGCAAGGAAAAGUACUUCCCUUCCUCUUUUCCAAUCGGUCCCCAUAUUCUUUUGUUGGUUCGAAAUGUGAGCGAGUUGAUUAGACUGAGACUAUUGUUUGAAUUGAUAUAUCCGGAAAAAGAAGUUAUGUACUCAUCAGGAAAUACCAAUUUAACCUGCAAACAGGCCACAAAAACAAAUAUUUGACAUGAGUGACUAUAUGUUGCAUCAAUCCAUGAGCAAAAUAAAUUGGUAGAUUUUUUUGAAAUAUGAUUCUGAUCUAUAAAAUAAGUUAUACAUGUUAAGAUUUCUGUAAGUUGUGUUCCUAAUACAUCUCAUUUUGUAAAUCGAAAAGUAACUUUUUGUUUAUGUCUGGGUUGGUCUUUGCCUAACCUUAAUAGAGUGAAUAUAUUAUUUUUUCCAAUUCGUUUGCUAACAAUCAUGCUGAUCCUCAUGUAUCUCUGGCAUGAGCUUUCAAGUGAUUUUCAAAGAUUAAGAAUAGGUUCCGUAAUCGACCAAAAUUAUAAUAAACUAGGAAGGUUACCUUAUUACAUUCAAGCAGGAAAGGAGAAAGAGAAAAAUAAAGUCUAGAUACAACCUCGGAAGUAUUCUCCCCGCCAUUUCCACCAUGCCUAAUCGACCGUAUGGAACCGUUGGUGUUGAUGUAAUCAAAAGCGAUAGAAUCAAUGACUAAUCCAUACCCAACGACAAUUCUGCUUAUAUGCACAUAUUGUCCAUCAUCCCAGGAAUCUCCCCUCGCACCUCCAAAAGGCCCUAAAACCUUGAUGAGAUAUGUGUGAGGAAUCGGCUCAUAAUAAGCUCCAAUGGACUCGGGACGAGGGACAUCACACCUCCCAUGAAACCCAAUAAUUUUGCCGCCGGUGUGUGGAAUGAUUUGGAUCUCUUGCUGUGAUCAAGAUUCUACUCCCCGGGUGAAAUGAUUUUCGCUCUCCGCUGAAAUAGUCCAUUUGUUUUUUUCUCAGUAACACUGUCAAGGAGAAGAAGUAUCUUUUUACGACACAUGCUACUUUUUAUCUCAUUGAUGUUGGUGUGAAUGUCGUCAUACAACUUCAGUCCUUUCACCUUCAUGAGAUUUUGGAGUAACUUCUUCUGCAGGCUGAGAAGGUCCCGAUUCACUUCUCCAAUUCUUUCGAGAAAGGCAAAACGAUCGAAUUCAGCAAAAAUGCCAUCACAAGUAACCGCAGCCACUGUUGUCUUCCCUAUUCCUUCCGUACCACAUGCCUAUCAUGCGCCCAUCCUCCUCUUCGCCAUUUCUUAGCAAGGGAAUCGUAUCUUCUGCUAAAUGAGCUACUCCAAUUGUGUUUUUAGUAUGGUAGAGAGACCGUGUUUGACGUAUCUUCUCAGCAAGGUACUUGGCAAUCUUUUCUGUGAGCUUCGCCUCAUUGCUGACGUUAAAUGUUGGUACCAAAUUAUAUGAGCAAUAUGUAUGAGAAUAUAGACAGACACAUACACCCAAGAGACGAAAUACGAUGAACGUUAUACUAAAAAAGUCUAUGGUUUGUGAAGAGAAGAAAUCGAGUUUGACUGAAUCACCAGAGACAUUGGCAUGUAUCAACUGGUGAUUAACUCAACUUUCUAUAUAACCUCAUCCUACAGCAGAGAAGGGUGCGUCCAGCUUCUUCUUCUUCUCUUUUUAUUUUUAUUUAUUUUUAAUGGUUUUUCUUGGUCGUCUUGUGUUGCGCCGUACCAUGAGUACGACGAAGCGACGCCUUUCUGAUUUAAAGCCAUAAAAACAGUAAAAAUUAGUGUAUACCCCCUUUCUACUAUGUUGUCAUGAUUUUAAGACUGAAACUCCACAAUUUAGUCCAAAAAAGGUAUGAAACCUCGACAAUGUAAACUACAAACUUCGGGAAAUUUACUCCGGCUUUUCGCUUUGACUUUACGGGGAAAUUAUUUAGAACAUUAUCACCUUUCAAUGUCAUGUCAAUUUGCACCUUGAGUUAUGCAACUCUAUGAUUAGCAUUUCAAUUACAUUUAACAUCUAAUCCUGUCUAGGAAUUUAUCAUUUUCCUUUCAAUUUUGUCCCUUCCAUCAUUUCAAAUUCACCAACAAUGAAAAGUCACUUACCCAAAACCCCUAACCCAUCCGCACCCAAUGUUCAGGCCCUCCCCUCGACAACCGCCUCGCCAUCACCAUCAGCCCAGGUCAGAUCCAACUCGAACUCGACAGAUCUGAGUCGAGUUUGACUCCGACCGUGGCUGAGAAGAGGGAGAGGCCGAAAGCAUUGUGCGAAAGAGAGAUGCAAAGAGGGUUCAGUCGUAAUCCUUCAAAAGAUGGCAAUAAGAAUUCAGGAAAGUGGAAUAAGACUUCUGCUAAUACCAUUCCCUUAAGAAAACCAAUUCCGUCGAUUAUACACAAAUUCCAUCUAUAAAGCUGACAAACCAAAAAAAAAAAUGGCAUCAAAAAAGGAAAAAAUCACAGAUGGCGAUACUAGGCUUCGACAUAGAGUGAGAAUCACAGGUACUUCACUAAUGGCGUUGUUCUGCAAAUGGAAGCCGAAUAUAUGCUUAGCCCCUAUUAGAGCAUUUUUCCAUAUUGUUGUCUGCGCAUCAUUUUUCUGGAUCAUACACAACCUCUCGAAACCUUGUGAGAACUUGGUUCCGCUCGUCAACUUCGGAACAUCAGCCGCGUCCACGCCAUGAAAAAUGGGGACAACCACGUGGCCCCGGAUCUUGAGCUACCCUCUGCACUCGAGGAUCUCUACCAGCUCAUUCGGGCACCACUUGGAGUCAGCAUAGUUCGCGGAGAACAUGGCGAGGGCGAAACUCGCAUGCCAGAUCGCUCUGAAGAACUUGUCCUUGAUCUCCUCCCCAGCGUCCUCUCUGUCCUCAUUACUGAAGUAGUUAAUCCCCGCAUGGUUCAGCUCGUGGAAGAGCAGUGAUAUGAAGUUCUUCCUAAUGUCCUUGCCGUUGAAACUCACAAAGACUUCGUGCUUCCAUUGAUGAGAAGACAUGGAUCUUGUCUUGUUGAUAUGUGGUGUGAAGAUAUCACCGCUUAUCUCUUGUGACUUUUUGUGUUUUGGUCGAAAAGCUGUUUAGUUUCGACAGGAGUCUUUUCGGCACACAUAUUAAAGUGUCUUUAUUACUAUUUAUUGAGACAUGUCUUUUCAUAUAUGUAAGGUAUGUCAAGAGUCGUGUUUUAAGCCUACAUAUAAACAAGUCUUGUAAUUGUUUCAAAUAAUGGAGAGUGAAAAGACAUUUAAGCAAGUAAAGUAGUGUAUUCAUCCCCUUCCUUAAGAGCUUCUCUUGUGAGAGUAUUAAUAGAGCUGUGCAACUCUGAUAUUCAAUAAUUGGUAUCAAAGCAAGGUUAUUUGGGACUGAGAGCAUGGUUGUCAGGGACCAUGAGUCGAGUCUUCCGGAGCGUAGUUUGUGAAGACAGUGGUCAAGGACCAUUGUUCGUGCAUAGGCGGUUGAGGAUCGGAAUACGUCGAAGUUCUGUCAGUGUGCAGUCAGGGACUGUGAUCGAUUGGUCGAGGAUCAAGGUUUCUUGGAGUAGUGUUGGGCAUUAUUUCAAGUCAAAUGGCGGAUAUUUCAAAUUCGACGAAUGGCAUUGAGAAGCUCAACAACUCUAAUUACAAUAAUUGGAGUGUCCGGAUGCAGUUUUAUUUGAUGGGUCAGGAUUUGUGGGAUAUCGUUGGCGACAGCAACACCACAGCACCCAGAGACAAUGAUGAAUAAAGGAGAUGGAAGAUAAAAGCGGGUAAGGCUCUUUACGCUCUUGCUAUAACUGUCGAAGAUGAUUUAUUGCCGCACAUUAGGAGCGCGUAGACUCCUAGGGAGGUGUGGGAUAACUUGGCAGCGUUAUUCGCAAGGUCGAAUGAUGCCAAGCUACAAAGGCUGGAGAACGAGUUGCUGUCGAUGUCACAACAAAAUAUGAUGGUGAGUCAGUAUUUUUCCAAAGUUAAGUCUAUUUGUGACAAAAUUUCAAAGUUGGAUCCCACUAAUGCCAUCUUAGAAACAAGAAUGAGAAGAAUUAUUAUUCACGGGUUAAAGCUGGAGUAUAACGGUAUUAUUACGGCUACUCAUGGAUGGGCAAUUCAACUGACGUUGACCGAUCUGGAGAAUAUUUUGGCUAACCAAGAGACUUUAGAUAGUCAAACGUCUAAGGUUUCGAUUAAGGAAGAAGAAAGUGCCAUCUUCAAUGAUAAAAGAGGUUCAAGGGCCAGAGGCGAACUUAUGCUGACAAUAAAGAUGGCAAGUCUAGGAAAAGCCAUAUUGAAUGGCAAAAGCAACCGGCUCAUGAAGGAUGGCAAAAGCGUCCAAGAGAGUCAAGCCUUCGACUAGGGGGAGCCGGGUGACGCGAUGGCAAAAGAUGUAGGGGACAAUGUUACGUUUACGGUAAGGAGGGCCACUUUGCUAGAGAUUAUCGAGCGAAGAAAGUUGAAGGAAAUGUCACAGCAUCAUCGAAGGGGAAUGAUUUCGAUGAAGAUAAGGAAUGGGAUUUCCAAACGUCUAUUGCAAUAGUGGUAUCAGACGAGUUCGCUGCCUCUUCCACAGUCGAGUUAAACGAUUCGAUGGCAUUAAUCUCUGUAAGUGAAAAGUCGAUUAAUUAUGAUUAUGACUAGAUUGUUGAUUCAAGGUAUUCGAGUCAUAUGACUGGAGAUCAAGACAAACUAUCAAACAUGAGUAAUUAUGUCGGAGGACGUGUUAUUAUUACUGCAGACGGCUCGAGGUUGUCGAUUACUCAUAUCGGCGAGACGAUGAUAACUCCUCGAUUCAAUUCACAGCAAGUUGAAUUGAAAAGUGUGUACCAUGUGCCAGAAAUGAAGAAGAAUUUAUUAUCUGUGUCCCAACUCACAGACUCGGUAAUUAUGUGGUGUUCGGUUUACGAGAUGUUAAGGUGUACUGAAGUUUGAAGCCCACUAGUCAACCAAUCAUGGAAGGACAUCGGUUGGAGUCUGUUUACGUGAUGUCUGCUCAAACGACAUAUGUAAACAAAACUCGAAGGAAUGAUACACCUGAUUUAUGGCAUACAUGGCUUGGGCAUGUAAGUUAUCACAAGUUGAAGGUAAUGAUGCAAAAGAACAUGCUGAGGGAUUUUCCCCAGUUGGAAGUGCAAGAAAAUGUGAUUUGUGCCAGGUGCCAGUGCAUGAAGGCACAUCAACUUCCGUAUGAGGAAUCGUCGUUCAAAGCUUGGGUGCCUCUCAAGCUCGUUCACUCGAAUGUGUUUGGUCUAGUGAAGCAGCAAUCUGUUAGCGGAUUCAAGUAUAUGAUCACUUUCAUCGACGACUUCUCCAGUUACGUCGAGGUUGAUUUCAUGAAGGAAAAAUCUGAGGCGUUUAUCAAAUUUAAGGUGUUUAAGGAGAAGGUUGAAAGUGAAGUAUGUAGAAAAAUUCGUUGCCUAUGCACUAAUAACGGGGGAGAGUACAAUUCCUACGAGUUUACGAAGUAUUUGUAAGAGUACAUCUAUCGUUUUGGCGCCCUGUGUCCGUAUUUGAAUCCUUGAGAUUUUCACGACAAUCGAGAGUCACCAAUGGGUCGAGUGGGUUUAUUGUGGCUUGAAGAAAAUCGACCACGGGUCAUAUGUCCUAAAAAAGUUCUGAAAACUACCCGGUAGUCUAGGUCAUACUAAAGCGCGCCCGAGUGAAAUUAACCGCCAGUCUAAGUUCGAUUUCAGAAAUUGGAAGUUGUAUCAUGUCACAUGUCAUUUUAAGAACGUCGAAUCAGUCUCAGAAGAUUUUUCGGGGAUUCCGAGAUUUUUACGGAAAAUCGUUCGGACGUCGCGGAAAAUUAACAGAAAUUCGUUUGGACUGAAUUUAAACGAGUUUGGACUUUUGAGCCAAGCCUUUGGGUGUUGGGUAACUACUGAAAAUUCUACGGGAUUUAUCUUCAUCAAAAUUGGACUUCGAUUUGGAGAUUGGGUGGAUAAAUUGAAGAUUAAAAUUGAAGAAUUCGGAUCUAUGGUAAGGGCAACAUAUUUUGACAUCAAUAUUAGAUUUAUUGGUGGAAAAUUGGUGGGAAAGUAUUGGGGACCAAGCAUUUAUGUAAGAAGAUAUUUUAUUUGACUUUGGGUCCAUCCUCAUCCAUUCCUUUCCACCUUCUGGAGCAAGUUUCACUCGCCGACUUUUCCCCCUCCUUUCUCUCGAGCGACCAUCCCCUCCAUCAAUUUUCCUGCAACCUUGUUUUCUUUCUCUUUGCAUUCGCUACUCCCAUUUUUAAUUCACUUUCUCUGCAGCCCCAUCUUUGUUCAAUCCCCCACCGAAAACUAGUUGUUCCCCACUCACGCUUCAGCCCCACUAAUCCCUGCUCACCACCGAAGCAUCCCUCUCUCUUCAUGCCGUUCCACCGAAGUCCCUUGCACCUUCAACGAGUCCAACGCCAGCGAGCUGCUUCCUUCGUCCCUCUCCACGUCGAUGCUGCAGCUCCACUUCGGUCUUGCCACGCCAGUUGAAGCCCAGCGAAGCCACAACAGCCCACGCCUCGGUCAGCUCGGCGAUUAUCUCAGCGAGUUGUUGACUCCUCCACGCGUCCGAGUCACCACCAACGCAGCUGCUUCACUUCCUCCUUGAUGAUUCAUUUGCGGGCCGCGCCAGACCACGUUGCUGCUACCAGACGUUCCAGCUUCUGUUAGCCACGCCUGCCCAUCCGAGUGAUGACCGAAACCCGUGAUUCCUCUUCACUCUACCAGCUUCUUUAUCUACUUCGUUCAACAAGCGGAGUUGAAGACCGCCGAAGGAAGCCGCACGUUCCACCGAGAACUACCAUCCACCGAGCUCUCUUCCCCUGCCACGUUUCGGUCCAUUUCACCGGCUAAAACCCAGCUGAAAACCGCUGAAGAUUGACCGAAGAAAUCCCCCACCGAGCGAAGCUGCAUCUCGUCCCCUUGUUGCCAGCGAAGCUCGAAGAUUCCAACGCACGCUAGCAGCUGCUUCUCCAGUUCGUGGGCCAGCCGCAGCAGCCCAGCCCGCGCGUGACACCAGCUCCAGCAGUCUUCGGUCUUCUCCAGCGGCGUGCCCUUAGCCCAACACUUUCAGUCAUUUGGGCCCAGUAAAAUUCAGUCCAGCUGAGGGCCAUUUCAAGCCCAGUCGAAUUACUUCAGCUGCAGCCCAGCCCAGUCCAUGUGAGUUAAUUGGCCAAGCCCAAUUUCCAGCAAAGCAAUUGAAGUCCAGCCCAUAUCUUGAAGCCAGUUCAGUUUUGUUUCAAGCCCAUCUCAGCCCGAGUUUCAAGUCCAACAUCAUUUGUAUUUCAACGAGGCCUAGCAAGUUCAGCCCAUCUUGGGCCCGUGAAGCAAGUUCGGCCCAAGGCCAGCUUUUGAUGUGGGCUUGCGAGGCUUGUAGGCCCGGCUCGAGUGUCUAUCGUCGCCGCCGAAAUUUUGGAAUUCGGCCGCCGUCGCGGUUUUCGAUCUUCGCUUUACCAAGUGAGUUUUACUCACUAAUGCCUUUUUAGUGCGCUAAUUAUACUUAAAAGUUGAUUAGUGUUAAUUAAGUGUAAUUAGGUUGUUAGAUUAGAAUUGAUUAGUGAUUAUUAGUUAAUUGUUUUGCAUUUUAGUUGUGUGAUUAGUGUAAUUAGAUAGAGAAUUGCCUGUAGUAUUUAUUGGAUGCUUCUUGGGAUUUUUCCCGUCCCUUAUCGGGUGUUAAUUAAGCGAUUUGGGCCUAGGUGGUAUUUUUAGGAAUUAAAUAUUAAUUUUCGAAAUUAAUUAUUUAAUUAUUUAUUUCCUGGAAAUUCAACUAGGAUGGUCAGUGACCGGAAUUUUAUGCUGAUGAUCAUGGCGCAGUCCGUUUAUUUAAUUGAGCUUUAUAUUGUGCUAAAUUGAAUUUAUUGUAUUUAUUUAUUUAAUUUUCGAAAUUAAUUAUUUAAUUAUUUAUUUUCCGAAAAUUCAACCGGGAUGGCCAAUGAUCGGAAUUUCGUGCGGAUUGUCGUGGAGCAGUCCGUUUAUUUAUUUAAGCUUUAAUUUGUAUCGAAUUGAUUUAAUGGUGCAUUUUUAAGUAUGUUAUUAAAUAAUGCAAUUUUGGCCUUGUGAUUGAGAAUUAAUCGGGUAUCGGUUGUUAGUAUCGAAAGUGAGUUGGUAAAUCACCUUGAGGAUGCACGUGGCCCAGUGAAUUGGAAUGUUACUUGGGAAAGACACGUGGCUCGGUGAUUAGAUAUGUCAUCUUGGCGAAAAGGUAGCCUUAGAGAAUGCACGUGGCUCGGAGACUCGGUAUAUCUUCUUGGAGAAUGCACGUGGCUCGGUGACAUAGUAUGGCAUUGUAAAAAGGUCGGGUGGGACCGUAAAGCCACUAGUUCUUGAGAGGGUCGGGUGGGACCGUAAAGCCACUAAAUCCAAGGAAUUGCUUGGUGUGAGAUAAAUGACCUAGAAAUGAUUUGACUGGCUUGUAAUCGACUAGGUCGAUUGAUCGAUGAUUCGAUCUGAGAGUGUCUUGAUGUGAUUCAUUGCCUUGGUUUGAUGUUGUGAAUUGAAUGAUUGAAGGGAGAUGAUCGUGAGUGCUCUUCCUGAUGUGAAAUCGACUAAGUCGAUUAGAUCGAUGUUUCGAUCUGUGAUGUGAUUGCUUGUGUGCCUAUUCGAUCUGUACUAAUAUGCAGGUGGAAUCUGAGGCUAAGGUAAGUCUUCUAAUUCAUGUUGUGCAUAGGCAGCCUUAAGGUGUAUUAGUUUACUAAUCGGGUCUUAGGAGGUAGAACUUGCUGAGACGUUGUCUCAGUGGUUAUUAAAUAACCAUUUCAGGACCUGGAUGAGGAGCCUAAGGAGCAUGAAUCCGAUGAGGAGAUCCCUGUUGAGGAACCCAAAGAGGAGUACGUGGAGGAGGACCCCGAGUAUGACAUCGAGUACGACCCGGAUGAGGAUCGAAAUCCUAUCCUGUCUUGUCAGACCUUGUUUGCAUGUAAAAAGAUGUAGUUGUGAAUUUUCAGUAUGAGAAAUGUAUGGCCUGCUUUUCUAUCCCAUUGCUUUAUUGUCCGGGGAAUUAUAACUGCUUCCGCAUGUGCAUAUAUAAUUGAAAGGGUCGGCGAUACAUAGUCCUGGGAUAUUGCAUUUUAAAAUCGACCAAAAGUAAGGAUGUGUGCAUGCCUGAGGAUCGUAGCGUGACAAAAGGGGACCGAGUGAUUUUGUGAAAGUGACGUCUCUCUCUCUCUCUCUCUCAAAAGGGCUGCAAAUAGGGGAUUGAAAAAAUUUCAACUCAAAAUCUACUAUUUUAAUACCAUAUAAUAUUUUGUGAAAUCAUUGUUAAUUAUUUUUAAAGUUUAAAUUAUUAAAUUGAGGCAUGACUUAAUAUUUAUAUAUUCUAACAUAAAACAGGAAAUUAAAGAAGAAGAUUCUUACAAUCACAAGCCAAAGAAAAGACAAAAAAUAAAAAUAAAAGAGCUUAGGGGAUGGGAGGGUGUUGAAUUUAAUAUGGUUCCAAUCGUGCUCCAAUAGAAUUAAGACGCGAUCCCGCCCUUCCAAAAAAGCCAACAAUCCUACCACCACCUGAUGCUGACGGGAUAUGAAAUUCCGUUAACCUUCCACGAGCAUCCUUUGAUCCGAAUGGCCCGUAAGUGGUUUUUGUCGUAUGUAUUUUCAGGCUGUGGAUGAUGUUGUCGGGAUUGUUUCCAUAUCCGUUAGUGUAGCCUGAUAUCGAAACUAGACGCUCCUUGGGAUAAUCCAGCAAGAGCUGCAAGAAUAGCAAAGCGAAACGUGUUUUACUUGUGAAAACUUAUGGGGGAAAUUCGAGAUACAGGAUGCCAAAAAUAUGGCCUCCCCCAGUCUUCGAUGAAAAGAAACGGUUGCUACACGAAGAUAAGAACAUUAGGACAAGCACCUUGUAUACAUAAACGACUUACAGACAGAAAGAGGAUCAAAGAGGUAAAAUAGAGGGGUGGAUUGAGAUAUAUGGAACAAACCCGGAUGAACGAAGGCUCUUUUGUUCCGCCACGUGGAGGGCGUACGACCGGGGAACCAUUGUUAUCGUACGUAAUCCCGACGGAUUGAAUUACAUCGCCGACGGUUAUAUCAAAUGCCCUCACGUCAGUAUGUACUCCAUCAUCCCAUUCGGUUCCCCCGGAGCCUCCAAAGGGUCCGAUGGUUUGGAAAGGAUACAGGUGCGGUAUGGGCUCCGCGUACACGCCUAUGGAGUUGAGAGUCUCCCUGCACCUUCCGUAAAAGCCAAUGAUUCUGGUUCCGGUUGAUGGAUACCAAAAGUACUUCCCCGUCUCCUUACCAAAUGGACCAUGUCUCCCUUUAUUAGUGUGAAAUGUGAGCGACUGAACAAUAGCAUUAUUGAUGUCGUCAUCCCCAUUCGCACGCUUGUAACCUGAGAUUGAUGUCAAGUACUCUCGUGGAUAAUCCAAUUUGACCUGCACAAUCUCAAAAGUAUCUCCUAAAAUUGGAUUGAGUGGCGUAAACAAGACCUAUUUGUUGAGUUUAAUUUACUACUUCACAAGACCAAACACAUAUUAACAUCAUCUCGAUCAGUGAGAUAUAAGUAAUUAAAUAGUCACGAAUUAGAGAGGGAGAAAAACACUAACCUUGGUGAUGUUGGCCAUGUAUUCUCCUGCGUGGCCACCGUGCAUAACUGAGCAAACUCGUUCACCACUCUUGUCGUAUACAAACAUGAUGUAAUGGAUAACGUUGCCGUGCAUUACCUUAAUUUCCCUCACACCAUUGAAUUUCCCAUCGUCCCAAGCACAUCCACCUAGGCCUCCAAAUGGCCCAAUUGAUUUGAUUGGGUGGAGAUGCGAGAUCGGUUCAAAAUGCGCUCCAAUUGCUUCAAGAUGUUCACCACUCCACCCGUAAAAUCCAACAAUUUGCCCACCCGUUGCAGGACAUGAGAAGUGCCUUCCCAAUUCACCACCAAUAGGUCCGAUCGUUUUUUUUUGUUUGUUUGAAAUGUGAGAGAUGUAAUGCCGCCCAUAAUGUAACCUGAUAUAGAAGUUAGAUACUCAUCCGGAUCAUCUAUUCUAAUAUGCAAUUAUAGACAACCACCAAACUCGUGAUUUAAAGUCUACAAAGAGUCUUGUCAGCAUGGGCAUUGUAAGUUUCAUAAUGAUUUUACAAAGUAUACGUAUGUAUGGGGACCUACAGUAUGGAUCUUGAUGUCCCUUACUAUAUGGAACUUGUUUCCAUGAAUGCCUCCAUGUGUCUCAGAUUGCCACAAUUCUCUAUUCUCCUCUUCAUACUGAAAUGCGAUUGACUGGAUCAAUGGCCCUUUACUUGGUUCAAAUUCAACAAUGAUUUUCCUUACAUUGGUAUGCUUAUUGCCAUCAUCCCAAAAUGAUGCAUUUGAACUCCCAAAUAACCCCACAGACUUAAAGGGAUAGAGCUUGUUAGAGUAAAGCUCGACUUGUGCUCCAAUAGAUUCAAGAAAAUUACCACUUGUCCCGAAAAAACCGACAACUUUCCCAACUUCUGACGGUAAGGAGAAGUACUCCCCUUUCUCUCUACCAAUGGGUCCCCAUAAUCUUUUGUUGGUUUGAAAUGUGAGCGAGUUGAUAAUGCCGGUGAAGAAACCUGAAAAUGAGGUUAUAAACUCAUCUGGGCAACCCAAUUCAACCAGAAAAUUAUAAGUCACUAAACAAGAUCAUGUUGUGGACAUGAAUCAUUGUAUUUCAAUUUUAACCAGUAAAUUGGCUAUUUAGUAUUCUAGGGAAACGUGAGGCAAAUCUAUAUAAUCAAUUAAAAAGGUUAUAAAGAUCAUCAUCAACCUUUUUUUUCCUGGCCGAGAUUUUAAUCCUCUAUUUCAAACAGAAAAGGAAAAGAAUUCAUAGAAGUUUCUUCUCAGGUGGCAUUAUCUUCGAGGGACUGAUUUCGUUCGACAAUCAAAAUAAUUAGAUUCACUUAUUGAAACCUUUAUGAUUCUGAUCCUUACAUUGAAAGAUCAUAGGAAAUUGGUUUACCAACCUCAUAGAUGUGUCCCCCAAGAUUUUGACCGUGCGUCGUGGAUCGAAUAGAACCAUCCAUGUUGACAUAAUCAAAAUCGAUGGAAUAAAUGAAGUCUGAGUAACGAACAACAAUCCUCUUUAUGUCAAUGUAUCUUCCAUCAUCCCAAGUAGGGGUGAGCAUGGUCCGGGUUGGUCCGGGCCACCCUCUAACCCUAGGACCAACCCGUACAGUGUCGGUCCUCAAAUUUUAGGACCGAGGACCGACCCUAUUAAGCCUGGGACCAAGGAUCGGACCGACCCAAUGGGUUCGGUCCAGUUCCAGGGUCAACCCGAACCAAUCGACAAUUUUUUUCGCCUUGUUUUUUAUACUCCCUAAAAAAGCAAACUUACAAAUUCAAAUUACACAUCCAUCGACAAUGUAGCAUUGUACAAUGAAACUAUAAAUACCAAUACAUAUUCACCAAAAUUUCCUUUCUUUUCCCAGCAAAACUUUGGCAUUUUUUUACCUAAUUUCAGCUCAUAAAUUACAAGCUCAUGUCUUUAUCGAGCUUGUUGUUCCAACAUGCAACGAUCUAGAUUUUAAAAACAUGACAUCAAUACGGUUCAAUUGCUACUUCAGUUAAAAUCACGAUGGAUGAUGAGCACGAUUCGGUUCUCCAAUCAAAGCUAAAACCCAUCUCCAAAAAAGGAACGAAAAGCCUAGAAAGAACACGUCGGAUGCAAUCGCCCCCGUCAAUCGAGGAUCAAAAAGGGGAGGUCACAGGGACUAAUACCCAGCCAAACUGAUCACGUACGUGAAGCAAACGUGGAAAAAUAAAAAUUCAACACAAAUCAAGAGCAUUGAAGAUCUCAAAUGAAGCACAAAGUAGAACUCACUAGCCAAGUUCGGAAAGCAAGGGUGAGCCGAGCGUUAGGGUUUCUAGUUAGGGUUUUUUCUUUUCCUUCUAAUUUACUCGGCGAUAAGCGAGGCGACCGGCGCGAGUGGCGAGCGGCAAGCGUCGAGCGUUGAGUGGGGCAAGCGUCAACUAGCGAGCGGCAAGCGUUGAGCGAGGCCAGCGGUAAGCGGCAAGCGUUAAGCGAGGCUAGCGGCGAGUGGUGAGUGGCGAGUGUUGAGCGAGGCCAGCGAUCAUAGCAAAGGGCGAGUGGUGACCGGCGAGCGGUGAGAGUGGCACGCACGGUCAGAGGUGAGCGGCGUGGGCAACCAGAGGUGAGUGGGAUGUUGCUACUUUUGAUUUUGGCAAAUUGAAGAACAAGGAAGACAGAAUGGAAGAGAACGUACUUUGGGGAAGGAAGCUAUGAGGAGAUUUACGGCGUAAACUUCAUGCCGUUUUGGAUGUCGCGAGUCUGUGACUGUGAGGACUCCUUGGUCCUCAUGGUGAAGAUUGAAGAACAUACUCUAGACUGUCCUCCACACCUUUUGAAAUUGGAUGCCGUCUGUCCGUGACUGUGAGCCUGAGGAGUCAACAACUUUAAUAUCAUUUUACUUAGGUUUUUUUUUUUUUGAACAGACAUUUUACUUAAAUGUGAAUAUAUAAAAGAAUUAUAAAUAAUAUAAUAUAAUAUAAUAUAAUAUAAUAUAAUAUAUAAGGUUGGUCCAGGGUUGGACCAACCCAAAAUUCUCAGGACCGAGAACCAACCCGCACAGUGUUGGUCCUGGAAUUUCAGGACCAAGGAUCGACCCAGUCCCCUUGGGAACCGGACCAGGACCAGCAGGGUUGGGCCGGUCCAGGGUUGGUCUAGGGUCGACCCUAGACCGCUGCUCACCCCUAAUCCCAAGGAUCUCCACCAUCACCUCCAAAAGGCCCAAAAAGCUUGAAAGGAUGAAUAUGAGGAAUUGGCUCAUAAAAAGCUCCAAUGGACUCGAGACGAGGGCCAUCACAACUCCCAUGAAACCCGAUAAUUUUGCCGCCGGUGUAUGGAAAUGAAAAACGCCUUCCUUCUGCUAUGGAAUGUUAAUGACCGAAGAAUGAUAACUCCAGAAUCUUUUUCCGUGUGGCCCGAGGCCGAACUCAAAUACUCAUAGGGAUAGUCAAGUUUAAUCUGGAAAAAAAAGAAGAAAAAAAUCAAAGCUCAAGAAGGGGCCACAAAAGCAAGACCAUAACUCAAGAGACGACAUUUAAUAUAUUAACACAUCUCUAGGGAUGACCGUUAUAUUCACUUUUCUUGGUUUUGUGAGUGUUUCAUUACUUCUGAAUUUUCCUUUUACUCAUUUUGGCCCAUUUAUUCCCGAUAGCUUAAACAACUGCGGCUGGGCUAUUCAAUCCAAAAAUUUUCGAGGACGAGGAGGAGGAAUUACCCUAUAUGUUUUGCUUCCGCCACUUGUGCCAUGUGUGAAGGGACCAACUGGAUGUCCCCACUUAUCGUACAAAACAGAAAUAUACGUGAUUGCUGAAUCGAAGCCUACGACGAUUUCCCUCACAUCUGUAUGUCUCCCGUCGUCCCAAAUGUCUGUACCAUAAUCGCCUCCGAAUGGUCCCACGACUUCAAAAGGAUAUGCAUGUGAAAUUGGCCCAAAGUGUGCUCCAAUCGAAUCGAGAUGGCCACCGCAAUUUCCAUGAAACCCAAUAAUCUUUCCGCCAUCAACUUGUGGAGAACGAAAAAAUUGCCCGUUUUCAGAGCCAACUGGUCCAUAUGUCUUUCUGUUGCUAUGGAAUUUGAGAGAAUGAAUAACCAUAGAAUUUCGGUAGUCACUUAUAUGGCCCGAGAUUGAAGUCAGGUACUCAUUUGGAUAAUCUAGUUUGACCUGCAACAAGUGCAAGAAUCUUGUAAGUCAUGUUGUCUUUCAAGAUUAAGAAUUACAUUUGUUUAUAUGUAGAACCUAAAUUCUAUAUCUUUUCCGUCCUUUUGAUCUAUCGCUCCACCUACUUGACUUCUUAUCAACAAUACCAUGUGAGAGUUUAUAUAAAUCAUACGAUGGGUUUUGGUUCUUGUGUGGUAUGCUAAUGUGUGAUUUGAGCACAUAAUUACUUCUAAUCCAUCACUUAAUCAUGAUGAUCCAGCAUAAAAUAAAAUAAAAAUAGUAACCCGAGGAAACUUUUAAGACUAAUAGGAUUACUCACCGUAAAAAUUUUACCAUAAGGACAUCUGCCGUGCUCGAAAGAACACACCAUACAGCCGUGUUGAUCAUAAUCAAUGGUUAUGGAAUUGAUAACCGACUCAACCCAGACACUAAUUUUCCCUACACCGGUGUAUCUUCCAUCAUCGUAAGCAUCGCCACGUUGGCCUCCAUAUGGCCCGACGGAUUGUAUUGGGAGGCCCAGUGAACUACCGACUCCAACAAUGCAAUCAAGAUAAGGGCUUCUCACCAACUUGUCCAAUGUUUUAUGCCAUUGAUCUUUUGACUCAUCCCUAAGGUAGGAACCUAAUUUUCUGAGGGCCAAUGGAUGACCUCCUGCAUAAUGAAUUAGACUUUCAGAUAACUCCUCAUAACCUUGUGUAGGUUCUGAUUUCUUGAAGGCAUGGUGACAAAAGAGUUGAAGUGCUUCGUUUGGACUCAAUCCUUUGACGAUGUACUUCUCAUCUACCUUCAGAACUUUCAGUAAAUUUUGAUCUCUCGUCGUGAUCAAGAUUCUACUCCCUGGGCAAAACCAUUCUCGCUCUCCGGCGCCGAAAUCGUCCAAUUGUUUUUUCUCAGUAACACCAUCAACAACAAGAAGUAUCUUUUUAUGACGCAUGCUUCCCUUUAUCUUGUUGGUCUUGGUGUCGAUGACGUCAUAGCACUCCUGUCUUGUUUUCUUCAUGAGAUUUUGGAGUAACUUCUCCUGUAAGUCGGGAAUAUCACUCCAAUUCGCUUCCCCAAUUUUAGGGAGGAAGACAGAACACUCGAAUUUGCCACGAAUUCGAUCAAAUGCAACUCGAGCCACUGUUGUCUUACCCAUUCCAGCUGUACCACAUAUACCUAUCAUGCGCACAUCCUUUUCAUGGCCAUUAUUUAGCAAGGAAAUCACGUCAUUUGCCAAAUGAUCUACUCCAAUUGCAUCUUUCACAAAGUAGGGAGGCCGUAUUUGACGAAUCCUCUCGGCAAGGGAUUCGACUAUUAUUUUAAUUAGCGUCGAUUCAUUACUGAUGUUACAUGUCAGUACAAAAAUUAUGAGUGAUAUGUAUGAUAAAAUAAGCAUACACAUAUUCCCCAAGAGACAACAUACGACAAACUUUGGACUUAAAUUUCUAUGGUAUAACAAUAGAAGAAAUGGAGCUUGACAAAAUAACCAUAGACAUUGGCAUGUGUAACCAAGAAUAGUGAUUAACUAAGCUUUACUUUCAUUUGACAAAAAAAGAAGAAGAAGAAAACGAAGCUUUAUUUUCGAUAGUAACCUCAUCCACCCGACCACUGCUUAGCCCCUCCCCUUCCAGCAUCGGAGAUGCCUGCCACCAACCACCAACCCAGCUGAGCCAUGAUUCGUUGACCUCGACUAGAUAGAUCUAUGGAGGUCCACCGACGUCCAGCUCGAUUCAGAUAUGUCGAGUUUGACUCAAACAUAAGCCUAUAUUUCUAAGUUGAGCUCAACACCAACCAUGGCCAAGAAGAGAUUCCAAGGUCUAUCUAGUUUUUAUUUGUAUUGUUAAUUGAACAAUUGUAAUUAAUUAUUACCUUUAAUGACCACUACUUACUACUCAAUCUAUUGACCACAACUUAUAUUUAUACACACGAAAAAUAUGAAAUAUUAAUAAAGUAAAAGUUUUAGUCAUAAAAUAAAAGUUCAAACUAGUAAUUCUACACCAUGGAGUAUCGCAGGAUAUUGCGAAAACAUAUACCAUAAAAAAAACUUGUUCCGGGUUCUCAAUUUCCAGUUUCACAUACCUAGAAUCUGAAACCUACCCAUUAAAAUAAGUUCUCCAAUUUUUGUAAGAUGACGAAGAGCAGUUCUUUCUUUAUCCUACACACUUUUGACUAUUGCAUAGCCCACUUGAGCCUAUAAAUUCAUUUCAUGUCAAACCUAGUUGGUGAUCAUCCCCCACACUAGGGCAAGAUGAAAGACAAUCAUUCAAGUGGCAUGGUCUAAAAUGCUCAUAAAAGAAGACUGUGUAAGUCCAAAGAGAAGAAGUGCAAAAUAGGACAUGAAAAAGUAGUGUACCUGGUAAAAACAAGGCCAAUGCCCAGAAAAAAAAAAUCAAAAUCAAACUCUUGAUAUGGUGAGUCAUAUCCCCAAUAAAGCAAUACUAAAAAACUCAUAUACUAUUGCAAUCAAGUGAGUUGUGAUAUAAAAAAUCUUCGAUAGUGGAGAAAGAAAGUGGUGGAAAUGUUAAGAUGAUCACCAACUUUGACCCCCCAAACACUUUUUGAGUCUAAUGAUCCUUUCAUUUCUCAACCCAUGAGAUAAGCCUACGUUAUGUCCCUUGCAAAGUCUCUUCAAAUUAGGGCAUUUGAAUUAACCUAGGGGUUCACAUGUUUUAAGCAACGCUCGAAGAAGUGCGAGCAAGUUUAUUCAUUUCUCAUUUUGCAGGGUUCUUAACUUGUAAACCCAGAGAUGAUUACAGAAUAUCAAUCAUUCUUUCAAAAGCCUCGACUCAAAGAGUCUCUUUUGUUAAGCCAUUGAACAGGCCCACAUUACGGUCCCUGUUAAAGACCUCUCAGAUUGGUAAGGUCAUACCACUUGCAAGAUUGCACAAACCCUUGUUUGGCAUCAUGACAGUGAUAUAGAGUGAUUGCCAAAGUCCUACAUCAAAGGUCGAAAUGAAACGGCCCUUUUAAUGAGGAUGAGAGAAAAGUCCUUUCAGACCAAAAGAUCCCUCAUUCGAUACCUCCAUGACACAUAUGUUUGGAUUGGGAUAUUCUUUUGAGAUAUUUCCCGAUGGAAAUUAGGCAAUGCAAGAUUGAUAGAAAUCAUCACGCAUGAACCUCAUUUGAAUUAAUGCAUGUCUGUGAAUGCAUAUUGCCUUUCCUACAAUUGCGUUUUGCAGGAAACAUAUCCCCAAGGAACAGAUGUGUCACCAGGUAAGUCUAUCCAUACCUUAAAUACUUGUCAUUGUACAGGUAUUCCUUUUCAAGCACUGGUGCUCGAUGGAGUCGCACCCCAAAAAUUUUUCCUAGAUACACCUAUUCAGGCGACUGUAGAAAGGUACGAGUCUUGGAAAAUAAAUUUCCGUUUAGGCGACAGUAGAAUGAUACGGGUCCUAGACAGUAUUCAGGCGACCGUAGAAUGGUACGGGUCUUGGAAAACGAAUCCCCGUUUAGGUGACCGUAGAAUGGUACGAAUUCUAGACAGCAUUCAGACGACCGUAGAAUGGUACGAGUCCUGGAAAAUAAAUCCCCGUUUAGGCAACCGUAGAAUGGUACGGGUCCUAAACAGCAUUCAGGCGACGGUAGAAUGGUACGGGUCCUAAACAGCAUUCAGGCGACAGUAGAAUGGUACGGGUAUUGGAAAAUGAAUCCCAGUUUAGGCGACCGUAGAAUAGUACGGGUCCUAGACAACACCUAUCCAAGCAGCCGUAGAAUGGUACGUGUCCUGGAAAAUGAAUCCCAGUUUAGGCGACCGUAGAGUGGUACGAGUCCUAGACGACACCUAUUCAGGCAACCGUAGAAUGGUACUGGUCCUGAAAAAUGAAUCUCAGUUUAGACGACCGUAAAAUGGUACGGGUCCUAGACAAUCUCAGUUCAGGCGACCAAAGAAUAGUAUGGGUCUUGGGAAAUCAUUUUUUUUCCGUCAAUGUGACCAUAGAAUGGUAUAGGUCUUAGACAGCAUUCAGGCGACCGUAGAAUGGUACGGGUCCUGGAAAAUAAAUCUCCGUUUAGGCGACCGUAGAAUGAUACAAGUCCUAGACCAUUUUUUUUUCCGUCAAUGUGACCAUAGAAUGGUAUAGGUCUUAGACAGCAUUCAGGCGACCGUAGAAUGGUACGGGUCCUGGAAAAUAAAUCUCCGUUUAGGCGACCAUAGAAUGAUACAAGUCCUAGACAACCUCAAUUCAGGUGAUCAUAGAAUGGUAAGGGACCUGGAAAACAGAUCCCCGUUUAGGCGACCGUAGAAUGGUAGGGUUCCUAGACAACCUUAGUUCAGGCUACCGUAGAAUGGUACGGGUCUUGAAAAAUCAUUUUUUCAUUCAAGAGACCGUAGAAUUGUACGGGUCCUAGAAAACCAUUUUUUUUUUUUUCGUUUAGGUGACUAUAGAAUAGUACGGAUCCUAGACACAACCAAACAAUGUCAUACUAGGCGACCGUAGAAUGGUACGGGUCCUGGACAUGUAACACUAAUCUAUCUUGAGUUACUCUACCGUCCCUGAAGAUAAGUAAUUCCAGGUAAAUUCCAUUAUCAUCUGCAUUAGCAUUUCCAUGCAUCAUAUAAAUUUCAUUUCAAAAUGGGAUUCAUUUUCCAAAAAAAAAAAAAACAAACAAACAAAAACAAAAAGUCAUUUAGUGCAUGUGCAUAAUUAAAAUUAGGUCUCAAUUUGUUUUUUGUUUUUGAAAGCAACCUCUACGAGCUCACCUUCAAAGAUGGGUAACUGUUGACACCUAAUUUUGGAAAAAUAAAAUUGCAUUUUAAACAAAUAAAAAGAAAAAAAAUGAAAAUGGGGGAAAUUAGUUUGAUUGAAUUAUGCAAGGAAAUAUGGAAUUAUGAUGGAUGUUUGGAUUUUGUUAAAUGCAGCAACAAUUUUGAAAUCAAGUGAAAAAUUGGCAAUAAUCGAGCUGAUUGUCAAAUUAUACAUAUUUGAUUUAAUGUGACAAGAAAUGGUAACUCAGGAAAUGCCAUGUAAAGAGACUGUUUCAAAUCACUAUAAAAGAGAGGCUCAUUUUUCAUGACAAAGGCAGCGGAUUCAAAAAAAAAUUCAAAGCAAAAAAAAAGUGAGAGUGGUUCUUUCGUUUUGUUAGAAUUCGAAAUUCAAGGAAGGAAAAAAAAAAAGAGUUCUUUUGUCUUUGUUUUCGAGAAAAAAGGUCAAGAAAAGAAAAGAGGGAAAGAGAGAAGAGACGUGAGAGCAGAGAGUGCAGUGACAGAGAGAAAAGAAGUGAUGUGAGAGAGAGAGAGAGGGAAUAAAAGAAAAAGGAAAAGGAAAAGGAAAAGAGAGGGGAAAAGGAUUCGUCUUCUUCAGGAAGGCUUCGCUCGACACCGGCGCCCAUCUCUUGCAGCUCGUCGCUGCACCACCGCGGCACCUCAGCCCGCCUGCCACCACCGUCGCUGGUUGUGGCACCGCUAUCCACCCAUCACUGCCGUGCCCCUUCGAGCAACGCCGCGCCUACAUCUCCGCCCUGGCGUCCCCUGCAGAUCUGGAUCCUCGCCACUCCGCUCCGACACCCAUUGCUUGAGCGUUGUGCCCUUCGGCCUGUUGCUGACGCGCCCUCUCCGAGCGUCGCUCGUCCCCUGCCCGAGCACCUGCAACAACCCGCGCCCCAGCCGACGCCACUGCCCAUCGUCGCACCGAAGCCCUGCUGCCGCGCCUACACCAGCAUCCGACGCCUACCUUGUUGUGAUCAGUCUUCUGCUCGGGCAUCCGCAAUACCGCCGCCGCACCGCUGCCGACGCUUGAGUCCGAGCUUUGCCCGCAACCUAGCACCCGACGACCGCAAUCCAACACCCAGCCGACGCCCCUGCAGUACUCCGCACACCUAUCCGCGACUCCACGAGCACCGCCGCCGCUUCACCAGGCCCCGCGUCGCCGCGCUUCAUCCGCGAUCUGCAGCGCCCAUCACUACGCGCCUCUGUUCAUCCGACACCAGCAACCCGCUAUCCCUGAGCCAAAGCUCGACUCCGUUGCUACACCUCAGUAGCCCGCACCAUCGCCGACUGCUACUCACCUGACUGAACCCUUCCGCCUCAGCAGCUCGUCUCCGCAGUGCCGCUGCCCGUGUCGCCCCCGCACCUGACCUCGAAGCCCGACGCUGCCGCGCCAGCAGCCCGCAUUGCCUCCGCGCCGCUCAUCACCGUGCGUCCGCUCCUCACCUGGGCCUACACCGGUCCCGCGUCGCCGCGAUCCCGCACCCUCGCCGUUCAGCAAGCCGCGCCUCCGCUCGUCCGUGGCACCUGCCGCACCUCCGAGCACCAGCAUCGUCACUGCCCAAACGCCCGCGCUCCGGCCCCCUUUUUUAUUUAAGAAAAAAGUCAAGGUAGUUUAUUAUUAUUUUUAUUUAUUUAUCAUGUUUAGUUGUAAUGGCUUAAAUUGAAACAUUGGAUGUUCGUUCAUUUUAUGAAUAUUGUAGGCAUUAUCCGUUAGGAUUGUUCGGAAUCAUUAUAAUUAUUAAUUUAAUCCGAGAGACAUUAGAUUUUUUUUUAAUUAUAUUAAUUUUUGGGCUUUUUGGUAGAAUUUUAAUUGUUAAAUCAUUAUAAUUAUUAAUUUGAUCCAUAAGACUUCGGAUCAAAUUUUUAAUUAUUUUGAUCUCUUUGUCAUGAUAAUUAAGGUUAAGAUAAUCGUUAAUUUGACUUGUGGGACAACAGAUUAUUUUUUCGAUUAUUUUAAUCAUUUAUUUUGUUGAGAGCUUAGAUUUAAUAUUUAUUUAAUAAUUACUUAUCUUUUAAAAAACUAAAAAAAUCAAAAAAACAAAAAAAAUCAAAAUUCUGCAUGAGCAUAUAGGUUUGGUAAAUCAGACAUUCAAGUUUAGUAAAUUAGAAUUUUCUUAGGAUUACAUUUUUAGGGUUGCAUUUUUGGAAAUAAGUUAGGGUUGAACCUAAAUUAAUUUUUUAGAUAAUGUUCGCACAUUUUAAUUAUCUCAUUUUUCAAAAAAAAAUAAUUUUCUAAAAUAGGAUAGGAUUUAAGUCAAAUUAAUCCCUAGAAUAAAUUAGAAAAUUAUCCCUUUUUAGAUAGUAUAAUUAGGGUUUUUAUUAAUUCUGAAUUUUAAUUAAAAAAAUACAAAAAUACUAGGUGCAUGUUAAUUAGUUUGCAUAAUAGGUUCAUUUAAUUAGAAUUCAUUAUCGGAAAAAUGAGGUCAUGUAAUUAAAAUGCAUGUUUCAUGAAUAAUUCUAAUUUCAAGAAAACCCAAAAAAAAAAAUAAUUGAUUGCUUUGUGUGAUGCAAUUUAUUAUUUAUUUAUUUGAAUGUUUACUAGUAGAUGCACAUCCGUGUGGUCACCAUAUUUUCAUGAUAGCAAUUUAGGUUAAAAUAAAUCCAAGUUACCUGAAAAAACAUUUUUGAAAAUUAAAAAGAAGUGGUAUCGAAAGGGCAUUAGAGAAAUCUAGUGUAACCAAAUUCCCGUACCCUUAGUCUCUGAUUCGUAUGAAUAAAAUAAUUAUCAUAUUAUUUUGCUUAAGUGUCUAAUCGACUUACCAUAAAUCAAUUAGUGGCGACUCCUAGUUAAUAACAUUUUGUAUGUUAAAUGUUUGAACCUUAAGUCACGAAUUGGUAUUGACUUGGGAGAGCCCGAGCUAAGUUAAAAGACUUAAUAGUCCAUUAACCUAGUUCUAGGUGGUGUACCUGAAAUUUAGGUCGCGACAAUGAUCCAUCAGAUAAUAUACUAAAAAUAGAAAAAGAAGCAUACCAUACACUUAGGCAAUUUACUAUUUUUUAUGGAAUUUUAAUAAAUCACAGGACUUAUAGAACUUGCAAGAUAAAAGGGAAUCUUGAGUCUUGUGAAGAAAUAUUACGAAAUGUUAUAUAAUGAUUAAAUAAAUUUUAGUGAGGAAAAUUACGAACCAUGAAAUUUAAACAAGCGAAAAAUAUAAUAUGCGAAAUCAAUAUGUAUUAUUUAUAAUAGGAUCAAAUGUUGUAGGUUCAAUUGUCUCAUUUAUAAAUUCAUUAUACUUAUCAAAUAUCCUAUAUGUCCUAUUUUACUAACAUGAAUUUAUCAUGCCCUAUUUUUCUUUUUAAUUUGACACCACUAUCCAGUCAUUUAUGAACAAUCAUCAUUCUUUACUCAAGUAAAAUUAACUCUGACAUUGUAUUUUACUACAUUUUGUAUACGCUUGAACCAAAGUAAUUUUGUGUUAUAAUAUUGAUUCAUGCUGAUAAAUAAAUUUCACAUAACAUAAUGUGUAUAGUAUAAUCAAUUAUACUAUAAAUGAUUCUUUUUCCUAUGCUUGACAUAUCGUUUCACAUAGCGUCGGUUUUGCUUUGUACAAAUUCCAUUACAAUUCCAAAAUCAAUUUUCCUCUAACUUAAAUAUAUUUUUUUACCACAUAAAUGCCGUGCCUAAUUCAUAUUUAUUUUCUUUUUAACACAUAAAAUGUCGUGCCUAAUAAGUCAAUUUUACUUAUGUUUACAAGGCUCAAGCAUAAUUAUUUUCUCAUUCUCAUGAAGCUUCCUUUUACGACUUUUUUUUUUUUUUGGACAAUCCUUUUACGACUUAUUACUAUAUAUAUGAUACUUAUGAUUUAAUAUUUAUAGAAUAUUUUUUCUCUUAAAGUUUUCUUGCGAGAAAAGAAAAGAUUUCUCCCUAUCACAUUAUUGUAGUACAUAUUUUUUACUACGUAUAUAAAAUGUCAUGAGAUUUCUCCCUAUCACAUGAUUUGAGACUUGAUCAUACUAAUUUGAUAAAUUUUAGACUUGAUUGCACUUUUUAAAGACUUUAGAACUAGAUUGCACUUUGCAACAAGUUUCAGAAUUACUAAUGCACUUACAUAAGAAAAAUUAAGGAAGGAAAUUAAAUAAUCAAAAAGACAACUUCAAUCGUUCAGUACAUUUGAAUGGUUUUGAUUUCCCAACUCUACAUUAUGUAUACGGGUAAACUCAACAUUGACCGUAUGGCGCAUAUAACGGCGGAGCUUAACAUGUCAAGGCUCAAAAUGUGCUCCAAGUGAAUCAACCCAACAUCCAGACCACCCAUGAAACCCAACGAUCUUUUUACCAAUUGAUGGAAAAUAAAAGUAGUUCCCGAUCUCCUGACCAAAUGGCCCAUAAGUUCUUUCAUUGCUCUGAAAUGUGAGGGAGCGAAGAACAAUAUGCCCGGCAACAGAUUCAAAGUGACCAGAAAAUGAUGUCAAGUACUCUCCAGGAUAAUUAAGAUUAAUCUGCAAAAUUAGAAAGACAAGCAUAAUUAAUCCCAACCCCCAACCACAGAAUCUUGAAAAUCGGUAAAAACAGAACUCCGGUUGAUAAGUUGUAUCUAUUUAAACAAACAAUGCAAUAGCUAACUAAAUAAUUCCGCUGCAUCUAGAGCGUAAACCUAUUUUGGUCCGCCGCAAUUAGGCAAUUGCUUAAAAAAUGCUUUGGCAACUCUUUGAGAACAGCUACUAAAAUUUGGGAAAAUUGUUCUCAGAUUUAAAAGUCAUAAAAUAAAAAUAGCUUUCGAUAUUCUUUUUUCCCCCUUUUUCGGAGGCGGUACUUUUCUGAAUGUAUUGAGUGCUUUCAUCGUAAAUGGAACCGAGGAAGGUUGGAAAACCAAAGAGAAGUCCCUGUUCAAUAAUGAUAUAACACCAUGCCCCAACAAUGACUUUCUCAUUCGAGAUCAUUUGUCAAACUCAAAAUCCAGAUUGUUCUCAUCAUCUUACUUUUACCUCCACGCUCUGUUUAGAAUACUUUGCUCAUCUGCAUAAACGUGAUCUCUAGACCACUUAAAACUAAAACCUUAGCAACAACCCAUAAGCUGCACGUUCAUAAUAUUAAGCAAACGUCUAAAGGGCCAUACCUCGAGCGUUAGAUGUCCCCCAUCUCCACCAUGUCUAGGGCCCUGAACCACAGACCCGUUCUUGUCGUACUCAACAGUAAUGGAGUAAAUAAGAAAUCCACCUUUUACCAUUACUUUUCUCACACCUGUGCUAUCUCCAUCGUCCCAUGGACUGCCACCUUGUCCUCCAAAUGGCCCAAUGGAUUUCAAGAGACGAAGAUCGGAAAUUGGUUCAAAGUAGACUCCUAGCGCAUCAAGCUGGAUACCAGACCUUCCGUGAAAGCCAAUUAUCUUGUUGCAUGUCAAUGCACAGCGAAAGAAGUUCCCUUCUUCCUUACCAAAGGGUCCAAGCCUUCUUUUAUUGCUUUCGAACGUGAGUGAUUGGAUAACAGAACAGUCAUGUCUGAUAUAUCCUGAUACCGAGGUCAAGAACUCAUGAGGGUAAUUCAAGUUAACCUGCAGAAUUGAGAAGUACUUAUUGCAUUUAACUGUUAUAUCGAUCCAUAUCAAAGAUGAUAGAUAGCUUAUAGUGGCCUAAGAAAACACUGGAUCCACGUGCAACCAAGACCCGAGAAUUUCUAAAGACUAAUAUUCUUACAUCAAACUUCUAGGGUCAACAAUAAGAUGAUAGAUCAUUAGGGUUCACUGGCGCCCUUUGCUGAUUUGCUUCAUUUAGCAUAAAAGAAAAAAACUUAUCAUACCUGGUUAUUCACAUGGAAUCCAUCCUGCAUAAAGCAUAUUAAUUGACCAAAAGCUUAUGGUACCGGGUUGCUCUCAUGGAAUCCAUCUCACAUAAAUCAUAUUAUUGACCUUCGUGUAAUUUAUAAAAUAAAAAGGGACGACUAUAUUAGAAGUUCUAAAACCUGUUAAGAAAUAUAAUUGGGUCCUAAAGUUUUCAAAAUAUACAAUAAAAUUCUAAAACUUAUUGAGCUACUGCAAUCAAGUUCUGAAAUUCGAGCUUGUGACCCUGGCCUUUCGAUCUUCAUCGAGCUUGGCCCUGGCCACUCGAGCUUCUUUAAGCUGCCCAAGUUUCAUUGAAUUCGGCCGUGGCAGCUCCAGCUUCUAGGCUUCUUCAAACUCAUGCCCAGGGCUAAUUGAGCUUCAAAUAGCUCAGCCAUGGCCGCUUGAGCUUCUUCGAGCUCACAGCCAUGACGACUUGAGCUACAUCAAGUUUGGCCAUGGCUGCUUGAACCUCGUCGAGCUCGGAAACCACAUUCCAGUAUUAUGAAAUUUUUUGCGUGUUUUUCUAUUGAAACUUGGCAGAUCUUCUGCAUUGUGCUAGGGAUCAUGUUGUCUUUUGCUUAUGUCUCUAUCAUAACUAUGGGAAGUGUUCAGUAUUUUAUGGCAACAAAUUCAUUGGAUCGUUUCCUAUUAACAGGCAUUUAUAUGCGUAGGUUAUUUCAAUGGAUAUUUAUAUGUUUUUCGAUUAUAAAUUGGGUAAUUUUCAGCUUUGUCCUUCAAAGUGCGAUUGCUUUUGGCUGACUGUGAAUUUGAUAAAAAUAUAGUUCCAAAGGAAUCUCUGAUCCUCUUUUCUUUUUCUUUUUUUGAUUUUUUAUAUCUUUUGAUUUUAUUUUAUUUUUUAAAAUUUUCAAGUUUCUUUCUAAUGUGGUACUUUGUGGGUGCCCCAUGUCUUAAGAAAGUAAUAAUAAAAAAAAGGGGUCAGCAUUUGGCCAUAGCCUAAUUGGACGAAACUAUUGAAAUUACACCAAUUUAAUAAAAUUUAGACUUGAUUGCACUUUUUAAAAACUUUAUAACUCGAUUGCAUUUAGCAAUAAGUUUUAAUAUUUUGAUACACUUAUCCAAAAAGAAAGAAGAAUAAAUUUAUAUAAUCAAAAAGACAACUUCAAUUUUUCAUUACAUUUGAACAGCUUUGAUUUCCCUCUAGGAUGCUUUCCACACCCCAUACAUUAGCAGUGCGCAUGGUGUAUGCGGGUGACAAUCAUUCAUAACUUACUUUGAUAAAACUUUUCAAGUAAUUUUGAAAAACUAGGAUAUAGUAGUUGCACAAAAAUAGGCGUGUGCACCAGAGAGAGAGAGAGAGAGAGAGAGAGAGAGAGAGAGAGAGAGAGAGAGAGAGAGAGAGAGAGAGAGAGAGAGAGAGAGAGGAUCAAAGGUAGUAUGAGUGGAGAAUAUUCAAUGAACUGACCGUAUGGAUACUUCCGUUUUCGUUACCAUGUGCAGAGGACCAAAUAGAUUCACCAUUAUCAUCAUACUCAAACGAGAUGCAGUUGACAUCAUCUUCUAACGUCAUCUUUAUUUUCUUUACUCCAUUGAAUUUUCCAUCAUCCCAAGAGUGUCCACCUUGGCCCCCCAAUGGUCCAACACACUUGAUCGGGUAUAGAUGAGAGAUUGGUUCCAAAUAUGCUCCUAGAGAUUCAAGAUGGGAACCGGAACUCCCAUAGAAUCCAAUAAUCUUUCCACCAGUUGCUGGAAAUGAAAACUUCCUUCCGGUUUCAGUGCCGAAUGGUCCAUAUGUCCUUUUAUUGCUUUGGAAUGUGAGUGAAUGGAUGACAGUAGAACCAAAAUCAUUCACAAUAUAUCCCGAAACCGAAAUAAGAACUUCGGUUAGCCAGUCCAGAUUUAUCUGUACCAAACACAUGAACGGUAAAUAAAUGUCAAAGCAACAAGUUGAGAAGCAAAAGCAUGGUAGAUGACAACGACUAGUGUGUGAUGCUCUUGAUGAUCGAGAUGAUAAUUUAUGAUCCGGAAAAUAGUAGAUUAUCUUGCCUACUUCAAUAUCAUGUUAACUAUAAUAGAUGUGAUAAGGAAGACAACAACCAGGGUGCAUUUAUUUUGCUAAAAAACAAGGAUUUGGAAAACACUUUCCUAGAAUCGAUUGAGUGUAUCACUUACAAAAAUGAAUUAACAAACGAAUUUUCAUCAUUAAAGAAAAUGUUAGGAAUAAAUUCUUGUUGGUAAUACAUAUUAACUAAUGUUUUUAUGUGAUACAAACAAUUAUUUUUGGAAAAAUAUUUUUCAAUUCAUUGAUUUUCCAUGGAACAAAUGCACCGUUAUUGCAAACAUUAUCUCUUCAGUGCUCUUUGUCAGGAAAAAAAACCUCAUCUUUCGAACAACCAUGCCUAGAAAGAAUAACUAGAUGUUAUCCUACCAACCAAAAUCUAUAUGCAGAAGGUCCAUAGAUAUCCCUUAUCGACUGUUUUAAAAUACAAAAAUUUAAAAAAAGUGUUCAAUUUUAUGACGAAUUGUUUUAACAAAUCUUUUUCCAAUAGAAACUUGCUUCCUGUUGAUGGUGUCAUACCUAAGUUCCAAAGUUAACAAUCUAUCACUUUCACCCAGACGCCAUCUUCAGCAAUGGCAAGAUAAGAAUCAUUGAAAAUAAGGGGUAAUGUUUAUCAAACAUCGAGUUCCUACUAGAGUAGUGUACCGUAUUUCUUUUGCCACCAUGAGUUCUACCGUGUCUGAAAGGAGGACCCUCCUCAUAGGUAAAACUAACAGAUUCAAUUGCAGAACCAGAGACUACAACAAUUUGUCUGACAUCUGCAUGCUUGCCGUCAUCCCAGCGGUUUUUCCCAUUUCCAAAUGGCCCUACCAUUUCGAAGGGAUAUGGAUGAGAGACAGGGCCAAAAUGAGCUCCAAUGGAAUCCAGAAAAGAGCCACACCUUCCAUGAAAACCAAUGAUCUUUCCAUUAACUUGUGGAAAACUGAAAAACUUCCCUUUCUCCUCGCCAAUUGGCCCAUGUGCCCUCUUAUUGCUGUGGAAGGUAAGAGAGUUGAUGACAUGACAAGAAUCUUCUCUAGUGUAGCCUGACACCGAAGUCAAGUAUUCAGUUGGAUAAUCUAAAUGUACCUGUAACAAUUGCAGAAGAGCAAAGUGAGUAUCGAUCACCUUUGAAGGGGGGAAAAUUCUAUGCUCUCCAGAUGCAUUAUUUAGGUUAACUUUUCCCAAAACAAAAGAUAUCUAAUUAUUGGGACGACUGGAUUUUUUCUCUUAUUUUGUAGCACAGUUUGCCUUGUUCACUAGUCUUGUGCCAUAACGAUUGAACUCCAUCUAGAUUCCCAAUGCUUUGGUCCAUAAUUAAAUGGCAUUCUCGAUGCUCUAUAUUGACAAUGGCAAGCACUGGAGUAAUCUCUGAUUAACUGUAACAUCAGAGUAGGCAGAUGACGCUAGUGUAAUUUUUUUUCUUUUUGGCACCCUAAAAAAUAAUAAUAAUAAUCUUAGCAAGGUACAUCAAAGUCAUCAACAUAUUGAGAGACGACCAAGCAUCGAAGAAGUACCCAGUUGAAAUUUAUCAGGCAAGUCCGUCUUUUAUGACUUUGUGACACCACUUUUUCUCAACCCCCAUUCCACAAACGAAUGGUAACUGACAAUUUCUUAGAGAAUAACAUAAUUAGACGUAAAUAUUGCAAAUUAACAAAGCGAACCGUAAUGAUGGACUCACAUCAUAUGUGUGGUCUCCCAAAGAUCCACCAUGUCUUGGCGAGCGCACAAAACACCCAUUCUGAACAUAGUCAAUAGUAAUGGAGUUGAUCACUUUUCCAAAGACAACCGCUAUAUUUCUUAUACCAUCGUAUGUUUGAUCAUCAAAAGAAUCUCCACCAUGGCCUCCGAAUGGCCCUACAGACUGACGAAGAGAGGAGAAUGGAUCUAAAGGUAAUCCAAUUGAAUAAAGAUGAGGAUCCCUUACCAACUUCUCCAAUAUCUCAUGCCACUGAUUUUUCCUACUAGAAAGAAAGGAACCAAAUCUCUUAAGAAACACUGGCAGACCACCUGCAUAGUGGACAAGACUCUUGAACAACUCCUCAUACCCUUCUUUAGGUUGGUCCUUGCCAAAGGCGUGGAGACUCAUGAGUUGGAGCGAUUCUUCAGAACCCAGUCCAGGGAGCAUGUAGUUAUCAUCCACUUUGAGAUCUUUCAAAAGCCAUUCUUCUCUUGUAGUUAUCAAGAUUCUACUCCCAUAUUUGAACCAUUCUCGAUCUCCAGCGCCAAAAUACUCAAUUUGGUGCUUCUCAGUGAUGUUAUCAAGAACUAGAAGGAUCCUUUGCCGCCAGAGCUUAGCUUUUAUCUCGUUGAUGUUGCUGUUAAGAUCAUAAAUUUCUAGAUCUUGUCCCUUCAGAACAUCGCGGAGAAGUUUCUUCUGAAGAAAUAAAAGCGUAUCUUGGUUUGCAACUCCAACAUUUUCAAGAAAGCUAACCCCGUCAAAUUCCCUAGAAACGCGAUGGCAGACGGCUUGGGCCACCGUUGUCUUACCAAUUCCUUUCAUUCCCCAUAGUCCGACCACAUGGACAUCAUCCUCUGACCCAAUCUUCAGCAACGAUAUCACAUCAUCUACAAAGGAAUCUACCCCAAUAGCAUCGGGGGAGCUUGUUCUGGGAAUAAUCUUUAAGAGACGUCCUACAAUUUGCUCGAUGAAAUACGCUUGAUCCCUGCAGUUGUAUGGGAAGAACAAAUUCAAAUAUGACUAACUACAGCGUGAAGAGACCAUCAGCAUAUAAGCAAGAAACACAUUAACUAAAUUCAAUCAACAGUAGAGUUCAAAUCAAGCACCAAUAUGAGCUUUUGCGGUGAGUGAAUUUAUCCAUCAAGUGCAACUGGGAAUACAACUAACGAAAACAUAAUUUUCUUGGGGAAGAUGGUGCAUUACCCAUUAGCAUCAUUAUUCAAAUGCCAUCCUGACAAAUUCCCAGCUUCUUUAAGCGAAUCCCUCCACUUCUGCACCAGCAAAUCGUCCGUGUGGGUGGCCAAACACCUUUCAAAACCAUCCCCGAAUUGCCCGCUCUGUUUCCGAACGUCGCGUGGCUCGACAUCGUAGAAAAUGGGCAGAACCACAUGGCCCUGAUGAUCUCCGAACCUCCUGUUGCACUCCAGGAUCUCCACCAGCUCGUUCAAGCACCACCGCGAGUCGGCGUAGUUGGCAGUGAACACGACGAGAGAAACCCUCGAAUGGCGAAUCGCGUCGAGCAGCUUGCCCUCAAUGAGAAUCCCUGUCUCCUCUUUUUCAUUGUCCCCGAAGUAGUAGAUCCCCGCCUGCUUCAGCGCGCGGAAGAGGUGGGCAGCGAAAUUCUUCCUUAUGUCCCCGCCCCUGAAGCUCACGAACACGUCGUACUUCCACCUAUGAACCGAAGCGGAAGAAGAUGGAACGAGUCCCCCGAUUUCUUCGAUUUCCAUGAGGACAAUCGGGGAUCGAGCGAGAGACCGCGAAAAAGCUCGAAACUUUUCCCCGCAGGCGAAGGCGUACGAAUGAGAGAGAGAGAGAGAGAGAGAGAGAAAAGGCGCAAGUGGCGAAUGAGAAGAAGGGACGAAAGUUCAAUGCUUCGCCACCGGUACGCGCUCUGCUUCUUUAAUGGAGCGUCGAGACCAGCUGGUGAGGGAGACUACUUAUGGGUUCAAAGAACCGAAGAGGGAUUGAAUCGUCAAAACCAAAGCAUCGACCGAUGGCUACGUGACAGGGACAUGUCUGAAAUCGCGCACGUGGAUUUGAAGCUCCAGAACGACGCGCGUUGAUUGGCGGAAAUAAGAUUCUACGAAGAACAAAUCCACAUUUGCUAACGAGCACGCAAUCUCACAUGGCUGCAUGUAAAUACUAGUUUUUCAUUUCAUCGAAAACUUCUCUUCAUGAUCUCUUCCCCCCUUUCUAGAAAGAUACAUAUUAAAAGUUCCUCUGCAUGUUUAGUCACUUUUUAACUUAAAAAUGCAUUUUCAAAAAAUAAAAAACUUAAAAAAACUAUUUCAUUAGCUAGUUUUAAAUUUUUAAACCUAGUGAGUAAAUUAUAGAAAAAUUUCAAAUAGGGGCUUAAAGUGAAAUUUUUUUUUUUAGGCCUAAAAUAGACAUUCUCCCAAAUAAUAAUUUAAAGUGAUUAGUUUAAUAUUAAAUUAGGGCCCCAACUCACAUGUGUUUCUCACAUAUCACUUUUCAAGUCAUGCUUGGGGGCAUUUUCGUCCAAGAGCAUCUUUCUUUCUUUUUCAUUUUUUGGGUUCAUCUUCUUCAUCUCAAGAAUAAGACUUGCGGCAUUCCCAUUCUACUGCUGAUUAUGGACGAGGCCAUGGGCAUCAGUGAAUUUGUCUGGGAAAGGGCGUGACCCAAGCAAAGUGAUGGCUCUUUUCACCGUCUCUUUCUUGUCUUUGACCUCCCCCUCUCUGCUUUUGCUCUUCUUCUUCUUUGGUCAAUUCCCCAGCUUCAGGAAUCCCCAAACCCCAACAACAAAACAAAACAGAUUUGCCCUUUUGUUUAACGGCGUUAUAUGACUUGUGUUUGGCGGUUUUGGGCGUUGGAUUGCCGCAGGGUAUAUAUGAUUCUUUGUCAAUUGUUCUGUUUUCUGGGGAGACCAACAGGGGAUAUGCCAGAUUUGGGUAUUAAGGUUUUGGACUUUUGUCUUUAGAUUCCGAGACUUACAUUUCAUGAGGUUCAGGCCACCACCUUUUUUGCUCUAAGUUAUUUUUUCCCAGCUCACAUAAGGUGUAUUUUUUUCUUAGUUUCAAAACAAUCAAGAAGAAGAUACGAUAGAAAAGAAGGGAAAAUAAAAAAGUGCUCGGAUGAAAAUGUCCCCAAUCAUAGCUCGAAAAGUAAAAUGCGAGAUGCAUAUAGAAGCUUAGGCCAUUAUUUGAGACAAAUCUUUAUUCGAGACAAAAUCUACUUUGAACCUUUUUUUUAAAAAAAAAGACUUACUUCAGAUUUUUAUUUAAAAUUUAUCCUAAAUUAUAUAGAGUUUAGUAAGUUGCAAUGGAGUAAAUUUCCCACGUCGAUUAGUAACUUUCUCUUUGAUAGAAUUGAAUUUCCUCUACAUUGACCCAUGAUUUUCAAAUAUAAGUUCAAACUUAAAGUUUGGAACUCUAUAAUUAUCGCAAGAUAGUAACUCUUAAAUAUUGUUGUUUACUUUAGAGCAAGUUUCAAUAUAUUUUAGAAAGUUAAACUUUAAUGUUAAUAAAUUAUAUUUGUUACAGAAAAGGAAGACGAUAAUAACUUUUCCUAGGGGCAGUAUAGGCCCUGAGUAGAACCAGAAAUCGAACCGAACAAACCCUAGAAAUUGGUUCGGUUUCUGAUUCCUAGACUCCUCGGUCUAAUUCUUGGAUCCAUAAUUUUUGGAACUUAAACUAUGCAAUUAGGUUCCUAAGUAGAAGCUGGAUUGGGAACAGUAGAACCAAAGAAUCAGAUGGGGAAGUGAAGAAUCAAAUUGAAUCGAGAUAACCCUAGAAUUAAUAGUAUCUAUGGAUCUUUACCAAUCUUCAUAUUAGUAAUAUUGAAUUUUCAGAAUUCGGAACAUCAUUUCAUCACAAAUGUUAUUCAACAUGUUCUUCCAUUGCUAGGGUUAGUGUUAAACUUGCUCUGGUGUGGGUGGAAGAUAUGUACCCAUUAAAAUCCCCCCGCAACUACACUCAUUACAGGAGAAACCAAUAUCUUAUGCACUUUAGAAACCUUAAAUUAACUAAUCAUUAAUCUUUAACAAAUGUUUCUAAUUUACUCUUGAAUCAACCCCAUUCAUUUACUUUUCAUGACAACAUAAUACAACUUCUUGUGUGGUUUGACAGAUUAUUUUACUUAUAAAUGUUUUUGUUUGGGAUAGGUGGCCUUGUUAAUGGAACUCUAUCUAUCUAAUGGGGCAUUUUUGUUGUUACUUUAAUUUUUAUUUUCCUUGACUAAAAACGAAGCAACAAAAAGAAUUAAAAAAAUGAAGAAAAAAAAAGAAAUUCGCUAGUCCACCCAACCUUGUUAGGAAAGAUGAGACUAGUAAUUAACUAUCAACCUCUUAACCUUUUCCUCCAAAAUGACAAAUUCCCUUUACUUUUCAGAAAUUCUCUCUUUACCAUAUCAAGAGCCCAUAUCAAUUCCAAGUUUGAUCUCAAAGCCGGAUUUUGGCAAUUGGGCAUCCUUCUUAAAGACAAACCCAAAACAGGGUUCUAUAUCACAAACCAACAUUUUCAAUGAAAAGUUCUUCAUUUUGGCCUAAAGGUGGCAUCAUCCCUUUUUCAAAAGGCCAUGUGUCGGAUUUCCCAUUAAAUAUUGUGACAUCCUGAUUUUCAACAUCUGAUUUCGAUUAAAUAAGUUGGGCCUUUCGUCGACGUUCCUAUAGUGCUUUUCUCUGAUAUGGCCACUCAUGAGAUAACUGACCCAUCAGGUGAAGCCAUUAAGGGAUUUUAAUACAAUAGACAUGAAAAUUCAAUCAGGAAUUGACUGCUCGACCGUGUUAGUCUGCAAGGGUCAUUACGGCACAAUUUAAAAAUCUAUCGGAGACCGGAGAUAGGUCGAUUCAACUGAGAUGUGUGAUCAAAGUGUGGGUGAUUCCACCUGAUUACAAAAUUCUAGUCGAUCGCACUAAACCGAUUUUCUUUCGUUUUGGGUACCCUGUGUCCAUAUUUGAAACCUCGAGAUUUUCAAGACCACUGAGAGUUGCCAAUGUGUCGAAGAGGUGUGUGUGGUUCGGAGAAAAUCGACCAUGGGUCAAUUGCACCAAAAAUUUCUAAAAGCUACCAGUAGGCUAGGUCACACUAAAAUCUCAUCAAAUUGAAAUUAACCGUGAAUUUGAAUUCGAUUUCAGAAAUUAAAAGUUCUGUCAUGUCAUCAGUCAUUCUAGGAAUGCUGACUCACCUUUUGAGGAAUUUUCGGCGAAUUCGGGAUUUUUACGGAAAAUCGAUUCAAACAUUCGAAAAACGAACGGAAAUUCAGAUUGGCCAAUUUGAAGGGAUUUUUGGCAUCUAGUGUGAGUGAAUUAGUGACAAGGAAUUUCGUGGGCUUUUUCUGCAACAAAUCGAACCUCAAUCGGAGAAGUUUGUUCAGAAAAUCGGAUUCCGAGAAAAAUGAAAUAGAAUUCGAAAGAGGUUUGAGGGACUGUUUUAUUUCGAUCCUCAAUUGGACUUCAAAUUGAUCAAGUUGGUGAAGAAAUUGACCCUAGGAUGAUCAAUUGACAAAGUUGUGAAGUUGAGCAAAAUUACAAUAGUGUUUUAUGUUUUCUUUUAAUUUUUCCCCUUUUCCCUCUAUUUAUUCCACCAUCCUCGCACACUCCUUUCCCUUUUUUCUUCUUGGCCGACCAGCCCUGCAUGCUGGUCCCCUCUUUGCUUUUUAUCUUUGACUUUUACUCUUCUUAUCCUUGCAUGCACAUAUCUCUCUCUCUCGCAUGUUUUUUCUCCUUGACCGACCAUCCUCCUUCAUCGAAUUUGGUGGACUCAGCUCAUCCACACAAUUCUCUCUCUUUUCCAUUUAUCUCACUUGGUCAGUUCUUCUUCGCCGGCUGCCCCCGAUUUCUUUUUCAUUCUUCGGUCUUCUUCGGCGGUACACCAGCUGGAGUCAACACACUCUUUGCUUCGGUUUUAUCUUUUCUCUCUCUCGGUCCCUUUCACAUUUCGGCCCCGCCAGUUUCAGCGACGCCCAGGCUGCUUCGGCUUCUGCUUCUUCAUUAUUUUUCAAUUGUUUCGCAUGCUUCUGCCCCCACCGAACUUACCCGAACCCUACCAUUUUGUCUUCGGUUGCUACCGCUUCAUGUGUGGCUUCUCAUCGAACCAGUAGCCGCGCCCAACAAACUCAAAGCUGCCCCACCAUCCAUCCACCUUGGCCCAGCUUCGAGGCCUAAACGGCAGCCCGUUCUAGCAAGCCCAUUAGUUCGUGAGCCCCAACUUUCAAGUCAAGCCUCACCCCCCUCUGCGGCUGCCGAACCUAGCCUCGAAUCGUGCCCGAACCAGCCACCACUGUAGCUCCUUGGGCCCAAAUCUGAACCCAAAACCAGCAGGGGUUUGUGAACAUCGAGGCCGAUUUCGGGCCCAUCCGGCCCCGUUUGGCGGUCCCACUUUGAAGUUUAUCGAGCCCCUUCGCGUCCCCGACAUUUCAAUCCGAGCAGAUCGUUAAACAGGUGAGUUUAAUUUACUAAUCCUCCCUUAGUAAGUUAAUAAUGCUUAAGCGUUUGAUUAAUUUAGACUAGGCUAGGAUUAGGUGGUAAGUUAGAUUUAAUUAGUGAAUUUAAUUAAUUAUCGAUGCAUGUUAGGUGGAUAGUUAGUGCAAUUAGGGUCUAGACAAGCUCUAGUAUUUAUCUAGAGUGAUUUGAAAAUUUUCUGAGUCCGUUUUGGCUUCCAAUUAGGCUUUACGAGCCUAAGUUCGCAAUUUUAGUAUUUAAUAAUUAAUUUUCGUAAUUAUUUAAUUAUUUUUUUUUCAAAAAUUAGACCAGGAUAGCCGGUGACCGAAAUUUUAUGCUGAUUGCAAUAAUGUGAUCUGUUUAUUUAAUUGAAUUCUAAUUUGUGCUGAUUAUGUGUGAAUUGUGCUUUUAGAAAUUUAUUCCUAAAAUUAUUUAAUUUCAGUAAUUAAUUGGAAAAUCACCAAGCGUUGGUUUACAAUGCCAAAAAUGGAUUUGUGGAUUGUUGAAAUUAGUGGGAUUUUCAAAGGUGAAAAUAUUGUAUUUUUGGCUAAAGCCGACCGUGUGCCCACACACGAAUAUUUUAUCGGGAAAAAUAAAAAUGGUGAUUUGAUUAAAUGAUCAAUUUUCAGCAUACAAUGAGAGUAUGGCUAGCAGCUUCUAGUGAGCAUAUAUUGUUUUCAACAUACCAUGAGACUAUGAUCGGCAGCUUCUGGCGAGCAUAUAUAAUUUUCAGCAUACUAUGAGAGUAUGGCUGGCAACUUUUGGCGAGCUUAUAUUAUUUUCAGCAUACAAUGAGAGUAUGACUGGCAGUUUCUUGCGAGCAUAUAUAAUUUUCAGCAUACUAUAAGAGUAUGACUGGCAGCUUCUGACGAACAUAUAUUAUUUUCAACAUACUAUGAGAGUAUGAUUGGCAGCUUCUGGCAAGCAUAUAUUAUUUUCAGCAUACCAUCAGAGUAUGGCUAUCAGCUUCUAGUAAGCAUAUAUAAUUUUCAGCAUACCAUGAAAGUAUGGCUGGCAGCUUCUGGCGAGCAUAUAUUAUUUUUAACAUACCAUGAGAGUAUGGCUGGCAGCUGCUAACGAGCAUAUAUAAUUUUCAUCAUACUAUGAAAGUAUGGCUGGUAGCUUCUAGCAAGCAUAUAUAAUAUACUAUAUUAGUAUUUGAGGCGGCUUCUGGCGAGCAUAUAUAUAGUAUAUUAUCUCAGUAUAUGAGGCAACUUCUAGCGAGCUAUACUAUCUAUUAUUGGCUUAGAGUAAGCUUUCCACAAGGUGGUCGGACCUUAUAGAUAGUAUUGAUUGAGAUGACCGGGAAAUGGUCUUACUGACAUGUAAUCGACUGAGUCGAUUGAUCGAUGAAUCGAUCUGUCUUGAUGUGUUGAAAUGAUUGGUUGAAAAUGUCAAUUGUACAGACUUGUAGGAAGGAACAGAGGCAAAGGUAAGUCCUCUGACUCAUGAUUGUACUUAGGCAGCCCUUUGGGCGUAUUUUCUUCCUAGUCGAGUUUUAGGGGGUUAAACUUACUAAGACGUAAUCUCACCCUGUUGUGGGAUAAUAUUUUCAGGUCCCUAGUUGACAUCGGUGGAGGAUCCGAGGCCCGAAGUUUAGAAGGUGAAGCCCGAAGAAUCGACGAUCUUUUCUAACUAGUUAGCCCUAGGACAAUUCUAUUUUGAUGAAAGUUGAUUCCUUUUUGUAGGCUUCUGUGUAUAAACCUGUAUGCUUAUAAAAAAGCAUUUUGAAAAAAAAAAUGGGCCCUACUUUUCUAUCUCAUUUUGUUGUUGUCAGGAGAUUUAUUUAAUCGUUUCCGCAUGUACAUUAAAUUGAAUGGGUCAGCGAUGCGUCCCGGAACAUUGUUAUUAUAUCGACCAAGCAAGGAUGGGCACGUGCUCGAAGGAUCGGGACGUGACAAAUAUUGUCAAGUGCAACAACAUACAUUGAUGACAUCCUACUUUACAGCCCUGAUGAGAAAUUCCACUACCAACUUCUUGGGCAAUUUGCAGAAAUCGUGAAAAAACAUGGGAUUAUGUUUUCUUAAAGAAAUAUGAAUAUUGCCUAGAUAGAAAUUGAAUUUCUUGGUAUGAACCUUAACAAAUGAACAUACUAUCCAAAACCACACAUUGCUCAAGAAUUGUUAAAAUUUCUUGAAGAGAACCUUACAACAAAGCAAGUUCAGCAAUUUCUUGGGAUAAUUAAUUAUCUCAGAGACUUUGUUUCAAACAUUGCCAAACUGCUGAUCCCAUUGCAAUCAAUGCUGAAGAAGAAUCCCCCACCUUGGGAAAAAUCUCAAACUAAAGCAAUCGCUGAACUUAAGGAGAUUAUGCAGACUCUUCUCCCAUUGCAAAUCUCUUCAACAGGGAAGAGAAUUAUCCAGACUGAUGCUAGUGAUGAAUAUUGGGCAGCCAUUAUGUUCGAAGAAAUUGAUAGUAAAAGACACAUGUGUGCCUACAAAAGUGGAAAAUUUUCCCAGGCUGAAAUGUAUUAUCAUUCCACUUUCAAAGAAAUCUUAGCGGUGAAAAAUAAAAUAAAAACGUUCGAAUUCCAUCUCAUUGGCCAUCACUUCUUGGUAGAAUUAGACAUGGCAUCAUUUCCUCAGAUGACCAAGUUCAAGCAGAAGUAGAUUCCAAAUUCUCAACUAUUUCGAUGGGCUGAAUCGUUUUCAAAAUACUCUUUUGAAACCAAACACAUUGAUGGAAAGAAGAACGUAAUUGCUAACUUCUUAUCAAGACCAAAAGCACUAGCAAAGAUCAACAUGUACAUCAUAAAACGUGCUUUCCAUACUCUUCAUCACAACGAAAAGUAUAAGUUUAAAAGAAUACGAGAUUGGCCAAGCUGGCAAUACCCCUCAGGAGAUUGUUGAACAAGUCUAGAAUGACAGUCUCACUGAGAAUCUGGAAAACCUCAUGUGGCAAUGCCACACAUAACUAUUUAGACUCCAUGGAGGUUCAAUUCUUUAUCCUUUUGGAUUAAAUUCGAACUAUCCGUUCAUACAUUCUUUAAUCUGGAAGGAAGAAGACUUCCCUUAUUAAUUGCGAUGGUUAUUAUGAUACUUAACCAAUAAGUACUCAAUAGCUAUUGAAAUCCCAACCAGAAGAUUCAUUGCCAACCUUACUAGGAUAUUCGAACUAGGUCGACACAUUGAAAAGGAAAGUGACAAAAACCUCUUAGCCUUCCUCAAUUGGUUUUAUCCUCCCACUCACUAGAAGCAACUCUUACAGCAUGAAUUGAGAACCAUCCAACCAAACCCUGAAGUCCACAUUGGUCUAUUCUUCCGACGUCCAUGGGCUUUUGUAAAAAACAAUGGCAACAUCACUGAUGCUCCACAGAUUAUAGGUACCACUUUUUAUAAACCUCAACUACACCUUAUAGAAGCUCGGAUUUACAAAUCUUUUCCAGGAUCUGUUGGUUGUUAUGAACACUGGUACCGAGAACUUCAAAGAGUUUUGUGUUAGGAAAAUAAAACUAUUCCUGAAGAUGUAUGGAAUUAUAAUGUACCAUGGGAUCAUUAUAACCUUACACCAAAAGUCAAGGAAGCACUCGAGGAAUUCAGACAAACUAUAUCAUCAUAGUAGUAAGAAAUGACAGACACGAAUAACCCUGCUCAAUCCUCUCAAGACCCCUAUGCACGAUGGAGAGGUCCUCUUUCCUAAGACCCCUAUCAUCAAGGACCUUUGUCCUUAUCUCUAGACAUGGAUACAUCCUAUUAUGUUCAACCAUCCAAUUGGCCUCAGCCAAACAUGCUCGCCGACACUACAGGUUCCUUGCAGAAUCUAGAGGAAGCAUCCUCUUCAAACCAAAUUCUCUCACUAGAUUCACUUGCAGCACUUGAGCAAAAGUAUGAAGAACAUCUCUUGGUAGAAAUGCAUAAUUCUGAUAACUUAGACUAUGACUACAAUGCUCGUGACGGAUGAGACUGCUGACUGUAGCAUAUCACUGUAACAAGUUACUGUAACAGUAGGCUAAGGAAAUCACAGUUCAUUGUCACUGCUCAUAUCGCCAAAAAUAAUUCCCUACUGGAAGUUUCCGGAGCCUCUGUUUAUUUUGGACCCGUGAGCAUGGUCCUUAUUUGUGUGUGACCUCCCAAUGUCUAUAAAAGGUAAGGAUGAUGUAAUGUGUUGGGUAGAGUCCCUUGAAGUAAAGUGAGUGUUUUGUAAAAAACUCUCGAUGGCUUUCUAAACUCUUUCUUCUUCUCUAGCUUGAUAGAAUCCUCUGAGAAAUGCAGCUCAGAUAGUUAGAAAUGUUACCAUCCUGGCAUUUCUAGGUGUCUCUAGGCUCUGAACUAAAGGUCAGAGUGGUUUCCCUGCUAAAAGGUUGUGCCUGAAAGACUUGAACGGGAGAGGCUCACCCAUAGUGGGAAAGCAUAUGUGACGUCCCAGUAGCGCCACGUACUAAGCGCAAGCGUAAACUACAUACAUUAUCAUCUUACAGGGCUUAUAAAUUUUAAUUAUCAGACUAUAGUGUUCACUUUUGAAGGUUAGCAUUUAUAACAUGGAUAAUUUAAAAUUUAAAGUUUAUAUUACAAGGUUAUCCUGCAAUAGCACUAUCAAUUCAUAAUAGACAAUCUAAUUAAAGAUUCACAUGUGAAGAUCAUGAGAAGCUUCAUUUCUUUCCUUAGCAACAUCCGGGCUUACAAAAAUCAACCUGGAUCACUUCUAGUUUUUUGCCUAUUUACAUCAUACUUACAAGAUCAAAAGUAAAGGCGUAAGUAAAAAGCCAGGGAAAAAGGGUGAGGGGGUUUCUAUCUCCACUAUCCCACACAAGCCCAUGUCCAUCAAAAAGCAAAAAACGUUCCUCCAGAUCAUAGGCAUCUAGGCGCCAUCCGUCCCAGCUCUAGGUCCACCAGCACCAAAAGGAAGAGAGCCAUACAUCUCAUCUUCGUGGUUUAUGAACCACGCAACGAACCUCAUGGAAAUCAUCUCAGCUCUACCAUCGUCCAUCCACAGCGUAGCCUCAUACUUCGAGAAGGUCAUCUCAAUGUCAGGAUCAUACACAUCACAAAAAGUAGCCUCAAUAUGCGCUAUCACACCAUAACAAGCUAUUGGCAGCAUGUCCAUACUAACAAUUUGAAAAAAAAAUAAGGAAUGAGCAAUGCCCAGUAAAGAAAUUAUAAGACUCUAACCUAGACAAUUCACAGUUGCCAAAGAAGACAAGAGAAAUGUGACUAAACAGUUUAAGAUAUUAAGAUUGAAUUGUCAUAGAUGUACCUAACUAAAUAUUGAUGUACCAUAUGAAUGAUUACUCCAUACCAAACAUGCCAAAUGUAUAUGUGCACCUCAUGUUCUUAAUCUGUUUCACCAUGAAAUGCAAUAAUGAUAUGCACAACUCACACGCCAAGUGGAAAUUAUAAUUUAAUGUGUAUAUCAUAUCCACCCUCGAUUAGUUUACCCAUCAGAACACAGCCGGCCCGAUUGAGUCACUUCCGGAAUUCCACAUCCGGACUUCCACAAUAUUUCUAUCAUAGGCAUCUCACUCCAAGGCAUCUCAGUAUCACACAACCGAGGCCUCCCAAGAUCACUCAGCAUGGGGCAUCUCACUCCGAGGCAUCUCAGUAUCACAUAACCGAGGCAUCCUUGAUCACCUACAAGGGCAUCUCACUCCGAGGCAUCCUAGUAUCACAUGACCUAGGCAUCCAAGAACACACAGCAUGGGCAUUCCACUCCCCAGGGCAUCACCGGUAUCUUAGUACCGAUGGAAAUCUCUUACUCAACCUUCCUCAAUACGAGUCACGCGGGUUAUGUGAGUCAAGGAACCAGACUGAAUCUCGGACCCAGAAUUUUUCCCUAUCAAUUUUUUACUACCAGUGCUCGAUCGGAACCAGGCGACCCACUUCACACGACUAAUGUCGACGGGCCGAAAUUGAAGCUUAUCAGCUAGCAAUUGACCGGUGCCGACAAUUACUCGAGCUGGUCGCGAGAAUUUCGACGGGCACUAGUAACAAAAGAUAAAUAUUUCUCGACGGGACAAUUCCGAUUCCAACCGACGAAAGGAUGGCACGACUUUGGAAGAAAUGCAACCAACUGGUUAGAACGUGGAUUGAGAAUUGCAUAACAACCGAAGUUGCGGCCGGACUCCCUUUGACAGAGGAUUCAAAAUAGAUGUGGGAGAAUAUCAAAGAGAUGUACGGAAAACUUGAUCAAGUCAAGAUUUUUUCGUUAACACAACAAAUCUCGGAGCUUAAACAGGGAAACAUGUCCAUUGCAGCCGUCUACAAUAAACUUUCGGCUUUAUGGAAUGAACUCGAGGCAGCCGAAGAAAGGUUUGACUGGCUUGAGCCGAUUCUGCAGCAAUACAAACGGAUGCACGAAAGGGAAAAGGUGACAAGAUUUCUGCUCAUACUCAACGAGACUUACCUCUUAUUCCGCUCCCAGAUCUUGACUAUAGAGCCCUUAUCGAGCAUCGGCCGCAUCUAUCAAUUAGCCGUGCAAGCAGAAAAUCAAUAGAGAACGACAGAUUACAACAGAGGCGGAGAUGGAAUGGUGUUGGCAGCGAAAACCCUAGUUCGAUCUUCGCCGAGGAGCGGAGGAGGCAAAGGGUAGAAAGGGGCGGAACUAGGGUUUCUUGAGGAGAACCCUAGCCAUCUUGAAUAUAUUGGGCGAUCAGACGGCCCACGUUCAUCCUUGGCAGCGAGCAGAUCUAACAGCUCACGUGGAGGCGGCUCAAUCGGCCCAGAUGGGCCGUGGGGCAUUCAUGGACUGGAGGUCUUGCGCGGGCCAUUAACCGGUGGAACAAAUGGCUCGUAUGGGCUGACUUUGGCCUAAAUCUCACAAUCUACGAAUAGAACUCUUUUAGGCCCGAGAAAUUUUACCUCCAAAGGCAAAGGUAAAAUGUACUGUGACUAUUGUAAAUGUCCACAUCACACAGUAGAGAAUUGCUGGAAAUUGCAUGGGAAACCUGGAGAAAAAGAAAAAGGAAAAUUUUCCCAAAUUUUUUAGGUAUCGGGACAACCAGCGGAGAAGACAAUCAGUCAUGAUCAAUAUCAGGAACUGAUGGAGGCCCUAAGGAAAUUGGAUGCCUUUGAUAAAUUUGGAAGUUUCACAGGUACUUCUUAUUGUCUGGUAAAUUCAAUUUCGAAGAGUGCAUGGAUUAUUUAUUCAGGUGCUAGUGACCAUAUUGUCUGUGAUAAGAGCUUGCUUUCAAACAUCAGAAAAUUGUCUUUUCCCAAAUCUGUUUAGCUCCCAAAUGGAAACAUGAUCCAAGUUGAAAUGAUUGGCACUGUGAAUCUUAGUUCUCACAUCACACUUCGAAAUGUGCUUUACAUUCCUAAUUUCCAGUUCAAUCUCAUGUUAGUAUCUCGAGCUUGUGAAGAAAAUUCCUGUCGUAUCUUAUUCAAAUCUGAUAAAUGUUUCUUUCAGGCCUUUUCGACUGGGAAACUAAUGGGCUUGGGUAGAGUCUUUCAAGGGCUAUAUUUCUAGAUGAAUUUUCAAUUGUCUUCCAUUGAAUUCAAUAAAUCAUUGUGUAAUACUACUAUCAAUGAUAAGAAUAUUUUAUUAUCAAAGAUUGGGUCAUACUGCUUUGUUUCCUUGUUCUCAGUGUCCUAUCUGUCCAUUAGCAAAACAGACACGUCCUCCUUUCCCAAAUAGCACUUCUCGAGUUGAUGAAAUUUUCUCAUUAAUUCAUGCUGAUGUCUAGGGACCCUAUCACACUUUGAAUCAUGAUGGGUCCUGAUUUUUCCUCACAAUCGUAGAUGAUUUUUCACGUGCGACACGGAUAUUCCUCAUGCAAUCAAAAGCUCAGGUUCUUUCUCACCUGAGAACUUUCCUUGCUUUGUCCAAAAAUCAAUUUGGGAAAUCACUUCGUUGUAUACGUACUGACAACGGUAGAGAGUUCUUUAAUGGGGAAUGUACUUCUUUUCUUUCCUUAAAUGGAAUUUUGCAUGAAAGCUCUUCACAUAUACACCACAGCAAAAUGGAGUAGUUGAAAGAAAGCACCGUCACCUAUUGGAAGUAGCACGUGCUCUUAAGUUUCAAGCUUCUAUUCCUGAAACUUUUUGGGGAGAUUGUGUGGUCAUAGCAGCAUACCUGAUCAAUCGUAUGCCAUCAUGCAUUCUUAAAGGAAAAACUCCUUUCGAAAUAUUGUAUGGGAGAAAACCGGAUCUAAGUCAUCUCAGAGUUUUUGGGUGCCUAUGCUAUGUCACCACGGUAGGGCACAAGGAUAAGAUGGGACCUCGUGCAAGACAGUGUAUAUUCAUGGGGUAUCCAAAUCUGAAGAAGGGUUAUCGUAUUUAUGAACCAUCCACAGAGGAAUUUUUUGUGAGCAGAGAUGUGUUUUUUUAUGAAGACAUUUUUCCUUUCAGAGAUGCACUUCAUAUAUCUCAAAAUGAAAGGCCAGGCACUAAUCGUUUCUUAUCAAAAGAAGAGCCAUCUUCUGGAGAAUCUUACAUUAUUAUUCCUACUCCAAGAAAUUCAGAAUCAACUGCUGCACCAUCCCCGAUGUCUACUAAGGCCCAUAUGGAUCAUUUAAUUGACGAGGACCCCAAAGAAAGGGAUUCUCAUCUGACAGCUCCUCCAGAAUCGAAUAUUAAUGAAGACUCGACCUUAAUCCAGCAUGAAGAACCUCGGCGAUCUGGUCGAGUUAGUCAUCUGCCUAUUUGGACGAAGGACUAUGUGUGUGCUUCAUCAGGAUCACCAGGUACUCGAUAUCCCAUCUCAUCCUAUAUUUCAUUUGAUAGGCUAUCGUUAAAACAUUUAUGUUGCAUGAACCAUAUCUCUAAGGGGCAAUAACCAUCUAGUUAUAAUGAAGCAAUACAUGAUCCACGUUGGCAAAAGGCUAUGGAGGCAGAAUUACAGGCUUUAGUAGAAAAUCAUACUUGGGAUGUUGUGCCAUUACCUACUCAUAGAAAACCUAUUGGGUGUACAUGGGUAUAUAAGAUUAAGUAUUAAGCAGAUGGUUCUAUAGAGAGAUAUAAGGCUUGACUCGUGGCCAAAGGUUUCACACAACGAGAAGGUUUUGAUUAUCACGAAACUUUCUCCCUAGUAGCCAAAGAUGUCACCAUUCGUUCCUUCCUGUCGGUUGCUGCUUUUCGAGACUAGCCAUUGCAUCAAAUGGAUGUCCAUAACGCCUUCUUACAUGGCGAUCUGGAUGAAGAAAUAUACAUGGAUCUUCCACUAGGAUUACGGAGACAGGGGGAGUCUAAGGUAUGUCGUCUCCGCAAAUUUAUGUAUGGACUGAAACAAGCUUCUCGUCAAUGGUAUGCCAAAUUUACUAGUGCUCUUACGGCCGCUGGAUUCAAACAAUCUAAAUACGACUAUGCAUUGUUCACUUGGAGGAAAUGUAUGUCGUCUAUUUAUUUGAUGAUUUAUGUUGAUGACAUACUCAUCAUGGGCAAUGAUGAUUCUGCUGUCAAGAAACUGAAAGAAUAUCUACAUUCCACUUUCCAUAUCAAAGAUUUAGGCUCGCCUAAGUAUUUUCUUGGAAUUGAGAUAGCUCGUUCAAAUCAGGGAAUCUCACUCAGCCAGCGGAAAUUCGUAAUGGAGAUUAUAUCAGAAGCAGGAUUGUCAGGUUGCAAACCUGCUAUUAUUCCCAUAAAGCAAAAUGCCAAGCUGACUUCUGUUGACUAUGAUGCUGAAGUAUCUUCUUCUGAUGAUCCAGUAUUGGAAGAUCCAUCAGGAUAUCAGAGACUCGUAGGGAAACUUAUCUAUCUUACCAUGACGACGCCGGACAUCUGCUAUGCAGUACAGACCCUUAGCCAAUUCAUGCACAGCCCAAAACAAUCUCACAUGAAUGUAGCUUUGAAAAUUGUGAGAUAUUUGAAGACAUGCUCAUGAUUGGGAAUACUUCUUUCUCGGAAAUGCAACAUGGAAAUGACAGCCUAUUGCGAUGCGGAUAAUGCUACAUGCCCUAUGAGCAGAAGAUCUAUUACUGGGUUUUGUAUCAAAUUUGGGGAAUCAUUACUUUCAUGGAAGACGAAGAAAUAAUCCACUGUGUCCUUAUCUUCAGCUGAAACCGAGUAUCGAUCUAUGGCCAAAACUGUUUGUGAAAUAGUUUGGUUAAGAGGUUUGUUUAUGGAUCUCGGGGCACAAAUUAAGGGACCUACUACACUCUUCUGUGACAAUGAUUUAGCACUCAAGCUUGCAACAAAUACCAUAGUUCAUGAGAGGACAAAACACAUAGAGGUUGAUUGUCAUUUCACUAGAGAGAAGAUUCAAGAAGGAGUUAUCUAGACCAGAGGGAUCAGAACCACGGAGCAACCAGCGGACAUGUUCACUAAACCUCUAUGUCAGAGACAACACACAUAUCUUCUAAGCAAGCUGGGCGUCUUGGACAUAUACAAGCCACCAGCUUGAGGGGGAGUGUUGGAAGAUAUGAUUUGCAAGAUCGGGAUAAUUUGUAAAUUGAUAUGUUUGUGUCUAUAUUAGGAUUAGAAAGAUCAUAGGAUAUUCGGAAAAUGUAAACUUGCUUUUAUUAUUAUUUAUUUUGUAUUAUAUACAUCAUUGUACAGAAAAUACAAUCAAUGAAGUGAGGCACAUUUUUCCUCUCCAAUAUUUUCUUCCCUACGACUUUCGGUUCUUUCUUCUUCGCUCACCUAGUUUUGUGACAAUCUCCACUAAGCGCAUUUUAACCCAGAACAAUGAUUCGUAGAGUUGAGAUCAUUUUUAGUUAAUUAGCAGGCAACAAAAGAAGAGGUUCUACAACUACUUUCCCAGCAAUGAAUAAUCUUUUUUUUUUUUGUUGGUAAAAGUAAGAUAAGCAAUGAAUAAUCUUUAGUAUUGCAAAAGCUGAGAAGACAUAGCAAAUAGUAUCUGCCUCACAUUGGGCUGUGUGAAGAUCUUUAACAUAGAUAGCGUCACAUUGUGGCAACCCUAAGGGUGGAGGCUUACGCUGACAGACGAUCCAAGAGGCUAAGCACAUGUCUCCUGUCCCACAUCGCUUAGGGGAGUCCUAGGCUAGUUUAUAAAGCUUGGGUUCUCUAUUAUGUAUAACGCGUUUUAAAACCGUGAGGGGCCGAAGGCCCAAAAUGGACAAUAUUACACAGUAGUAGCCCCUGGGUCCUUACAGAUGGUAUCGGAAUCGACUCCCCUAGCAUGUAGGGCCACAGUAAGGGCACCCUGCUGUAAGGGGUGGAGAAUGUGGCGACCCUGAGGGCGUGGCUGGGAUGAUAGGGGAGGCUGCGCCGGCGGGCAACCCAAGAAGUUAAGCACAUGUCUCCUGUCCCACACAUCACUUGAGAGGGGAGUUUUGGGCUAAUCUAUAAGGCUUGGGUUCUCUACUAUGUGUAACGCAUUUUAAAAUUGUGAGGGCUGAAAGCCAAAAGCAGACAAUAUUACACAGGUAGCCCACGGGUCCCUUACACACAUCCUAGGAGAACUCUUGCUACACUUAAGAUUGGAAAAAUUAUCAAAAAAAUCCUAAACUUAUUGUAAUUUUUCCGAUUUAGUCCUAAAUCUUUUUUUUUUUUUUGUCAAUUCAAUCAUAAACUUUUUGUAAUUGUGCAAAUUCAGUCCACUCAUCCAAAUUUGGCCGGCUAGUGCUAAUGUGGACGCCGGCCGAUGACAAUGGACAAUUUUUUUAAUAAUAUUUUUUCUUUUUUUUCCUCUUCUCUCUCUCUCUCUCUCUCUCUCUCUCUCUCUCUCUUUCCUCCUCCUUCCUUCCUCCUCAUCUCCGACGACCGAUUAGAGGGGAGGAUCGAUCAUCAACUAGUGACGAGCUCACCUCGCUGUGGUAGUGGCUAGGUGAGCUCACCCAACCCUUGGCAUGCUCGAUGGAUUUGGUAAGGCAAGGCUUGCCUCGCCGGACAUGGGCGAGGUCAGCCUUGCCAUCCAUCGAGCAUGCCAGUGGCUGGCAAUUGGCCCUCCCCUCUAGCCAGUUGCCAUAGUAGGGGAAGAAAAAGAAAGGAGAAAAAGAAAAAAAGAGAGAAAAAAACAAAAUAUAUAUAUGUUUAAAAAAUUGUCUGUCGGCAUCGGCUGAUGUCCACCUCAACAUCGGCCAACCCAAUUUGAUCAGAUGGAUUGGAUUGACACAAUUGCAAAAGGUUUAAAACUGAAUUGGCCAAAAAAAAAAAAAACGUUUAAGACUGAAUUGGAAAAAUUAUAAUAGAUUUAAAACUUUUUUGUAAUGUUCCCAUUAAUAUUAGUGGCUAACAAAUUGUCCAUAAUUAAAGCAUGCAAAUAAAAGAGACAAUUGAAGCAAAUAUAUCUGAUACAAGCGGAGAUAAUUUGCUGACUGUGUCAGUUAAAAGAGGCUUGUAGUGCUCAAUUCUUAUAUGCAAGACCAACUUGAAAAACCUAAACCCAUCCUUAUACCUUUUUAAUCCUUUCUCGUCACAUAAAAGUUCUGUUGUUUCCUUUUCCACCCUUUACCAUGUUGCACACACUUUCUUAUCAAAAUCUAUAUUAGAUACUAACACCAAAAUAUAAUAAAAUUUGAUAGUGGCAUCAGAGCCUCCUUCGGUUGGUAGUCACCCGAUACUAAAAUCACUCACCUCAUUAUCUGACAUCAAAAUAUGGCCAAACUCUACGUCAUGCUCACUACCCAUUCCUACUUUCAAUGGAUAUAUCUAUGACUACUGGAGUAUUAAAAUAACUACUUUAUUGAUGGCUAAGAUUUACAGGACAUCAUUGAGUAAGGAUAAGCAGCUCCGAAAGAAGGUGCAAGUGUUCCAAUAGAAAUGCAAGGCCUGUGUAAUCCAGCAAGCACUCUUGGAAAUGAUAUUUAUGAGAAUCAUUGGAGCGAAGACUGCAAAAAAGGCAUGAGAUAUACUACGAGAAUAGUUCCAAAGCAAGGUGCACACUGUUAGACUUCAAUCUCUUGCAAGGGGAUUUGAAAAUUCUAAAAUGAAAGAUCACGAGACCAUCCAACAAUUUUGUGCUAGAUUAAAAGAACAAGUACAUCAAGGGCCUAUAGAGAUGAUAUCACUGAUCAAAGGAUAGUAGAAAAAAUGUUGGCAGCAAUUAUUAGAAAAAAACAAUUGUCACCUCCAUUGAAGAAUCUAAGGAUUUAAAAACCCUAUCAAUGAAUGAAUUAAUUGGCUCUCUGCAUGAAAAAAGACCGAUUGUUUAAUUGAAAAUUUUGUUGAAAGGUGUUUCACUUUGAAAUAAGCAUUUGGUCUAAUAAAUCUAAAAAUGAUUGAAGGAGGUCAUGGAAAAAUAGAAGAGGAGGAGAAAAGUCUCCAAAAGAAAAUUAUUUAUGCAGUAUUUGCAAGAAAACAAAUCACUUGGAGAAAUAUUGUUGAUUUUUUUAAAAAAAAAAGAUAAACACAAUGUCGCUCUUGUAAAAAUUAUGGCCACAUUGUAAAAGAUGUCACUAGAAAACAAAUUUCCGAGCUAACUAUGCUGAAGAAGAAGAAGAAGCAAAAUACAGACGGUACAUUCUACGCAUGCCAACAGACUAAUGUGGAGAAGAAUGAUAAGUGAUAUAGUGGUAGUGGCUGUAAUCACAUGGCGAGAUGAGUCUAUAUAUACUGAAACCCAAGUGGGAUUGGACAACGCUACAUCAGUCGAUGUUUAGUGCUCUGACACAAGCAGAGAUCAUUUGCGGGGCAUGUCGGCUAAAGAGGCCUAUAAAUAGGCUUGUAGUUCUCAAUUCUCGUAUACAAGACCAACUAGAGAAACCAAAUCCAUCCUCAUGUCCAUGUAAUCCUUUCUCGUCCACAAGCACAGAUAGAUUCUCACACCUUCGUAUUAAGAUCUAUACAAAAUACUCACGCCCAACUCGAACAGAGUCUAAGAAAGUUCAUAUCGAGCACCAAUACGAGCUUUUGCAGUGAGCACAACUGAGAAUACGACGAAGAACAUCAAGCUCAUGAGGAAGAUAUCGCAUUACCCGUUAGCAUCACGAGAUAAAUGCCAUCCCGAUAUAUUACCGGCUGCUUCAAGUGAAUCCCUACACUUCUGCACCAGCAAAUCGUCCGUGCGGGCAGCCAAACACCUUCCGAAACCAUCCCCAAAUCGCUCGCUCUGUUUCCGGACAUCGCUUGGCUCCGCAUCAUAGUAAAUAGGCAGAACCACGUGACCCUGGUGAUCUCUGAGCCUGUUGCACUCCAGGAUCUCCACCAGCUCAUCUAAGCACCACUGCGAGGCGUCGUAGUCAGCGGCAGACACCAUGAGAGAAACCCUCAAAUGGCGGAUCGCAUCGAGCACCUUGGGCUCAAUGAGAAUCCUGGCCUUCACCUUGCCAUUGUCCUCGAAGUACUGGAACCCCGCCUGCUUUAGCGCGUGGAAGAGGUGGGCCGCAAAGGCCUUCCUCCUCGCCUCUGAAGCUCACGAACACAUCGUACUUCCACCUAUGAACCGAAGAGGAAGAAAAUGGAAUGCAUCGUUUUAUUUCUUCAGUACCCAUGAGGAUGAUACGUGAUUGAGCGAGCGACUGCGAAAAAGCUCGAAGCUUUUCCUCGCAGAUGAAGAGUACGUAGGAGAGAGAAGGUGGUAGUUGGUAGACAAAGAAGAAGCGGCAGAGGAGUCUCGCCAUGAGACCCCGUCCAGCUUCUUCAAUGGAUUGUUCGGACAAGACGACCAAUGGAUGUUCCAUUCGUUUAAUGAACUCAAGAAGAAGAAGACUGUUCACUCGAGGACAGAGUAGGUUUGAAUUUGUCAAGAACCAGAGUAUGAGUAAGCAAUUACCGCACUCAUUCAAAUUUUUGACAGAAACAGUCAAUCUGUGGAGACGCAAGUGGAAUCAUCCAGAACUUCUAGUUGAGCGCUCUUCCCUCAAACCGGCCCCCCCCCCCCCCCGCGGGGGAAAGCGAAGACGUGAGAAGCGGCGACGAAUUGAGAAAUGAUUAGUUGAUGAUGGACGCCCAGCUGUUUCGAACGUUUGGACUGUUAAACUUGUCGAGGGAACGAAAAACAGGGACGUUCUAUGGUUUUUGUAAGAGUGUUUCUACGGACUGGUCCCGUUUUCAAUAUGAACCGUCAUUGUUGGAAAAAAAAGAGAGGAGGAAAGAGUGGUCUGUCCGAUCUGUUUCGUAAACACCAUUUGUUAUCGAACUUGUAUUCGACUAAGAAAAGUCAUGAUUGGGGAAGAAGACUAUUCACGCACGUCUUAACGAAGUGCAAGUCACGAUCGAUUAGACAUUUUACUAUUAAUAACAAAAGUGAAGUUUGCUCUUGACUUGGUAUAUAUUAUGAUUGUGGUGGAAUAUUACGAACCAAGGGACUAAAGAAUUUAUGGCCACUAAAGAUAAAUUACGCUUUCCGAAUAAAUUUACGAGAUGACAAUUACACAGGUCAAUGGAAAAUUACAAUCCAUCAACAAAUUUACCAACAAAUAGAAAAAGAAACUCACCAUACACUUAGGCAAAUUACCAUUUAUUAUGGAAUUUUAACAACUCACAGGACCUAAAAAAAUUAUGACGAUAAAUGGGAAACCGCGUCUUGUGAAGAAAAAUUACAAAAUGAUAGAUAGCGAAUAAAUAACUUUUAGUAAGGAAAAUUACGAAUGCCAUAGGAUUAUUACAAUUAAUCAAGUAGGAUCGCUCCUGUUUUUCUCCUACGGCACUGUAAAAGGACCGGAAACAUGACCUUUUGGCUCUUAUUGAUUAUUUAAGCAUUCCCAUUUCGGUCCAACGUAUAAGAUGCCUCAACUUAAGAAGAUUUUAAUUCAUUUCUCAACCUAUCCGGCCUCAAUUCUUACAAAACUGUAGAUACAUGUGAAAACAUACUAAGAGGUAUUAAAACUAUUUAGUAACAUUAUUAAUCUGAUGAACAAAUUAUUAAAAAGAAAUUACUACCUUUUUUAAAGUAAUAAUUUCUUCUUAAGAAUUUAUUCAUCAGAUUACUACUUAAACUGGUUAUCUUUUGUCUAAGACCUAAAAUAUUGAUAUUUGUUUGCCUGGACUUAUCGGCUCUUAUGCACUUCUAUUUAUAACUUUUAUCAUUAAAACUUAAAUUAAGUUAAGCUAGCAAAAAAGUCGUAAAUUGAUGGGCUUGAGAGAGCCUAAGUUAAGCUUGAUACUUAGCGAGCCAUUAGUAUCACGUCCCAAACUCCGAGCAUGUGAACAACCCGCCAUGGUCAUGCAAAUGCGACAAUCCCAGGUAGUGUCGCCGACCCCAUUCAUUUAUUAUGUGCAUGUGGAACGUAUUACAAAACCCCUAACAAGACUUACAGGAUAGGAAAGCAGGAAACCAACACAUUCAAAAACAAACAUAUGUUCAUAUAUAAUCAUACCAGUGUUUACAUACACCAAAAAUGGUCAGUCUACAAAAAAAAGAUCCAAAAAGAAGGAAUGGUCCUAUGACUACUAGUCGGACUCAUUCGUCGAUCCCACUUCUGACUGAACAACCUCCGGAGACGAUGGGUCCUCCACUCUACCAUCAGGAGGGUCAGCUACGCCCUCACCUAGAAUAGCCUCCAUCACAGCAGGUGGAAUAUCAAAACUAUCAAGAUAACCAAUCCUGAAACCAUUGGGCCCAAAGCGGAACCAUGCCCUAUAUCUAUGAGGUACCCUGACAAGCACGGCCUCCUGGAUCCAGACCGUGGUCCUAAUUAGCUCAUAGAUCCAAUGACUAUUAGGAUCGGGAAAACUAUGCACCUGCUCCAUAAUCUGCACAGGAAUACCAUAUCGCUUCGGAGGUUCUGCCAUCUACGGACCUGUAAUUUUGGCCCACAACAGAGUGAGACAUUGUUUCAGCAAGAUCAUCCCCUAAACCCAUAUUAGAAAGAAAAUACACCAAGGGGUGCCCUAGCCACACUCAAAGAAGAAUUAUCUCAUCUUACUUCCUUCCUGCAAGUUAGUGCAGUUCAAAUCACUCAAUCACGGGUAGUAAUAAAAACUUAAACAACUGAAACGCAAUCACUUUCAUAUAAUCAACAACCACACUUGGCACGCAUUCCAAUUUUCAUUCAUUCACUACCACACAUGAACAUAGCCUACUCACAAUUCAGCUAUCUACUGACAUUCAGCCAGGCAUCAUCUUUCCACCUUGGAGCACGGCUUCGUCAUUACGUCGACGGCGAUCCCGAAGGAGCAUAGGCCCAGAAUCUACUACGACCCGCAUCCGUUGUAAGGGGCAUCCCAUAUAGGGGCAAGUCCGACUCAACAGCACAGGACAAUUUUCACUUAAUUAUCACACGACCAAUCCAUACUCAGCUCGAGACACUUUGCAUUUCGUCCAAUGCUUCAAUUUAAAAUAGUGAUCCCGACUUCUUUUCUUCAUAUUAAAAAUAUUCCAUAAAUUAUUCAUAUGUGUGGGGGCACGUUAAUUUCGAACCAGAAAACCAAUAUCUCACUUUUUUAAACCCCACUAUUUGGUAUAAUUCUAAAAAUCCAAUUUUGGUAUCAAAACCCUACACUUGGGAUUUUAUGAAUAAAAUCCCUAUUUUUCACAACCAACGUUCAAUUUGCAUUAUCCAUUCAUCAAAUUCAAAAUCUGAAUACACAACAACGAUCGGCGCGAAAUUCUAAGAAAUUAAGGUCCCGAAAUAAUUUUUGGAAUUUAAUAAUAAUUAAAUUUAUUUCGAAAAUUAAUUAAAUAAUAAUAUUUUAAUAAUUUCGAAUAAUAAUAUAUUAUUAAAUUAUUAAUAAUUUAGAAAUAUUUAUUUAAUAAAAAAUACUUCAUUUAAGUCAAAUCAAGACUUAUAUUAAUAUAAACAUCCACUUAGCCCUAAUUAAACAUACUUUAAAUUAAUCACACCCCUUAAUCUAAUUCACACCUAAUUAAACUAAUCUAACAACCUAAGCUUACUUAACUUAAACUAAGAACACCCUAAGCAUCAUUAACCCUCUAAUCAAGGUUUAGGAGGCUAAACUCACCGGAAUCGCUUUCCAAUGAGUUCUCGACGAAGACAACGGCGAGGUGGUCGGAAAACCUCCUCGGGGCAGCACCAAAAGAAGACCGGAAGGCACCCAAAACGGGCCUUAAAGGUCCGGAUCUUGGCUGGAACUCCGGUUCUAGUGGCUGUUCAAGGCCGAACGGAAGCGGCUCGACGGUCGGUUGGGGGUGAAACCGGCGGAGGAGGGCGACAGCAGCUCGUGUGAUGACCGGCGAUGUCUCCGGUGGCAAAGCGGGCGGCCGAGCAGGUGGAGGAGGGCGUCUGGCUUGCUGGUCUGGUCACACACUCCCUCUCUCUCUCCUCCAAAAUCCAAGAAGCAACCCCAAGGAAGAAGAUGAUGUUGAUGGGUGAAGGGAAAGCCCCACUUUUUUUAGGGCCAAUUGGCUCUUGCCACUUGUCCAAAUCUCCUCCACUUUGGCCCUACCAUGACAUCACAUGAGGUCACAUUCCACUAACUCAAAUCCUCUACAACAUUCCUCCAAUGGAUCCAAUUGCUUCCUCCGCCGUGGCGCAUGAAUUUUGAAAUCUUGUACAUCAAAUUCUUCAAUUCCAUUCAAUCAACUUCCAAUUAAGCCAAAUUGAAGUCCAUAAAAUUAAUCCAUUGUCACCGCACUUCAAUUCACAUAUUCACUUGACCAUAAAACCAUCUUAGGUCCCAAAUGAACGACCAAAAGCGAGUCUACCAAUUUUCCGAACCAAAUUAACCAUACUUUGAUUAUUUUGCUAAAAAACUCGGUUUGCAUGAAAAAUCUUCCGAAAAUGAGUCAAUGUUCCUAAAAUGAUUUGCAUGAUGUUUUUAUCUAUCUAAAUCAUUAAUUCCAAUGAGAAUUAUCAAAAUAGACAAUUCAAUGAAUGAUGUGGGAUUGAUUAUGCUAAACGAGAGGUGUUAGAAUGAUAAAAGGCAAUGUAUAUCUCAUACAUAGUUCCCUAUUUAUACACUUGUGAGAUGAGUGUAGGUAGUUUCAUGUCUAUAAAGUAAAGAAUUCUCUUACGAAUGGUACAAUGACCAAAGUGAUGAGGGCAUUUCCUUUCUCUAUCCUAAACAAUGUAGAUUAUCCGUUGCUUAACCUAUUUAGGCCCAAACACUUGUGAAGUUUCUUUCAUAUUAUUCCUAUCAAGAACCACCCCACAUUGGGGUUGGAAGGAGAGCGGCGUCACAAGGUGAGAAAAUGUACAUAAAUUUUUUUGAUUGCACUUGCAUCAAUCUUUGGGUGUCUUUAGCGCAAACGAACACUCACGAUAAUUUAAGUGCCUUAGAAGGAUGAAGAGCAUUCAUUUCUCUAUCCUAUGCUUUUGUAUCCGUUGUACAGCCCCAAUAAGUAUGUAAUUUCUUUAGUAUAAACCUAACUGAUAAUAACCCCUCACAUUGGGGCAAGUUAGAGGUCGCUACUAUUCAAACAUCAUGAUCCAAAGCGCCAAAUGAAGAGGAAGACUCAUGAAUCUAAUAGCAAUGUUUUGUUUAAACUUGUCUAGGCCAGUUCCAAAACAACAAAUAGAAAUGAAAACUAGGGCCAUAAAAAAGUAGUGUACCUAAGAGCAAGGCUAAUGCUCAUAGAUGUGAAGAGUAGGUUAAAAACUAGGGGCAUAAAAAAGCAGUGUUUCUGAUAAAAAUAAAGCCAAUGCCCUCAGACAAAAAAAGUAAAUUUCAGCCAUUCGUAUUCCCUAAUAAAGCUAUUGUUGUGGUACAAUUAAUGGAGCCUCCAUGAAGAUAAUUCUUGGCAGUGAGAGGGAAGACCGUUGACAAUGCCAAGAUAAUCACCAACUCUUAUACACAUUUUUGAGCCUGUGAAUUCCUUCAUUUCUCAACCCAUGAACCAAGCUAUGUUGCGUCCCUUUGAAAAAUUCUCUUUAGAUUAAGGUACUCGAAUUAACGUAGACUUCAUAUGUUUAUAAGUAUCACUCGAAGAAGUGCUAGCAAGAUUAUCUCUAUGUCAUUUUGCAGGGUUCUUGACGUAUAAACUCGAAGAUGAUUGCAGAUGAUUUCUUUCAGAGCCUUGACUUGGACAGUCCCCUUUGAUAAGCCUUUGACCAUGUCUACAUUACGAUCCUGACAAAGACCUCUCAAAUUGGUAAAGUCAUACCACUUUACAAGAAUACUUGGACCCCUGUUGACAUGAUGAUAGUGAGAUGGUGUGGUUUUUGUAAAUCUUGCAUUAAUGAUCGAGAUAAAACAACUUUUUCAAUGAGAGUGAGUGGAAAGCCUUUUCGAACUAAAAGUCCUUCAAUUGACAUGUUUAAGACAUCCACAUUUUGAAUAUGCAUUGUCUUUCUAAAUUUUCCCCAUCGGAACUUUGAUGAUGCAAAAUUGACAAAAUUAUCAUACAUGAACCUCAUUUGAAUUCAUGAAUUUACACCAUGUGUACGUAUUGCAUGUAUUAACAGGAGACAUACUUUCGUAUAUCGGAUAAAUCAUCAGAUAAGUAUAUCUUUCCCCCUCUUCCCCCCCCCCCCUCCAAAAAAAAAAAAAAAGAAAGAAACUUUUCUCUAAUCAUGUGUUUUACUUCCUUUGAGUACUUGCCACUGUCCAAGUACUCUCACUUAUUGACACUUGACCCAUUCGAGUUGUCCUCAAGAUAUGAAUAUUGGUGACAGUCCAAAUAUUCCAUUGUCUCUGAGUACUUGUCACUAUCUAGGUACUUUCUCUUAUUGACAUUCAACCUAUUCAAGUUGUCCUUGGGAUAUGAAUACUUGCAACUAUCCAGGUAUCCAAUUAUCUUUGAGUGUCUGCCACAAUCUAGGUACUCUCUCUUAUUAACACUUGACCUGUUCAAGUUGUCCUCAAGAUAUGAAUACUUGCGAGUGUCCAAGUAUCUCAUUUUCUUUAAGUAUCUGCCACUAUCCAGGUACUUUCUCUUAUCAACACUCGACCCGUUUGAGUUGUUCUCAGAGUAUGAAUACGUGCAAUUGCCCAAGUAUCCAUUAUUUACGAGCAUCUACCACUGUGUAGGUGCUCCUUUUCAUUAACACUCGACCUAUAUGAGUUGUCCUCAAGGCAUUCUCUAAACUGCAUCCUUGGAUACUUGUAGAUUUCCAAGUAUUCCACUACUUUGCGUGCUUGCAACUUCGUCACAUCAUCAUAUGAGAUGAUACCUUGAUACUUGCCAAAAAACUCAGACUCACAUCCCAUAUCACUCAUUUUUUGUAAGUAACUACAAGUAUUUUCUUAUCAAUCUUAGUAUGUAUCAUGCUAUAGUGCCUUUUUUUUGCAUAGGACACCUGGUCCCAAACAAUAUAUCAUCUACUGCGUAUGCAUGGACAAAAUUUGGGUAUCAUUUUGUCUUUGAAUGCAACCUUUGUAAGCUCACUUUUAAAAAGGGAAAGCCAUUGACACCUAAAUUUUGGCUAAACCUUUAAAAUUAAAUUGCAUCUAAUUUGGCCUUAACAAAAAUGAUUUUUGCAUUACCUAGGUAUUAAUAUUUGCAUCUAUUAAUUUUUAUUUUAUAUUUUAUUUUCCCCCAUUUACCCUAUUUUGGGAUAAUUAUAUAAAUAAAAAGGAAAUUUUCAAAAAAAAAGAAAAAGAAAAAAGAAAGAGCCCAUCGGGGCUGGGCUUAGCCCAGCUCCCCUCUUUUUGCCCUUUCUUCUUUCUUCCCCACGUGGGCCCAAGGCCAUUCCCAUUUUGUUCUCCUUUGGCCCGAUCCCCUCCCCCUUUCUUCAUCCUCCUCCUUCCCUCGACAACUAACGCGUGAAGGAUGCCCUACCGAGGCAGAGUAGGGUAGACCGGCGACGAAGGGGACGUGCCAUCAAUGCUACUGGAUGGAGCAGCGUGAAAUCCUACGAGAAACCCGGACUGAUGGGACGACGGCGCAGACGCCUUCAAUGUGCCUUCAUUGCGUUGAGAAACCCAGACGGUGGGCCUGCGUGGAUAGGGCGGCCGAUUGGAUGCCGGUUCAACCGAGGCGGAUGCCGGUUGGCAUGGCAAGGAUCGGCGGCCGAAGCCGCCAUCGACCGUCCUCCUUGGCCUAUAUAUAGGAUAGCCGCGAUCGCGGUUGGAGGUGGGGAUAUUACGGAGGAAGAGAGACAUGGCCAGAUUUGAGAGGUAGAGAGAGUUUAGACAGAGUGAGUGAGCCUCAACCGACGUCGCGACUGUGACGACCCUUGUCUGGCGAGCUCUAGCCGGCGUCCCCGAGCCGAAUUGUGAGCCUCCGAUUCCUCUAUCUUCUGCCCUGCUUUCCGAGCGCGUUGGGCCGGAGCUCGCGGCCAUCCAGCUCACACAAGCUCUAGCCACCAGUUGUCCUUGUAAGGUCGCCAUGCCUGUCCUGGUUCGCUUCACGAGGGUCCUAACACCGAUUCUGAUCCUGUUCGAGCCAAGAGAUCCCGUUCCAGUGGUGCACUUCACCUGUUUGAGAAAAUGCCCGAACUAAAUCUGCUUUUUGUUCCCUUGGGUUCGAGCGUUCAACAGCCGCGGCGGGAGCCGCAAUGGCCAGCCGUGGACGGUGGAUGGCUAGGCAAGGGUUGAGCUGUCUGUCUAGGCGUUCGAGGCGACACCAUGACGUACACAUCGCCGGGCUAGGACAAGCUGCGCCACUCGCCUCAGCCACUACUGUCAUGGCCAAGCCAAGCCUCGGCUAGUGAGGGUGGCUGGCCAGGUGGAGCUUGAGCCUUCGGCUCGUGGCAGCUAGGGCAUCGCCAAGGUGUACCCUCAGCCGUCUCCGCCGUGGCUGCAUCAGGAGCAAUGGCCGCUGCACAUGGUUUGCAAGGUUCUAUAUUUCAGAUUUUGCUGAAAAUUUACCAAAAUUCCUUCUCCACGUAAACAAAUUCAACUUGCAUGAAUAUAUAAUAUCUUUACAAUGCCACAGCGAUCACCGUAGCCAUCAAAUUUUAAAAAUUGAAAAUUAUAUUAUUUGAAAUCAAUAUGUAUCAUUUAUAAUACGAUCAAAUGUUAUAGGUUGUACUGUCUCAUAUAUAAAUUCAUUUUACACUUAUCAACUGUCUCGUAUGUCCUAUUUUACUAAAAUAAAUUUAUCAUGCCCUGUUUUUCUUUUUAAUUUGACACCACUAUUUUGUCAUUUUUAAUCAAUCAUCAUUCUUUAAUUAAGUAAAAUUAACUCUAACACUGUAUUUUACUACAUUUCGUAUAUUCUUGAACCAAAGUAAUUUUUGUGUUAUAAUAUUGAUUCAUGCUAAUAAUUAUCUAUGUUUUCUUACAUAACAUAAUGUGUAUGGUAUGAUCAAUUAUACUAUAAUCAAUUCUUUUUCCUAUACUUGAUAUAUCGUUUCAUGUAGCGUCAGUUUUGUUUCGCUACAAAUUCCAUUACCAUCCCGAAAUCAAUUUUUCUCUAACUUGCAUUUUUUUAUCACAUAAAAUGUGGUGCCUAAUUCGUAUUUGUUUUUUUUCUACCACAUAAAAUGCCGUGCCUAAUAUGUCAAUUUUACUUAUGUUUACAAGCAAAAUUAUUUUCUCUGUCUUAUGGAACUUACUUUUACAACUUAUUACUAUAUAUAAUUGUGAUACUUAUGAUUUAAUUUUUCUAAGUUUUUUCUCUUGAAGUUUCUUGAGAGAAAAGAAAAUAUUUUUCCCUAUCACAAUGUUAUAGUACAUAUUUUUUACUACAUAUAGAAAAAUGAUGAGAUUUUUCCCUAUCACAUGAUCUUUCCCUAACAAAGAGACUUGAUUAUACUUAUUUGACAAGAUUUGGACUUGAUUACACUUUUCAAAAACUCUAAAAUUCGAUUGCACUUGCAACAAGUGUUAGGAUCACCGGUUCACUAAUAUAAGAAAAAAUUAAGGAAGGAAAUUUAAAUAAUCAAAAAACAACUUCAAUCUUUCAGUACAUUUGAAUGGCUUUGAUUUCUCUCAAGAUGCUUUCCACGCCCCAAAGGUUGUCCUUGUCCAUUAUGUAUACGUGUCAAGAAAUGUUAAUGCAACAAGUCGAGAAGCAAAAAUGAGAUAUGGCACUGCUUAGUGUAUGAUCCACUCUCUUGAUGAUUGAGAUAAUAGUGCAUGAUCUGGACACAGUAGAUUAUCUUGCCUACUUCAGCAUCAUAUCAACAUAUAUUAGAUGAAAUAAGAAAAACGACAACCCGCGUAUCUUUAUUUUGUGGCAAAUCGAUAAUUCGAAAAAUAUCUUCCUAAAAUUGAUCAAGAAUAUCCAUUACAUAAAUGAAUUAACAAAAAGAUUUUCAUCAUCAAUAAAAAUAUUUAGAAAUAAAUUUUUAUGGAUAAUAAAAUUUGUCACUUAAUUUUUAUAAGCGAUAUAAAUAAUUUAUUUUAUGAACAUGUCUUCCAAUUCAUUAAUUUGCCACGACAGAAACACACUCAGGCUGCUAACGGAAAAUCUUGGGCGAGCCCUUGUAAGUGCUCUUUUGUCAGGGGAAGAACUCAUUGUUGGAACAAUUAUGCCCAGAGAGAAUAACUAGAUUUGGUCCUACCGACCAAAAUCCACCUGCAGAAAGUCCGUAGAUGGAGAAAAACAGUUGAUUCACUCUCCUUUAUCCACCGUUUUCAAAUGCAAAACUUAAAAAGUGUUCGAUUUAUGACGAAUUUUUUAAACAAAUCCUUUUUCUAUAAAAACUUGCUUUCCAUUGGCGCCAUCCCUAAGCCACAAGGUUAGUUGAUGAAGAUUUGAUUCAGUGGAAUAAAUGCUUUAACACACUUUAUUUGUAGAGGAUACAUCAAUUCAUGUCCCUAAAUUUUUUAGGAUGUCCAAUAUCGCGACCUCUCUUUUCAACGCCCUUAUGCACCGGCGUGUGUGGAGGCUAAUUGCUCACUAAAUGUUACGUUUAGCCUGAGCUCUCUCAAGCCCAUCAAUUUACAACUUAUGGUUCAAGUUUUUAAUUUGCAAGUCAAUUUUAUUUAGGAAUCACUACUAAUCUAUUUGAGAUGGGUCGAUUAGAAACCCAAGUGAACCGCUCUUGCAAUAAUGGAGAAAUUAAGAUCAGAGACUUGAUUAUACUAGUUAAUAACUAAUGCUCUUCUAUAUCGAAUCUUGUUUAAAUCUUGAAGUUUUUUGAAUUUUGAAGGAUUUUCCAUGCAUUUGUGGAGAAUAAAAACCAUCUUUCAGGCUUUUUUUUCUGAUUUUUUGGAAAAUGUAAAUCAUUUUUGGAUUCUUUAUUUUUUAUUAUUAAAAUUAUUAAAUUAUAAAAUAAACGGACCCGGGUCGGGCUACCAAGCCCGAUCUGGCUCGGCCCGACCCGGACUGACCAGGGCCUACCAACUGGGCCCUUGUCUUGAGUUUGGCCGGACCGGGCUCCAUCAAGAGCCCAGUUCGAAUUAAUUCUGCUUAGGCCCAAAAUUUACUUGAAAGAAAAGCCAGGCUCAUGACCUUACAAGCCCAUGCACACCCAGACCCAGUUGGCCCGGACGAACGAGACGCUACCCGAAUACGACCCGUGCCCGACCCGGUUCACGACCUGGCAUCGUGCCUCUCUCCUCUCGUCCGCAGCAGCUUCGCCGCGACGGACACAGCCACGGCGAGCAGCGCCGCUCGCCUCCGUCUGGUUGAGGGCGCCUCCAGCCGUCGCCUUCAUUGGCUCGAUUUCAGCCGCAACAGGGAAAAGGAAGCAGAUCUUGUUGGGGCAUUCUGUCGAACGAGUGAUGUGCGAUAUCGAACGGGAGGCUUUCGGCGCCAACGAGGCUCGAACUCGAGCCGACAUUCUCGAAAAUCUGUAUACAAUAUCACAGGUUCAAAACGCAGGGGCGAUGUGGACCGGAACUCGCGCUGGCCAGACGGCUGCGAGCGCCGGUCCAGCGUCGCCCAAAACAGGGCAAACAGAGCACGUAGACAGGGUGGUCGACCGCGGAUCCCCUACGCGGCUCGCGGUGUCGGACGGCGGACGAGCUCGAGGGUCGAACUGCGUCCGUCCGCCUCGCGCACCACCGAGUCGAGAUCCUUGGGGAGCCGACCCUGAACUUGAACAAAACAAAAUUAAAAAACAGAGCACCACCCACCAAACGCCGGCUCGGGAAGGGAGGUGACGCCGGUGAGUCCGGCUGUUUCUUUGAGCGUCUCGUCACUGGAGAGCACUCACCGACCCUCGACCUUUAGUUGGGCUCGCUCUCUCAGAUCUCUCUCCCUCGAGGCCUCUCGGAUGUCUCUCCAAGGGCCUCCCCUCAGAUCUCUCUCUCUCUCUCUCUCUCUCUCUCUCUCUCUUCGUGUGUUUUUCCUUGGCUUGCGGACGUCCUAUAUAUAGGCCGAGGAGGUCGGUCAACGGAGCUCCGGCCGCCGGUCCUUGGCGUGCCGACCGGCCUUGGUGUGGCCGAACCGGCGUCGCCUCAACCGCCCCACCUGCUCUGCUUUGCUCCUUAGCUCCGCGGCACUGAAGGCGCCUGCUUCGUAGCUUCGCGGCAUUGAAGACGCGUCCCAUCCAUCCGGGUUUCUCGCCGGCCUCGGCGCUGCUCCUCUCCUUCGCGCGUGCGUGAGUUGCAGAGGAGGAAGGGAGGAAGGGAGGAUGGAGGAGAAAAGGGCAGGGGGCCGAAGAAGAUGACUCCCCCCCUCUCUCUCCCCUUUUUUUUAUUCUCCUUCUUUGCUCUUUUUUUCAUUAUUUUGUCCUUUCUCAAGUCCCCCUUCUCGUCUCUUCGGAGACAUCUGAUAAAAAAAGGUCCCCCUUCUCUUUUAUUUAUUUUUUAUUUUCACUUUCUUUCAUGGGCAGAGCGCUUGCUCUUCUUUCGUGUAUAUGAACAAGAUCGAAGAGAGAGAGAGAGAGACCAUUUCGUGUCAGUUCAUGUAAAAGAAUUUUUUCAAUGAAUAAUAACUUUUUUAUAGUUACCCGAAAUGCAAUAAUAAAAUUAAAAAUAAAAAUAAAGCUCAGUUGAUACAAAUAACAAUAGUGCUUACUUGAUGCAAAAAUCCAUUUUGUUACGACCAAAUUGAUCCAUAAUUUUCUAUGUAAUAUUUAGCAAAAACUUAGAUGUCAACAUUCGAGAUGAUACAUAUUUUAAAUGUAAACUUAAACAUCAACUACAAGGUGCACAUAAAGGUGGAGCUUAGCAUGUCAAGGUUCAAAAUAUGCUCCAAGUGAAUCAAGCCAUACUCCAGAACUUCCAUGAAACCCGACGAUCUUUUUACCGAUUGAUGGAAAAUGAAAGUGCUCCCCAACCUCCUCACCAUAUGGCCCAUAAGUUCUUUCAUUGCUAAAAAAUGUGAGCGAGCGAACAAUAGUAUACCCGAAAUAAGAUCCAAAGUGACUAGAAAAUGAGGUUAAAUACUCUCGAGGAUAAUCGGGCUUAAUCUGCAAAAUUGGAAAGACAAACAUAUUUAAUCCCAACCCCCCGCCCCCAACUAAAUAAUCCUAAAAACAACAUAAAGAGAACACUUCAGUUGAUAAGUUAUAUUUGGUUAAACAAACAAUGUAAAAGUUGAAUAGAUAAUCGGCUGCAUUUAGAACAUAAGACCUAUUUUGGUCCGCCACAGUUAUCAAAUCAUUCAUCGAUAAAACGGAAGGCAAUUGAUUAUUAAAAAACGAAAAAAAAAAUGCUUUGGCAACUCUUUGAGAACAGUUCCCAUAUUUUAGGAAAGUUAUUUUUAGACUUAAAAGUCAUAAAGUUAAAAAAACCUUUUAAUAUUUUUUUUUUUUGCCUUUUUUCAGAGGCUGUACUUUUCUUUAUGUAUUGAGUGAUCUCAUCGUAAAUGGAACCGAGGAAGGUUGGAAAAGUUUUCCAGGAAAACCGAUGAGAGGUUUCUUUUCUGGUGUUGAUAUUAUAUCAUGCCCCAACAGUUCUCAGAAGUUCCCAUUCUAGAUAAUUUGCCAAUCUAAACUCAAAAUCUACGAACUGUUCUUAUAUCUCACUUCCACCUUUAACUUCUAUUUAUAAGAUACUAUCACACUCGUGCAUAAUCGUGACCUCCGAACCACUUAAACACCAAACCUUAGCAAUGACAUAGAAGUUGCACGUUCAUAAGAUUAAGUAAAUGUUAAAGGCCAUACCUCGAAUGUUAGAUGUCCUCCAUCUCCACCAUGUUUAGGGCCCUGAACCACAGACCCGUUCUUGUCAUACUCAAUAGUAAUGGAGUCAAUAGCUGAUCCACCUUUUACAAUUAUUUUUCUCACACCUAUGCUAUCUCUGUCGUCCCAUAGAUUGCUACCUUGUCCUCCAAAUGGCCCAAUGGAUUUCAAGAGAUGAAGAUCAGAAAUUGGUUCAAAGUAGACUCCUAGCGCAUCAAGUUGAAUGCCAGACCUUCCGUGAAAGCUAAUUAUCUUGCUACAUGCCAAAGCACAGCUAAAGAACCUUCCUUCUUCCUUACCAAAGGGUCCGUGCCUUCUUAUAUUGCUUUCGAACGUGAGUGAUUGAACAAUAGAAUUAUCAUGUCUGAUAUAACCUGACACUGAGGUCAAGAACUCAUGAGGAUAGUCCAACUUAACCUGCAGAAUUAGCAAUAAAUUGUCAUAUUGAUCUAUAUCAAAGAUGAUGGACUGCAGUGGCCUAAGCAAAAAUCUCAUCCACGAACAACCUAGAAAUUCAAGACUUAGAUCCAAGAAUUUCUUAAAACUAAUGUAUGGAUGGACCACUAUUCUUACGUCAUACUUUUAGGGUCAGCAAUUGAAGAUAAUAGACCAUUGGGCUCUCUAGGGCGCUUUGCCAAUUCGCUUUCUUUAGUAUUAGAAAAACUUAUCGCACAAGGUCACUUUCAUGGAGUCCCUCUCGCAUAAAGCAUAUUAAUGGAACUUUGUCUAAUUUACAAAAUAUCAAUUACCGGAAGCAAUUUUAAUGAUCAGAAGACGAUUUCAAUCAUUCAGUUCAUUUGGACGGUUUUCAUUUCCCUCUAAGAAACUAUCCCAACCCAUACUUGAUCAUUGUCCAUCAUGUAUACAGGUUCUAUCACUCACAAUUUAGUUUGAUAAAGGUUCUCAAGUUUAUUAGAAAACUAAUACUCGAUCUAAUGGUGGCGUAGGGCAGUGGGAGCUGCCUAAGAUCUUCUCCGUACCUUACCGAACUACAUAAAAACAUUCCUUCUAAAGCAGCUAUCAAUAUCAGUAAGAAAAACUCCAUUAUAGUCAUUUCAGUACAUUCAAUUUGCUUAUAGAGAAUACAUAACAUUAACGUAGUAAAUAAGAAAUUGAAAAUUUUCAUUGAAAUUAUUUGUUUGCAAAUUUUCUAAAAGGAUUAUCAUAAGUUCGUCUUUCCAUCGAAACAAUAGGGCUGUUAUGCUUGUUACUAAACUUAUGGAAGAGAUAAAAUAUAAUCAAGGUAUAUCUUUUUUUCUUUUUUUCUUUUUUUCCAUCAAAGGUUGGAUCAAUCAUCAGAGGAACGAUUAGGCAAAAAUUAGGAUACAGUUUAGGAAAAUAAAACUUCCAAUUGAAGAUAAGCAAAUGAAGGGCUUUCACAAAAGUUCUCCUAGAAUCGAUAGAGGUUUGGGCAAGUGCGCGCGUGAGAGAGAAGGGGAACUGUAAUUUGAACAGAAAAUAUGCAAUGAACUCACCAUAUGGAUAUCUCCGCUACCAUUGUGACCACGGGUAGAGGACCAAAUAGAUUCGCCAUUAUCAUCAUACUCAAAAGAGAUGCAGUUGACAACAUCUUCCAACAUCAUCUUUAUUUUCUUUACACCAUUAAACUUUCCAUCGUCCCAACGGUGUCCACCUUGGCCUCCAAAUGGUCCAAUAAACUCGAUCGGACAUAGAUGAGAGAUUGGUUUGAAAUAUGCUCCGAGAGAUUCAAGAUGGGAAUUGGAACUCCCAAAAAACCCAAUGAUCUUUCCCCCGGUGGCGGGGAAUGAAAAUUUCCUUCUGGUUUUAGUGCCAAAUGGCCCAUAUAUUCUUUUAUUGCUUUGAAAUGUGAGUGAAUGGAUGAUAGUAGAGCCAAAAUCACUCGUCAUAUAGCCCCAAACUGAAGUUAGAUACUCACUUAACCAAUCUAGAAUUAUCUGUAAUAAUUUUUAGAAUGUAAGGAAUAGCCAAUGCAACAACUUGUAAAACAAAAACAUUACGCAUGAUAGUAACAAGUAUGUGACACCAACUUCUAGAUAGUCAGUAAAUGCGCAUGAGUGGAAAAAUAUAAAAUAGAUAAUCUUUCGUAAUUCACUGUAAUGCCGUAUAUCUCAUAUAAAAAGUAGAUACUCUUUGAAUUGCACAUGAGAUAUCAUUGGUAAUAUUGUGUAAUUUCGAGAUUAACUCAUCACUUGAGUUUCAUAAAACAAUUCAUUAGAAUAAAGAUAAACAAGAGAGACAGUUAAUUAUUGACAUCCGGACUCCUGAAGUGCCAAAAGUUGGCACAAAAGGACAUUUAAGUGCCAAAAGUUACGAAAGUGGCACUUAAGUGUAAAAAUCGGAGCAAAAUGGAUCACUUAAGUGCCAAUCCGGCCAAAAUGUUGAUGUCAUGAUUUUCCGGUAAAGCAAGUGCAAAACAGUAUUGUUUUGGUGCUAACAUGGUAAAAAAUUAAUUAAAUUAAAUUAAAUUAAAAAUUAAAUUUAUUUAAAACGUUUGAAAAUAAAAAUAAAAAUAUUAAAAAAUUAUUUUUUAAAAAAAUGGAGGCGGCUAAGGGUUGAGCCCUCCCCAUCACCGCUAGGAAGGGUCGGCGACGGAGGGGGGAGGGUCGACCAGGGCCGCCGGGUCCUAGCCAGGGGCCGGUGACCCCGGUCGAUUGGCGGCGAGGGCCCACGAGCCCUCGCCCAGAUCCGGUGAGGGUCAGUGGCCCUCGCCGGCUAGGCCAAGGGUCAUCCCUCGCUUAGGCGACUGGGCGAGGGCCGUCGACCCUCGUCGGAUUUGGGCGAGGGUUGUGACCCUUGCCUUGAUUUCGAGUGAGGGCUCAUGGGUCUUCGUUGCCGGGUUGGUCGGGGUCGCCGGCCCCUGACAGCCUGUUGGGGGUCGCCCCAGUGGGCGGCGGCCCUUGGCCCGGCCGAGUGAGGGUCAUCGACCCUCACCAGAUCUGGGCAAAGGCCAUAACCCUCGCCCCAAAUUAGGACAAGGGCUCGUGGGGCCUUGCCGUCAGCUGACCCUCCCCCCUCUGUCACCAGCCCUUCCCGAUAGCGACAGCUAAGCCCUCAACCACCUCUCUCUUUAAAAAAAAAAAAAAUAUAUAUAUAUAUAUAUAUAUAUAAGAUUUUUUAAUAUUUGUAUUUGUAUUUUUAAAUGUUUUAAAUAAAUUUAAUUAAAUUUAUAUUAAUUUUUUACCAUGUUAGUACCAAAAUAAUAUCGUUUUUACAUUAUCUAGCCACGUUAGCAUGCAAAAUGGUAUCGUUUUGCACUUACUUCGCCGAAAAUUGCGCAUAUUAGUAUUUUGGCCGGAUUGGUACCUAAGUGAUUAAUUUUGCUUCGAUUUUGACACUUAAGUGUCACUUUCGUAACUUUUGGCACUUAAGUGUCUCUUUAUGCCAACUUUUAGCACUUGAAGUGUACUUUUGCCGUUAAUUAUUCCACAAGUUGUUCUGGAAACAACUCAUGUAUGCAAAACAACAUUCACUGGCAUACAUUUCACCAAUUUUCAAAAACAAAUAAAUCGUGUUCCAAUAGUUUUUUUUUAAUUUUAUUAUGUUAUACGUCCCGCUUUUAUAUUUCCCGGAUGAGUUAUAAUUACGGUGGUUCAACUUGGCUAAGUUUUAAACAUUAGCGAAUAGCGACUAAUGAUUUCUAUUUAUGCAUCACGUCUUCAGCCCAUGUCAUUAUGAGCUGCACGAAUCAGAAAUAAAAAAAGAGUAGCUUUCAUCUAACACCAAGAUCAACAAUUCAUUACUCGAAUAGAACCGGUACCUUGUUCGUUGUGCCUCCCCCACUUGUACCGUGUGCAAAAGAACGACCUUGCUCAUAGGUAAUACUUAUCGACUCAAUUGCAGAACCAGAGACGACAUCAAUUUGUCUAACGUCUGUAUGCUUGCCGUCAUCCCAUCGGUCUUCAUAAUUACUAUUUCCAAAUGGGCCUACGACUUCAAAGGGAUAUGCACGAGAGAUUGGUAAAAGAUUUGCUCCAAUGGAAUUUAGACAACUGCCACACCUCCCAAAGAAUCCGACGAUCUUCCCAGCAACCGGUGGGAAACUGAAAAAUUCCCCGAUCUCAUUGCCAAAUGGACCAUAUGUUCUCCUAUUGCUGUGGAAGGUAAGUGAUUGAAUGGCGACAAAUCUGGGAUCGUCCAUAAUGUAGCCUGACACUGAAGUCAAGAACUCAUUUGGAUAAUCUAGUUUUACCUGCAGGCAGCAGCACAAAUCUUGCAUCCGUCACCUUCAAGAAAUGGAUAUUACCAAAACUAAGGAUAUUGGAUACUUUUGAGGACCUAAAAAGUACUUCAAGCGGAUACUGCAUGAGCACUGAGAAAAUCAAUUCGCUAGUCUCACUAAACUCACUCAACUUAUUCAACUCCAUCUUAAAGCCCUGAUUUUUGCAUAAACAGAUGGAGUUCAUGACACUCUGUGUUGGGAACAUCAAAGCAAAAUCAAAAUCUUUGAUAAAUCUAACAUCAAGACAAGUAUAUAAAACCAACACAACUUCUUUUUCUUCUUUUACAAACGUCGAGAAUUUGGGAGAUCAUGAAGCACUGUGGACCAACCCCGUUGAAUCCUUUUAAGCAAUUUACCUUCGAUGUAGACUCUUAUUUUCUAAUGACCGAACAGUACAUCAUAUUUUGAUGUGGAGUAUAGCAUUAGUAGAAAUAAAUAUUUACAUAUAGGCAAAGGUCUGCGAUGUCUUGGCAAAAAUAAUUACAAAUAUAUGCCAUAGCAUACUAUAACAGUGGACUCACCGUGCAUAUUCUGCCUUCCGUAGGUCCACCAUGUCUUGGCGAGCGGACCAAACACCCAUCCUGAUCAUACUCAAUAGAAAAGGACACAAUCCCUGACAUUACGACAACAGUUAUUUUUCUAACAUCAGUGUGUGUUUUAUCAUCAUAAGGACUCCCGCCACGACCUCCAUAUGGCCCCACUGAUUGAAAGGGAAGAACAGAGGAGAACGGUUCUAAAGGCAAUCCAACUGAGUCAAGAUGAGGGUCUCUCACCAACUUCUCCAAUAUCUCAUGCCACUGACUUUUCCUCUUCUUAGAAAGGAAGGAACCAAAUCUUUUCAGGGCUAUUGGAAGUCCACCCGUGUAGUGGACAAGCCUCUUUGACAGCUCUUCAUAGCCUUCUUUAGGGUGGUCUUUGCGGAAGGCAUGGUGACUCAAGAGUUCGAGCGAUUCUUUAUGAGUCAAUCCUGGAAGCAUGUGCUUGUUAUCUACUUGGAUAUCUUCCAGCAACUGCUCAUCUCUUGUAGUUAUCAAAAUUCUACUCCCAUGUUGGAACCAAUCUCGAUCUCCAGCUCCGAAAAACUCAAUUUGGUCCUUCUUAGUAAUGUUAUCAAGUACUAGAAGGAUCCUUUUAUGGCAGAGCUUAGCUUUUAUCUCGUUGAUGUUGCUGUGAAGAUCAAACGUUUCUAGACCUUGUACCUUCAGAACAUCGUGGAGAAGUCUCUUCUGUAGAAGUAAAGCCUUAUCUUGGUUGGCAUCUCCGACAUUUUCAAGUAAGCUAACACCUUCAAAUUCCCUAAUAACACGAUCGCAGACGACUUUGGCCACCGUUGUCUUGCCAAUUCCUUUCAUUCCCCAUAUUCCAAUCACACGGACAUCAUCCUCUGACCAAAUUUCCAGCGAUGAUAUCACAUCCUCUACAAAGGAAUCCACCCCGAUAACAUUUUUGACCAAAUAGGGCGAGAUUGCUCUAGGACUGACCGUGAGUAGAUGUCCGACGAUUUGCUCGAUGAAGUUUGAUUGAACCCUGUAGUUACAUGGGAAGAACAAGCCCUACAUGAGUAACUAUAGCAUAGAAAGGCCAUCAGCAGAUGAGCGGUAAACCCAAGAACUAGACUCGAUCAACAGCAUAUUUCAAAUCGACCACUAAUAUGAGCUUUUUCAGGAGUGAACUUAUUAAAUGCUUUACCCACUAGCAUCAUUAUUCAAGUGCCAUCCUGACAAAUUCCCAGCUUCUUUAAGCGCAUCCCUCCACUUCUGCACAAGUAAUUCGCCAGUGUGGGUGGCCAAAUUUUUGAAACCAUCCCUGAAUUGCCCGCUUUGUUUCCGAACGUCCCGUGGCUUGACAUCAAAGAAAAUGGGCAGAACCGCGUGACCCUGAUGAUCUCUGAACCUCCUGUUGCACUCUAGGAUCUCCACCAGCUCGUUCAAGCACCACCACGAGUCGGCGUAUUUGGUGGUGAACACUGUUAAGAGUAUAACACAAGAUAUGGGUGCUGAUAGAAACAGAGGAAAGAAGAAAGAAGACUUCAAGAAUAGAGGAAAGGAAGAAGGUGAAAGUGAGUUCAGUAGCAGCAAUAAGAAAGCUGAUGAAAACAGAGAAGUUAACAACAGAGAUUACAGAAUUCGUGAAAUUGAUUUACCUUUGAGAAAUCGGUUUUCAAUUUUCAAUUUGUAAAGUCAAACUCUGUUCUUUAAUUCAGUUAGUUUGUUAGUACUGUUAAGCUAGUUAGUUUUCAUUCAGUUUAGAGCACUUCAGCAGAUAUAAAAGCUGAUAAGAGAAAGGCAAGAGGAUGUACCUUCUUAUUCAUUGAAACAGAGCACUCAGUUGAAUAAUAGACGAUUUUUACUCUCUGAAUCAUCUUUCCUUCUUGCUUCCAUUCAUUGUUCUGUUCAUCAAAAUCCUUCAUGGUAUCAGAGCAGUCUUCCUGAGAGUAUGAAUCCACCUUCUUCUCAAUGAAAAGAUGAUGAAUCUACAGCAGAUUGAAGCUUCAUCGAUUGCUGUCUUCUGGUGUUGAUGGUGAGCAGUCUUCCUGAGAGUAUGAAUCCAUCUUCUUCUCAAUGAAAAGAUGAUGAAUCUAUAGCAGAUUGAAGCUUCAUCGAUUGCUGUCUUCUGGUGUUGAUGGUGGUAUGUACUCGUCAUUUGAGGAUCUGGAAAUCGGUUUUCAAUACUAAAGAAGAACAGUGAGUUGUUUCUUCUUCUAAAUCAAGUUCUUAUCAUCAUCGGUAAUAGAAUCACAACUCUGUUCUCUGUUCUGCAAAAUCAGUAGGGGAUUAGUUUCAGUAAUAAAGAAUCCUCAAGAAUCUGAGUGUGAAAAUGGCAGCAAGGAUGCAGAAGUAUCCAUUCCCUAUUCAUGUUAACAUCUCAAACUUUGUUACCAUCAAAUUAGCCGAAGAAAAUUUUCUUCUUUGGCAAGCUCAGUUUCAUAGGUUUUUAAGAAGUCAAGAUCUGUUCGGUUUUGUUAGUGGAGAAAGUCCACCACCUGCCAAAUCAUUGCAAAUUGAAGGAAAAGAACAGGGUACUUAAAUUAUAAACCCUGAUUACAAUGAUUGGAUUAAGACAGAUCAACUUGUGUCGUCAUGGAUUAGUGGUGCUGUCUCAGAGAACAUACUUAGCCUAAUAAUUGGUUUAGAUACUGCGUUUGAAGUUUGGCAGACACUACUUAACCGAUUCACACAAAAGUCUGUGGCCAGAGAAUUUGAGUUAAGAAGGAAGUUGCAAGGAUGUCAGAAACGUGAUCGAGCUUUGGCUAUAUAUUUUAGGGAAUACAAGUCUAUCUGUGAUCAACUCAAGGCCAUAGGGAAACCUGUUGAUGAAAUAACAAAAUUGUUUGGAGUUUUGGAAGGUUUAGGGUCUGAGUAUGAAAGUUUUAAGACCACAAUAUAUUGCUUAAAACCACAACCUGAAUAUGAUGAGGUGAUAUCACAUUUGGAGAGAUUUGAAGCAAGAUUACAGAACUACUCGUCAAAUCAGUUCAGUCCUAAUCUAGCCUAUUAUGGCCAAAGGAAAACUGAACUUCUACAAAGAGAAGUUUUUGACAGAGAACCAGCACAAAAUGUCAGUUUUGGAGGACCAAGAGGAUAUAUUCGUGGAGGCAGGAGUUAUGGAAGAGGACGUCCAUUUAAUAAUCGAUAUCGCAGCUAUGGAUAUUCUGGUAGAAGUAUAAGCUACAGACAGAAUAAUCCAAGUUAUGAUCAAGGGGAACAACAGUUCAAGCAAUUCAACACUAUCCCUGGCAUUGGUUCUGGUCAAGGUUUUAGACCGUAUGCUGGUUCCACACAAAGAAAUCCAGAUAUCAAGACAUAUCCCUCUAACUCAUCAAAUCUAACCCUUCAUAAAAAUCUGCAGGAAAAUAGAGUGACAGAAAACACUCGAUUAGAGUGUCAGAUCUGCAAACGUCCUGGACAUGAUGCUCUUCACUGUUGGUAUAGAUUCGACAACUCUUAUCAAGCUGAGGAAAUACCAACAGCACUAGCAGCAAUGCAUCUUGAAGAACCAGGUGGCAGUGAAUGGUAUCCAGACACUGGCGCAACAGCUCACAUCACUGCUAAUGCUGGUAUUCUUCACAAUUCCUCUAAACACAUUGGUAAUGAUACUGUUAUGAUUGGUAAUGGCUUAUGCUUACCUAUUACUCAUAUUGGUGAUGCCUUACUACCUACUACAGUGGAUACUUUACCUUUGAAUGAUGUGUUAAUUGUUCCAUAAAUUAAGAAAAAUCUUCUGUCAGUCUCAAAAUUAACUGAUGAUUAUCCUUGCUCGUUUGUCUUUGACAAAAUCGGUGUAUAUAUAAAGGAUCACUCAUCCAGCAGAAUCAAGAUGCUCGGAAGGAAAGUUAAUGGACUCUACCGAGUAGACCCUCGUGUUACAGAAGUCCUCUUUACUCAAAAACACAGGACAGUUGGAGAAGAUGUGUGGCACCAACGUUUAGCCCACACGAACUUGAAGGUCUUGGAGCACAUGAAGAAUCAGCAGUUAAUUCACUGCAAUACAAAGCUGCAGUCUAUAUGCAGGAGUUGUAAAAUAGCUAAGAGCACUGCUUUACCCUUCCCAUUAUCAGACUCUGUAGCUUCUAGACCCUUAGAACAGAUUCAUUGUGACAUCUGGGGACCUUCUCCAGUUAAUUCAUUUCAGCACUUCAAGUAUUAUGUGAUUUUUGUGAACAACUUCUCUCGAUUUAGCUGGCUUUAUCCGCUGAAACUAAAGUCAGAUUUCUAUAAUGUCUUUCUCAUGUUUUAGAAGUUAGUAGAAAAUCAGUUUGAUUGUAGAAUCAAGGUCUUCCAAUGUGAUGGUGGAGGAGAAUUCAUCAGCCACAAAUUCAAGUCUCAUCUACAGAAUUGUGGAAUUCAACAACGUCUGUCCUGUCCUUACACACCUAAACAGAAUGGCAUAUCCGAAAGAAAACAUCGACACAUUAUUGAGAUUGGUCUGGCUAUGCUUUAUCAUGCAAGACUUCCUUUAAAGUUUUGGGUUGAUGCAUUUAUAACAGCAAACUACUUGGUUAAUCUACUUCCCACUCCAAAGUUACAAAUGAAGUCGCCCUACACUAUGCUAUAUCAGCAACAACCAAGUUAUGAUCAUCUCAGGAUCUUUGGGUGUGCAUGCUAUCCAUGUCUCAGACCCUAUGCACAAAACAAGUUUGAUCCAAGAUCUCUUACUUGUGUAUUCUUAGGUUACAGUGAUCGCCAUAAGGGAUAUCGGUGUCUUAUUCCCACCACUGGUCAUAUAUACAUUAGUCGCCAUGUUGUAUUUGAUGAAAGUUUCUUUCCAUUUACUCAGAAACUGACAGCAGACUAUCCUCAUCAUACAAAACUAUAUCAACUGUGGACAAAGGAAGCUCAAUUCUUCAACUCUCCAAAUGAAGAAGGCAAACAAUCCACAUUAUCUGAACAUACAAACCAUUUACAGAACAACAACAUCAUCACUGCAGCUCACUUACAAGACUCUCCUAGUUCAGAAUCACAUUCAGCCUUGUCUUCAUCUCCAUUGCCCAUAACAUCUGCUGAUUCUUUAAAUUCAGCAUCCUCCUCAACCUCUUCUUUGGAUCAUUUGUCUCGAACUAACUUUGCAGAAUUAGGAGCUCCUAUCUCCACCACUGAAUCACCAGGUGAUCCUACUGUUGCUCGAACUUCUUCUUCCCCAAUUAUCUCAUCACACAUAUCAUCUACUCAUCCUAUGCAAACUAGAUCCAAAUCUGGCAUUGUAAAGAUCAAUCCUCGAUAUGCCUGCUUAGCUGAAUAUCAAGUGCCUCCUGAGCCACGCUCACUUAAAUAUGCACUAGCAGAUCAAGGCUGGUAUAGAGCCAUGAAAGAUGAAAUGGAUGCAUUAGAUGAAAAUCAGACUUGGAUACUAGUUCCUCGCACUAGCCAGAUGAAUGUUAUUGGCUGCAAGUGGGUAUACAAGACAAAACUUGCACCAGAUGGCAGUCUUGAUUGUCUAAAGGCUCGGUUAGUAGCCAAGGGCUUUCAUCAGGAAGAAGGAGUGGAUUUUACAGAAACAUUUAGCCCUGUUGUCAAGCAUGCCACUAUCCGCAUUGUGCUCUCGGUUGCAAUAGUACAGAAUUGGCAGAUCCAUCAACUUGAUGUGAAAAAUGCAUUUCUUCAUGGCAACUUGAAUGAAACAGUCUAUAUGCAGCAGCCUCCUGGCUUUGUUCAUCCACACAAAUCUCAGCAUGUCUGUCUUCUUAAGAAGUCCCUUUAUGGGCUUCGCCAAGCACCACGUGCCUGGUUCGAUAAGUUCAGCAACUUCCUCCUUGAAGUUGGUUUCUUCUGUAGUACCACAGAUCCAUCUCUCUUUAUAUUGAGAAAUGGCCAAGAGAUAGUCCUGCUGCUAUUAUAUGUGGACGACAUUAUCUUGACUGGCAGCUCAUACACAUUACUACAUAGUCUGAUUCAGUCUCUCAGUCUUCACUUUCAUAUGAAAGAUCUUGGCCAUCUUCACUACUUCUUAGGAAUUGAAGCAAAACGUAUCACUACAGAACUGUUUUUGUGUCAAACUAAAUAUGCUCUUGACCUACUCAAACGAGCACACAUGGUCGACUGUAAACCAAUCUCCACUCCCUUGUCCCUGCAACCAGUUAUCCUCAAAACUGAUCACACCCUUCUCUCCAAUCCAGUUGAAUAUCGAAGUUUAGUUGGUGGAUUACAAUAUUUGACUAUAACACGUCCUGAUCUUGCUUUUGCCACAAAUCUAUUAUGCCAGAAAAUGCAACAGCCUACUGUAGGCGAUCUUCAUCGAUUAAAAAGGGUCCUUCGGUAUGUUAAAGGCACAAUUCAUCUUGGCCUCUUCAUUCGUUCCCACAGCUCUAUGCAUUUAUAUGGCUUCUCUGAUGCAGACUGGGCUGGCUGUGUAGAGACCAGACGAUCAACAACUGGUUACUGUACCUUUCUUGGAUCAAAUCUCAUUUCAUGGGCAGCUAAGAAACAAUCUACUGUCUCUCGCUCCUCCACUGAAGCCGAAUAUAGAGCACUUGCCUCGGCUACAGCUGAUCUAACUUGGAUUAGUUUUGUUCUCCGUGAUAUUGGCCAACCUUUGCAUUCUCCAACUCUUCUCUUCUGUGACAAUCAGUCUGCUAUCUCACUCACAGCAAAUCCUGUUCUCCAUGCUCGCACCAAACAUAUUGAAGUCGACUUCCACUUUGUCCGUGAGAAAGUUUCUUCUGGUUCUCUUCGAGUUCAAUAUGUUCCGAGCAAAUGUCAACUUGCUGACAUUUUCACUAAAGCCUUAACACGGCUCACACAUUCUACUCUACGGAUCAAAUUGGGUAUCGGUAUACUACCUCCUACCAAUUUGAGGGGGGAUGUUAAGAGUAUAACACAAGAUAUGGGUGCUGAUAGAAACAGAGGAAAGAAGAAAGAAGACUUCAAGAACAGAGGAAAGGAAGAAGGUGAAAGUGAGUUCAGUAGCAGCAAUAAGAAAGCUGAUGAAAACAGAGAAGUUAACAACAGAGAUUACAGAAUUCGUGAAAUUGAUUUACCUUUGAGAAAUCGGUUUUCAAUUUUCAAUUUGUAAAGUCAAACUCUGUUCUUUAAUUCAGUUAGUUUGUUAGUACUGUUAAGCUAGUUAGUUUUCAUUCAGUUUAGAGCACUUCAGCAGAUAUAAAAGCUGAUAAGAGAAAGGCAAGAGGAUGUACCUUCUUAUUCAUUGAAACAGAGCACUCAGUUGAAUAAUAGACGAUUUUUACUCUCUGAAUCAUCUUUCCUUCUUGCUUCCAUUCAUUGUUCUGUUCAUCAAAAUCCUUCAAACACGACGAGGGCAACCCUAGAAUUGCGAAUCGCGUCAAGCAGCUUGGGCUCGAUGAAAAUCCCAGUCUCCACUUUGUCAUUGUCCCUGAAAUAGUAGAUCCCCGCCUGCCUCAGCGCACGGAAGAGGUGGGACGCGAAGUUCUUCCUUAUGUCCUCACCUCUGAAGCUCACGAACACAUCAUACUUCCAUGGAUGGAUUAAAGCAGAAGACGAAAUGCGUCGCUCGAUCUCUUCGGUUCCCAUGGGGACAGUGCGUGAUUGAGUGAGAGAAUGGGAAAUAGGCUGCAAACUUUUCUCGCGGGUGAAGGUAUGUAUCAGAGAGAGAGAGAGAGAGAGAGAGAGAGAGGACAGGCUCUGCUUCUCCAAUUGAAUCCUCGCACAAGCAGGCGAGCGGGACUCGAUUCGUUCGAAGCACUGAAGAAAGACUUGCACGCUCGAGGACGGCUAGGUGCGAAUCGUCACACAAACCACGUGUUGGAGUCAACGCCUAAUAUAAUAAUGAAAAUACAUUAUGCAUGAAGGCUGCACGUAAACCGCCUCAGAAAAGUGUGCUGCAGCGCCACACUUAAACCGCCAAAGAAGAAAUUUCUUGAAGAAGCCACAAGGAUCAAAAGAAUGGGCACAUAUUAAAAUAUUAUUAUAAUGGCUGCUGGAGUCUUCAAGAGAGCACGAAGGAAAGAAAAACUUGCGGCUGGCAACUUGGACGUGAAGGAAAAGCAGCCCACAAUUUUUGACUGCCAAGAAAAGUUCAAAUUCAACUCUUGCACGUUGAAGACAAUGGCGGUGGAGUUUAGGCGGUGGAGUCCAGGCGGUGAACGAUGCUUAUAAAUAUAGGGUCACGUUAGUUUAUUAAGAGAGAGAGAGUGAGGUAGCUUCAAAAGCAUAUAGAAAGAAUGAGAGAGUUUUAAGCUUAGCAAAGCUUGUGUGUGUACUCCAUUAAGCCUCUACAAGGCAUAUUGUGUAAUAUAUUCUCUCUGUGUGUUCUCUCCCUCCAAAUCCUUUCAGUUCCAACAAUUGGUAUUAGAGCUAGUCGGCCAGGGACUAUAUCAAAGCUAGCGGUCAGGGAUCGUGAAUCUAGAGCAGGCCAAGGAUUGGAGUGUCAGAGCCUAGGAGGUCAGGAACCGGAGUAUCAAAAGAGUGGCCGGAGACUGAGAACCUAGAGCAAUCGAUCAAGGAUCGUGAACUCAAAGCUAGCAAUGGCUUCCACCAAUUCUAUUCAGUUGCUACUUCCAAAGUUGAAUGGAAAGAAUUACAACAACUAGUCCGUCCAGAUGAAGGUUCUUUUCAAAUCCCAAGAUUUGUGGAACCUAGUAGAGAACGGCUACACCGAAGUGGCCGAUGCCGAAGCAUUCGAUGCUUUAAGAAAGACAGAGAAAGAUUAGAAAGCAUUAUUUACGAUCUUUCAAGAUGUGAAGGAGACGAUAUUUGAGAAAAUAUCGAGCGCGGAGACAGCGAAAGAAGCGUGGGAUAUAUUGCAAAAAUCCUACAAAGGCGAUGAUCGUGUUAGGCGGGUGCGGCUCCAAACACUUCGAGGAGAUUUUGAGUCUUUACGCAUGAAUGGCUCUGAAUCUAUUUCAGCUUACUUUGAUCAUGUACAAACCAUCGUUAACCAACUGAAAGUUAAUGGUGAAGAACUCCAAGAUGUACGAGUCGUAGAAAAAAUCUUGAGGUCUUUGAUUGAAAGGUUUGACUACGUUGUUGCGGCGAUUGAAGAAGGCCAAGAUAUAUCAACCAUGACAUUGGAGCGUUUGAUGGGUUCAUUAUGCUCGCAUGAGCAAAGAAUGAAUAAGAAGUCCAUCAGUUUGUAUCUUGAGCAAGAAUUGCAAAGUCGGGUUGUUCAGUCAAAUCAAGGAGAUUACCAAGGUGGACAAGGUCGUGGAGGUACCCGAGGUAGGGGUGGAAAUUCAAAUUUCACCAAAAGAUAUAAAACACGUGACAAAUCAAAAGUCAGUAAAUUCGGACAUUACAAAUCCAAAUGUCAAGAAAAGGUGACAUAACAUGCACAUAUCGUCAAUGAUGACGAAGAUGUGGUGCUAGCAUGUACCGUGGAUGAUGCAUGUACUCUUUCUAGAAAUAAAAGAGGUUUCAAGAGCCAAUGGAGAAAUGAUGCUGGCAUUAGGAAUGGCAAACGGUGGAAAUGUCAUAGUGAAUGGCAGAGGCGAUCGGUAGCAAGAAGCACUCAACCAGGGAGAGCACACCAAGAUUGUAACAAAGAUAACAAAAGGUAUAGCAAACGGUGCUACAUUUGUGGCAAAGUAGGUCACUUUGCCAGAGUUUGUUGGUUCAAGCAGGUAAAACAAGAUGCUACAACUUUUACCAAGAAGAAGAACCAUAGUAAUAAAGAAUGGAGUCUCCAAGCGAUUGUUGCAGCAGAGGAGCAAGAAGAGCCCGUAGCCACCGAUAUCAUCAAGGCAGAUGAUGGGAUAGCCAUUGAGACAUCCCCGAAGAAGAGCAAGCCAUGGGCAAGCUCGAAGAAGCAAGUACCAGCUUCAACAAGCAAUUGUGAGAAGGAAUUGUAAGAGAUGCGGGAGAUGUUGAAAGAGAAGGAUGAAAUGCCAAAGCAAAAGGACAAGGAGCUCAAGCUCAAAGAAAGAGAGCACGAGAAGCUUCGAUACGAGCUCAAGAAAUUGCAAAGGCUCAAGAAAUGUUGCCCAAAGAAAAAGAUCCCCAGGGACAAAAACAAAUGGAAGAUUGUAGAGAAGAAGUUCCAUGAGAAGGAAAAGGAGACUGAUACGCAAAGUGAAAUGGCUAUUGGAGAAAUCUUCAUGGAGUGUUUUGGAGCUAACGAAACGUUUCCAUCAGUCUAGUCUGAAGAUUUGCAAACUCUUCUAUUUAAAGUCUGAAGACCUCCGGACUGCCAGACUCAAAGUCUAUUCUCAUUGACAGUUUCUAAUCCGUCGAAGAAUGCCUAUCCAGGACUAGAUGUUUCGUUAAGGAUUUGACCUUAUCGACUGAAGAAGAUCUCUUGGCUGGAUAUGACAUAACAGAAUCAUUUAUUCGGAUCAAGAUUGAUUCAGAGAUUGAGGAUCCGAUGAUUGGGCGAAGUAUACUUGGAAUGUUCUACUUAUGGAAACCGAGAUCCUGAUUAUAUGGGCGAGCAGGAUUGAUGGACUAUCGUCAUGUUCCUUAAAUAGCUCGAAUGAUUUUCCUAAUUGAUUCUGUCCAACGGGAAGAUUGGAAGAAUUCCUUUGAUAAGUGCCAACAGGUAUGAUGGCGUAAAGGAGUAUAUAAGGAAAACGUUCCAGUUGUUCGAGUGUGUACGUGAUAGAAGAAUUCCAAAGUCUAAAACUCAUUGUUCUUAGUCAAUUCAUUUACUGAGCGAAAUCUUGUACGCAAAAGAGAAUCUAUAUUCUUGAGAAACCUUGAGGGAGUGUGGUAGAGUAUCUACACUGUGGAAUCAAUUGAGAGCUUUGCUGUAACAACUCUUUUGUUCAUAGUGAAAUCCAGCCGAUGGACUGUCAGUGCGGAAGAGUGGACGUUGGUUUGGAAUAAGCCGAACCACUAUAAUUUCUGUAUUCAUUUUCUUUUCCCUACUCUCUGCUUUACUUUGAUCAUAAUUCGUUUUGUUAACAAAAUGAGAACUUCCUUUCUAUUGUCUAUUUAGUAUUGCUCACUUAUCACGAGAAACGAUUUUUACACCUAUUCACUCCCCUCUAGGUGCUUAUACUAGCUAUCUCAAUGGCAUUAAUGAAAUCAGAGCUUCACAAAUCUCAAUUGGAAGUCACAGUUGCUGAGGCAACUGAUGAAGAUGAAUAUCAAAUGCUAUAGAAGAAGAGUAUUAGGUGUUGUGGGAGAGCGUUGGAAUCAACACCUAAUAUAAUGAUGAAAAUACAUUAUGCAUGAAGGCUGCACGUAAACAGCCUCAGAAAAGUGUGCUGCAGCGCCACACUUAAACCGCCAAAGAAGAAAUUUCUUGAAGAAGCCACAAGGAUCAAAAGAAUGGGCACAUAUUAAAAUAUUAUUAUAAUGGCUGCUGGAGUCUUCAAGAGAGCACGAAGGAAAGAAAAACUUGCGGCUGGCAACUUGGACGUGAAGAAAAAGCAGCCCACAAUUUUUGACUGCCAAGAAGAAAAGUUCAACUUCAACUCGUGCACGUUGAAGAUAAUGGCGGUGGAGUUUAGGCGGUGGAGUCCAAGCGGUGAACGAUGCUUAUAAAUAUAGGUUACGUUAGUUUAUUUAGAGAGAGAGAGAGUGAGAUAGCUUCAGAAGCAUAUAGAAAGAAUGAGAGAGUUUUAAGCUUAGCAAAGCUUGUGUGUGUACUCUAUUAAGCCUCUGCAAGGCAUAUUGUGUAAUAUAUUCUCUCCGUGUGUUUAUACUCUCUCCUUCCAAAUCAUUUCAGUUCCAACGCCACAUCCAUGAUUCGUACUCUCUUGAAAGCUUGACCUCGAUCUCCGUGACGGUAGACUUCAAUGCAAUCUACACGGCUGCAUGUACAUGGCAAACGAUAAGCUGACCGCACCAUCACUUUUUCAUGUAUUUUGUCAAGGACAUUGGAUGAGUUACUUGUCUCGUCUAGUGGGAUACCAACAGAGAUCCCCUUGGUGAAAAAGAUAUUGAAUACUUGAAGCCCCACAUUUGACUUUCCUUUCUACUUCGCACUACACUGCACUGCUUUGCAGAGAGGGGAGAGAAAGAGAGAGAGUCCCUGGGAUGUAACGAUCUUUGUCUAAGUAGCAUCGACACGCGAUAUAGACAUGCAAUACGAGGAUACGUCGACAUGUAAUUUUUCAAAAAUAAAAAAUUUCGACACGUUGAGGCACAUUAUAAAUUAAAUAAAUAUUUUAAUAAUUAAUUUGAUUCAAAUUCAUAAAUAAAUAAUACAAAAAGAGCUUACAAUAAAUUUACACUAAUAAUAUGAAUAAAUUUAUUUAUAGUUAAUGCAUACCUAUAUUUGGGAACCUAUUUCUAACUUUAACAAAAAUUAUAAAUGAAAUUAGUGACUAAAAAAAGAUUAUAAUCAACUUAUUUAUAUAAAUCUAUGAUAUUUUAUAAAGAUCAAAAUUUAUCAUUAAUUAACAUUCAGUAUUUUUAUUUUUGGAAACUAUUAUUAGUCAAUUUAUUUAUUUUUCUAACAAAAAUAAUCUCGCCGCCCAAAAUUAUUUCCCUCCCUCCUUUUUUUUUCCCAAACCCUAAUUCCCCAAAAAUUAUUUCCCUCCCUUGUUUCUCUCUUUCCCACCCCGCCUCAAUCCCCCCUCUCAGUUUCUUUUCCUCCUUUCUCCCCUCAAUCACCUGUCAUUUCCCUGGAUUCUCUCUCCUACCCACACCACCCCCCCUAAUCACCCGUUGUUUCUCCCCAAGCGCCACCCCAACCCCCGGGGCCCCCCUCUCCGCCUCCUGUUCUUCCCAUUUCUUCCACCCUCCCUCGGUUCUUUCCCUUUCUUCCCCCUUCCCCCAUCACUUGUUAACUGCAAACUCCUCCUCCUCCUCCACCUCGCACGAUCCUUUCUACUCUCUUUCAAUCGCCUCAUCACAAUUGCUCACCACCUCACCUUCGGCCCUUCCUUUUUCACAGUCGUAGCCUCGCCAUCAACCCUCCAUCACAGCAUCGCAAUCGUGACCCUCUAGAUCGUCUUAGUCUCUGUUCUUCCUCUAACCCUCCCUCGUCGCCACGGCCUCGCCUCCACUCCCUCGCCCUCACCUCCCCCCUCCAUUAUCUUCUUUAAUGAUCCUCUCUCAGACACAUGUGUCGGAACAUGUCAAGAAAAGUUGACGAUGUGUUGGAAGAUUCGACAUGUGUUGACCGCAUGUCCGAGCGUGUCAGACAACACGUGUCGUGUCCGAUACGGAAGCUCCGAUAACAUGUCCGUGCUUCAUAAGUCUUUGCUCAAUGAUUCUAUAUUUGUCGAAUGUCUCUUAUUUUGUCUAUUUCGGUUGUCAAUUGCAUCUUCACUUAGUGUGGGAUCAAAACGGCACUAUUAUUCACAAGGAAUAAUGGUACCAUCACCUCAGCAACACCUUUUUUCUUUUUUCUUUUUUUAAUUUCAUUGGAAACUUCUCUUUGUGAUCCUUGCCCUUUUCUCAAUGGAGAAACGAUGAGCGUCGAGAUAGUUGUUAAGGACUAAUGAGUCUCCCGUGGCCUAGCGUGCUCAAGUGUGACAACAUAUAACCUAAUUUUACAUGAAAUUUCAUAAAAAAGUCCACCACAUAUAUCCCGACAUCUGUCAAGUUAUAUAUAUAUAUCACUCAUUGCAUGAAAAAAUUAGGGAUCCAACUUAAUCCUUAUACAAAAAUAUUAAUUUGUAUAGUUUUGCAAUUUGUAUCCUUUAAUAGUAGGGGCAAAGCUAUUUCCAGCUCAUAAAUAAGUACAUCUACCCCUAUUUAUAUUGAAAUGACAAAACUACCCUAAUUGCAGUUUAAAGUGAUGACCCACUCUUUCUUUUCUCUAUUUUUUAUUUUUCUAUUUAUGAUAGCCGCCAUAAAUUGAACAUUGCACAUGUUUUUUUUUUUUUUAGUGUAUUAAAGAAAAGUGCAUGCUCUCGUAUUCCUAUAACGUUCACAUACCCUGUCUAAAAUGAUCUCGUUAAUAGUAAGGAAAAAAGACAUUCUUUGUCUCUUUUUUAUCAUUGAUCUCCCAAUAAUUUUUCUAUUUUUUUGUCCCUCUUAUCUUAAAAGCUUACUUUCAUGGUGAACUUUUUAUUAAUUUCAUUACUCCGCAAUUUUUAAUCAAGUCUCUUUAUUUACUAUAAAAAAAAAUUAUGUUUUUUCCCCUAUUAUACUGGUGAAAUAAUUUUAUACAGAACAUGUAAACCAUUAGAGGAAUAUAUAGGAAUACACUAAAAUAUUACACACAAUGACGAAUUUUGAAUUUUUUUUUGUUAACAUUUCAUAGAUGAUAUUAAUUUUUGUCAAUAAAAAAUAAUAAUAUUUCACUGGCAUUUUCAAAAAGAAAUUAUUACUUUAUGCAAUAUUUUGAUUUAAUUAAAUUUCAUUUACUUUAUUCAUAAAUAGGAUUGACAACACGGAAAAGAAAAACUAAGAAAAACUAAAUUUCUUCGAAAUUUCUCUUUUCGACAAAAAAAAUUUAUGGAAGUAAUAUCUAAGAGAAUGACUUUGAUAUACAUAAAAAAAAUAAAAAGAUGAAAUUCUUAAUUAUGGAAAGUAGAUCAUACAUAAUAUAGAAAAACUAGAAAAAAGGGAAAGUAAAAAAAUUUGGGACAACAAAUUUAAAUUUAAAUUGAAUGAUAAAGGGUAGUUCUGUAUUUUUGGUUAAACAAAUGGGUGAAUUUAGUUAUAUAGGGAGUGGAAGUAGCGCCACCCUAAAAGUAUUUAGGACUAAUUUAUUCGCAUCAAGCAUGUCGCGUGGCAAGGUGAAGACCAAGCUUAUAAAAGUAAAUUUUAGGUGAUAAGUUUCAAAAUAAGUUUUAGGACUUCCAAUACACUUAAUAAUAAUAAUAAUAAUAAUAAUAAUAAUAAUAAUAAUAAUAACAGCUUCAAUCUUUAAGUACAUUUGAAUGGCUUUGAUUUUCCCUCAAGAUGCUUUCCACGCCCCAUACGUUGUCCUUGUACAUUAUGUAUACGGGUCAAGAAACGUUAAAGCAACAAGUCAAGAAGCAAAAGUGAGAUAUGACAAUUCUUAGUGUAUGACCCCUCUCUUGACGAUUGAGAUGAUAGUGCACGAUCUGGAAAACAGUAGAUUAUCUUGCCUACUUCAAUAUCAUAUCAACAUAUAUUAGAUGAAAUAAGAAAAACGACAACCUACCAGUCUUUAUUUUGCGGUCAAUCAAUUAUUCAAAAUAUAUUUUGUUAAAAUUAAUCAAAUGUAUAGCUUACAAAAUUGAAUUAACGAAAAGAUUUUCAUCAUCAAUGAAAAUAUUUAAAAAUAAAUUAUUAUUGAUAAUGAAAAUUCAUUGAUUAAUUUUUAUAAGCGAUAUAAAUAAUUAUUUUAUGAACAUGUCUUCCAAAUUAUGAAUUUGCCACAACAGAAACGCACUGAGGUUGCAAAAAAUAUAUCUUGGGCAAGUCCUUGCUAAUGCUCCUUUGUCAGAAAUAAAACUCGUUGGAACACUAUGCCCAGAGAGAAUAAGUAGAUUUGGUCUUCCGACCAAAUCUAUCGUUUCAAAAUGCAAAACUUAAGAAGUGUUCGAUUUAUGACGAAUCUGUUAAACGAAUCAUUUUUCUAUAAAAACUUGCUUCCUGUCGAUGGUGUCAUCCCUAAGCUACAAGGUUACUUGAUGAAGAUUUGAUUCACUAUAAUAAAUGCUUUAACACACCUUAUUCUUAGAGGAUACAUCAAACAAACCUAUUUGAGGUGGCUAGCAAGUAUCACUUAAAGAGGGGUGAAUAGGUGAUUAAAAAAAAUGAUGAUAAAUUAAUGUGGAAUAGGAUGAGUCAAUAUUAAAAUCUGAAUAAGGGUUAGAUAUUGAAAUGCCGUAGAACAAUCUAUGAAGCACCCAGCAAGUGUGCGAUAAGCAAUAGGAAUGAAUAGUGAGUGCACACAUGAUAUCCAUUUUAUAUCUGUUCUAGAACUAAUUUUUUGUUCCACAAGUUUAGAAUAGGAAUCCGUUUGGUAAUGUAAUUUCAUUUUUCUAUUUCUAGAACAAAUUUUUAGUCCAGAAAUAGGUUUAGAAUAGAAAUGAUAAAUAAAAACUUGCUACUUCUCUAUUUAUGGAACAUAAAUGAAAAAUAAAAACUCUUCUCAUCGCUCAUCUUUGCUACUAGCUGACCACCCACUCACCAUCGCCCAUCGCUACCACGCGCCAUUCGCCAUUCUCCAUUCGCCGCCGCCGCCAAUUGCCACCCCGCUGGCCACCCCUCAUUGUCCGCCGCCACCGCUUGGGCGAGAGAAAUCAUGAGUUGUUAUCAAACGAAUUUCUAUUCCAAGAAUAAAAAUUUUAUGUCAUUAUCAAAUGCAUAUUUUUGCUCAAAAACUCAUCCUAGAAUAUUUAUGUUCUAGAAAUCAAUUUUUUGGUUAUAAUCGUUUUCAUUCUCGCCCUAAGAAUUUAGGGAUAAAAACAUUGUGCAUGAAAUUUAUAAUGAUUUGGUUUAGAUCAAGUCUACAUCAACUCUUUCACAAUGACAGUUUAUUGGUUAGAUUCCACUAGAUAAGUUAUGAAAAGUUACGGUCAAGUUCUGCUACUUAUACGCAAGCGCUUCUACUCAAAACUAGUGCUCCUUAUACCCAAGCCUAUAAGACUUAUACCAAAGCACACACUUAUAACAUUGUCGACAACUCUCAAAUGAUUACAAAUCAAGGCUCACAAGACAAGUGUAUAUGGUCAAAUUACACUCGGACUUUGAAACUAUAAAUUCUACGCUUUGUCUCUUACUUGCUCUUUGAUCUCCUUAAAUACUUCCGCACUUCCAAAUUAGCCAUUGGAUAGUAUUUAUAGGAUUAUAUUCCAAUCUACUUGUUGGAAAAAACUAUAUCAAGAAUAUUGAGUAGCCGUUGAGUGAUGUAAACAAAAUCUCCACUUGAUUUUGGUCGCCUAUAUAACUAGAGUCUUGAUUUCCAUAAGUAGAGUUUCUCUAUUUAGAAAGAGUUUGCCUUCUGGAUUGAUUGGCCAAUCAAUUUGAUUGAGUUAAUCAAAUCUAUUUUGCUGUGAAAUCCAAACCUUAAAGUCUAAGUAUGUAAAGUCUAAGUAUAGAAAGGACUUGUCUUCUGUAUGUAAAGUCUAAGUAUGUUCUAUCUAAGGUAGACUUUAUAAUUUGGACUUAAGUCCGAACAUAUUUAUCCUUAGAGUCUCUAUCUAAAUAGAUUUAACCUUAAAGUUUGAACUUUGUCAUAAUACAAUAUGAAUAAGUUUAGCUUCAAUAUAGAGUCGAGAGAGAGAGAGAGAGAGAGAGAGAGAGAGAGGACUUGGGGAUAAAAAUAGAGGAAAAGAAGAAGCCUGAGUAGAAUCGAGAAGGAGAGAAAGAGAAAAUGAAGAAAAAGGAAAAGAAAGUUGUCACGCACAGUUGCCCUGGAUACAUUGACUGGUCAAAUCAAUUGCGAAUUGUAACCCUUGGUAAAUUUUCAAGCUGAUUAUUCGUCUAAUCGAAGUAAUUUUGGAAGUUAGGGUGCAAACUUUGAGUUAUGUAGAUCUUGAACUUUGAGGUUCAAACGAGGAGUUUUUGAGCUGCCAUUUAUAUGGAAAGGUAGUCUAAGGCAUUAUGGAGCUUUGGGGUUUGACAAACUUCGAUUCCAAAGUACAGUUUGAUCAGAACAAUUUUUUGAAGAUUCGCAUUCGAGUUAUGCGUAGUGGAUAAUUCAAGUAAUGGAGAAUGAUGACAUUUACUAUAAAUGAGCUUCUUUUAUAGCGUGUAGGUGUCAUUUUAUCGAUGUAUAAGAAUAGUUUAGUCGAGUUGUUAAUUAGACUAGCAUAUUACUUGGUUUUAAUAUCUUUUUCGAUUAAUUGAUAAUAAUACGAGUGCGUUGGCUCAAGUAACCACUUUAGGCUGAUUUUUUACUUUUCCAGGUGAGCAAUGCAAUCUCUUCUAAGAAUUUAUAAACUCAUGUAUUCAAAAUAAUAUAUAUUUAAUAUAUUAUGAAUUAUGAAUAAGCAUAUUUGUUGCAUAAAAAUUUGGAUAGGGCAUUUACUACGUUUUGGUAUUUGUGAAUGAUGUGAGAUUUGUUAGUGAAAAUAUUAUAUAUGUAUAUAUAUAUAUUGUUUGAUGAACGAAGUUAAGAAAUAUUGCACAUAUCGAUUUGUGAAAUACUUUAUCACAUGCAUUUAAUUUGAUUUGGUUUACAAAACCAAGGUAUGAGACGAGUCUUGAAAUGGUUUGAGAAUGUUUUAUAAAAAGUGUUUCGGGUAGAUGAGUCGAGUUGCGAAAGUUGUUGGUGAUUGAUUUGUGAAAUGUAUUUUGAUAUGUGAGAUUUUUAAUGGAUUGGAUUUCUCAUAUCGGAGGAUGAGGUUGUGCUUAAUAUUGCUACGAGCCUAAUGAGGGCCUUGUGAGUAUGUGCACAAUAGUCUAGGAUAUCAAUGUGGGCUGAGGCACUAGCUAAUAAUAGGUGAACAACUUGCCAAGAUGAGAAUUUUCAUCACAUUGUCACUAGGCAUUAUGUUGUGACCAUGGUUUAAUAUUGAGUAUAGGAUUGGUUGAUGGAUGGACCAUCGACAUAUGAUUUCAUAAGAGAUGAAUCAAUGAAACAAAAUAUUGAUGUGUGGCAUAGGAUUAACCAAUGAAACGGACCAUUGGCACGUGAAUGACGAGAUUGAUCAAUGGAUUGGACCAUUGAUAUUUGUUACGAAAUUAUUGAUUUAACAAGUGUUUUAUGAUAUGUAUAUGGUUAUGUAAAAGCUAUAUAACCUAUUUUUAUCUAGUAUGUGUAUUAUAUUCUGGAUUUGGAUUAACUAAGCUAUGAUUUGGUUUCGAAAUUGCAUAAUGGAUACUCAAUCUGUUUAGAAGAGAUACGCACUACUCACUGAACUUGUGGUUGUUCACCUUUCUAUUUUCCAAUUCUUUUCAAGUUCUUUAGUUGGCAAUUAGUAGAGCAAGAAUUCUAUCGAUGGGGACUUUAUGGAAGUGGACUUUAGAUAUGGUUUGAGGUUGCAUCCAUUGGAUGAAAGGAUGGCCAUGUCACCUCCGUCUCUACAAGAUUUAGGGUGUGACAAAGUGAAUCAACCCAUAGUUUAGACCUCUUAUGAAAUCCGAUCUUUUUACCAAUUGAUGGAAAAGAAAUGUACUUCCCUCCCCUCCCGGCAUUGCCAAUGCCUGGUGUGCCAUCGCUACCCGCCACACCAACCACCACCGUAACUGAGCCACUGUAUAGGGUAGUAUGACAGCUAUUUGCUAAUUCAACAUGCAGGGAAAUAUGAGGGUGUUACCUGUAUGUUUUUGGAUGUUGGGAAAGAAAUUCAUCAGGAUUAAGCAAUUUUUCCAAUGAUUAUGCGGACAGAAACAUGAAAUUGAAUUAAAUACCUGUUGGAAGUUGCGCGGAAUGGCUGUCGCAUCAAACUUCUUGCGAAAGGUGUUCUGUAACAUUCGGCAGAUUAAAUAACUCCAUCUUUACUAAAUAACUGCAUCUAAUGCUUAGUUGUAACAUUCGGCAGAUCAGGUGCAUUUCUGAGCACAGUACAAGUGUGCAUCCUAUAAUGUUCAACGAUUCAGAGACUGAAAUCCCUCGAGACCCUGAAUCUCUCUUUUUUCACAAGGUCGCAAUUCUAGAUAUCGUAACCACUUUUAAGUUUUGAAAGGUUUGGAAGUUUCUCAAUGUCUUUGCACCAAGAAAUGUUCCGCAACUCCAACGAUUCCAUCUCUUCAAACCUUCAAUCUCACGUAGACUCAUGCAACUUUCAAGAUACCUUCACUUUUUCAUAACAAAGAAUGAGAAAUUUAUCAUUCUCCAAUAUCUGCUCAAGCUCUUUGAGCAGAUAUUGGAGAACGAUCACCAUUUAGGAUGUUAGAGACCAGUACACUCUGCAAAUAUUCUAAGACCCUGGUGUUGCAGGGACGGCUCUCAGAUGUCUGUGACAAAGACAUGGCAUGCAAAUGGUUCAAGAAGUUGGUUGUAACACGACCUCAGCAACAUUAGUCUUACCUGAUUGAUGGUGGUUGUAGAGGCAAUAGGAGUACAGCACGCUAGAUUGGCUAGCUAGUGGUGGUGGUUAAAGCAGUGAUAAACCACCGAUAAACCACUGAUGAUGCGCUGUGUAAAUGUCAUACUUUAUAGUAGCAACAUGUCAAAUGCAGAUCAACGUUCCUAAAUUGCUUAAGAGUUGAAUGGGAUGGGAUUCUACACCAUGUUACUUGAUCACUAAUUUACAACGACAAGGAUCUCUUCCCUAAACACAUUCAAGCAAACCAAGUAUGCAUUCACAUGGCCAGAAAAUAGAAAAAUCCACAACAUCAUAAGUCACACAAAUUCAUGAGUCGAAAAAUUACCCGUCGACCAUGUUCUUCGGUUCCCACCUUGCAAUGAUCCAACCACAUCAAGAUCAUUUCUCUAUCCUUGGAUGGUCUCACAGUCAUAGUGCUUCUCGUGCUGUGAGAAGGCUUUUGCAUAAGGUCCAGAUUGGCGCCGAAGUGAUGGAGCGUGAUAGAAGAUUGCAAAGAUCAUUUGUUUCCUUUCUUCUCUACAUUCAUCCGUACGUGCCACCUCCUCGAGGCACUUUCUACUAGAAACAUAUUCUCUACUCUUUAGAGAAAAUGGGAAGGAAGAUCCUUUCUUGAUGGCUUCUAAAAGAUCAGGGGCACUCUCUUCUCCCGCACGGAGGUCCCUCAUUGUCUUUGAAGACCUUGACACCGGGAUCUAAAAGGCUAUCAUCAGGGAAACCCUUGUGAGUAUCCGAUCCCCUCAAGCUUGAGAAAACCUCAUAAUGAUAUCCUGGUAUAGCAGAGACGUGCAAUUUGCUAUUUACUUGGACAAGCAUUAAGACAAGUCGCUAUUGACUUGCGGUGCAUCCAAUUUGGCAUUUUUACGAAUGGAUUGUGCCCUUCUUCUCUUGCAGAAGUUCGAGAAUUCGACGGAGAAGAUUACUGAAAUUACCGUCACAACACAGGAAAUCCACGUUGACCAAGGAAAGCAAGACGUCACCACCAAAGUACAUAGUUUUGAGGUCAAUUCGCGAUGAAUGUAGACCAAGCAGCCCAAAUGGCGAAUCACAGAGUGAAAGUACGACUAACGAUGACACAGUCAAGGAGGUGGAAAUCUUCUUUGCCUGGUUCCAUUAUCGCUUCAGUACGAUGUUAGCUUUACUUCCACGACAGCCAAACCGGGGAUUCCUCCUCUGAGCACCUUUCCGGUCGUUCCCACAAGUCUUCUUCAAGUUGAUUGAGUUGUUGGGUCGAUAAUCCAAGACACGACAGGAAGCAGAGGUCAAAUGCUUCACCUAUCAGCCCCUCAAAUCAAACCUCCCAGGGGCCAGGGGGAUUAGUAAACAUUUGAACCGUUGUUAAUUCAUUCAUCUCUCUCCAUAUUGAAUACCCAUCAAACGCUAUAGGCAUAGAAGCCAAUCAAAAAACAAAAAUUAUUGCCGAAUCUAAUUAUGGUUCGUUUUACCGACGACCAUUGCCAAUAAACAGAAUUCAACGAACAAAACUCCAUGUUUUUAAGGGGUUCAAUGAAAAAGGAAGGGAAAACGAGAGCAGAACAGAGAAAACACAAAUCAACCAACUCAAGUUGCCAUGAUAAUUCCUGUAUAAAAAUGUACAAUCAAUUGAUCAAAACUCACUGCUUUGCUCCUCCCAUCCGAGAAAACAAGGAAGAAAAUGCAAAGCGAAUGAGCACUUACCACCAACAAAACCAUUACCCCCCAAGACACAAUCACUUGUUCUCCCCCAAGCCCAUCAAUCUCUUCAAACUAGGAAAAAACGCGGAAUCGUUCGAGAAAGACGGCUUCUUUUCCUGCCGCAGGUGCUCCUCGACCAUCUCCACGACGGACCUCGCGGACAGGGGAUGGAAAUCGGCGCUCCAAUUCGACACGAACUCCGCCGCCAUAUCCCUCCGCUCGCCGUCCUCCAUCCUCUCCCACCUCCUCCUCAGCUCGUUUUCCCCC